GCAAAUCGAAGUAGCUCAACAUCAAAGGAGGAAAGAGACCUUUUUCUGCUCCUUCAAAUUCCCAGAAUUCACUAUUCAGAACAUUCUGCCAAUCUUGUAAAGAAUUCUUGAACCGCAUAAGACUGCCAAUAGUCUUUACAGUAAGAGGUAUGCCCCGGCACUUGUCAGCUAUUUUCCUUCCAAUUCCUUCCAAUUCUUCACAAUCCUCUAUACUUCUUUCAAAAAACGCUAUUUGACUGAAUAGCGACCAACUGUCCUCGUCUGCCAACUGCCCCAAAUGAAGCUCAUAGCUACUUCUCAACAUUUUUGCGGUUCUCUCGUUUCUCGUCGUCACUAGAAUUUUACUUCCAGAUGCACCAAUUUUGAGAGAGUUGAACAAUUGUUCCCAUUUCCUGUAGUCAUCUGUCCACACAUCAUCUAGCACAAGCAGGAACUUCUUUCCUGAAAUAGCGUUCCUAAGACGGCGCAAUACAGUUUCAAGUUCAUAUAAAAACGGAGCAUUACCUUCAAGGUCUUCAACAAUCGCUUUUGCAACUCGAACUUCAUCAAAAGGCUCAGAAACACAUACCCACAUUUUUCUCUCAAAAUCUUGCUCUACAGAAUCACAAUUGUAAACCAUUUGUGCUAGAGUUGUUUUACCAAUUCCCCCCAUGCCGACUACAGAAACAACAUGGAAUCCAUCACUUUGGCUACUCUCAGACAACAACUUGCUUACAAGAGUAUUCUUAUCCACAUCUCGACCUCGUACUUCAGAUACAUCAAUAUAAGAGUUAGUUUUUAAUCUCUCAGGAUCACCACUCUCCGUUAACGUAUUAAAAUUGUACCUAUUCUUCUCGGUGGCAAUAACGUCGAGUCUUUCCUUAAUGCCCUUAAUCUUGAGAGCUAUGUCACGACGUAGGGCAAAUCGCCUAAAUCGAAGGCUAGGUAAAGAGAUAAAAGACCAUACCUUUUUCUUGGAAAGGGAUGAAUCUUCAACACCUUCAGUUUUCGCCUUUCGGAUUGCAGUUAACCAUUCAGACAACACAUCGUCCAUGUCAUAGGCUAAGUCUUUGAGCUUUUCUAACCACAAUUUGACUGAUUCAUCCUUCACUUGUCUCUUUUCAGCAUCAACAAGCACAGAUCGGAUGGAUUCCAAUCCGCUGGUGAGUUUUUCGAUAUCUUUUUUGACCCCCACAACUAAUCUCACCUGCUUUCGGAUCUGUUCUUCCGUGAUUUCAGCCAAUUGUGUUAACAUUACAGUUAUCAUUGCUUCAGCCAUGGUUGAAGAUGACAACAGAUUGAACAAAAAGCAAGUGAAAUUGGCUCAAGAGAUUAGACAAACAGGGAUGGAUUUUUCUUUUUCUUUUUCUUUUUGUCACUUAAAUGAAAAGUGAAACGAGAGAGAGAGAGAGUGAAAUUGGCUCAAGAGAUUAGACAAACAGGGAUGGAUUUUGAUUUUGAUUUUUCUUUUUCUUUUUGUCACUUAAAUGAAAAGUGAAACGAGAGAGAGAGAGAGUUAUUUUUUAGUGCUAAAAAAUUCAACCAUUGAUUUUCCUGGUAAGUGAUUGGAAAUUUCCAUGUGGGUGCCCAAAGGAAGAGAGAGAGAGAGAGUUAUUUUUUAGUGCUAAAAAAUUCAACCAUUGAUUUUCCUGGUAAGAGAUUGGAAAUUUCCAUGUGGGUGCCCAAAGGAAGACUUUGAAGGAGGAAGACUUCAAUUAUUGCGUUUUGAUAGGAAGCUUCAUAUGUAGUAAUAAGGAAUCUUAGAAAUUUUCAAGUGAUGAUUGCAAUAUUGUCUAGCACUAUAAUAUUGUCCAGUGCUAUCUAAUUGUCACGUCCAAACAUGUUAAUGCAAGACCAACAUAAUUUACAAUCAUAAAUAGAUAGAGAUAAAAUUGGUGACAAAUAUAAUGACAUAAUAGGUGUUUAACAACUAUUUGAUUUCCUAAUUUGAAAAUGAUUCUUUGAGAACAAUGCCUCGAGAUCCUAGACUGAACGGUUUAUAUUUAUUUUCUGAAAGCAUUUCUUUUGUAUUUCCCUGUGCUUCUAAAUUUCAGCAUGGAAUUUCUUGUAUGCUGGAAUCAACUUGUCAACCAUGGACGCACGAAGUUUAUUCAGGAGCUCUGAAUCAUGUACUAUCCAGUUCGUCUGAAGUGUCUGAAUCUCUUCAAACACAGAAUUAAUGGACUUCAAUCCUUUUCUCAAUGCAGGUUUUGACACACGAGUAGAAAAACACCAAGUAACAUAAAGUCCCUCUUCUUGACAACAAGACAAGAACUUGUCACAAGUUGAAACUUGAUAGCUAGUCAUUGCUUGCUUGACAUUCCUAUACAGUUUCUCCAUAUAAUCAUCACCAAUAAUCUGUCGUAGCUCCUUGGAUUCUUCGAUCUUUUCUACAAUGUAAUGAACAUUGUUCAUCAUGAACAAAUGCCUUAAAGAGACAUGAUUGAGCUGCUCUGAUUUUCCCUUCAAAUUCAGUUGUAAGACCACAAUGAUCAAAAUAAAAUGAAGAGCCAAAUGACUUUUGCCUUUAAGAUCCAGUUGAUCCCCAAAUUUCAAUGGUGGCAUUGAUAUGAUCAAGUCUGUGAGGAGCUCCUUAUUGCAUACAAUGAGAGAGAUAUAAUUCAUCACGCGUUUUGUCAAUGAAUGAGUGGCACCCCUUUUAUCUUGUAUAGGCGAAAGCUCACCAAAAACAGCUUUCUCAAAAUCUAAUAACAUCCUUCUUAUAUUAUUCUCAACUUAAGACAAUGUCACCUUCAUGCCUUGUCGAAUAGCCUCUGCUGCGUGGAAGUCGAACAUGAUAUCUAUGUAUUAUAAAAGAAUCAACAGUGUAUCAUAUAGGCCUAAAAUUGUUUCCGUCCUCUUUGAGGACUGAUUACUGGAACUCAGUGUUUCUACAAAAACAAGUAAAUUAUUUGUAGAAUCUCCCACUAUUUCCCAAAAACAUUCUUCACUAGCCCCAUUUCCAAAACCAGAGAAUAAUUUCUCACUAAUUUGUUUCUCCCAGUCAAAGAAGUAACAAAAACACAACCUAGCCACUUGAAUCCACCGUUCAAUUUUCACCUUCAACUCUUCCCAUAAAAACCUCUUUUUCUUGAAGGUACUUAGAAACCUCUUUUCAUUCCCACCUCUAUACAAUCCUUCCAAGUGAAGCUGUUUUAUCAAUGUGUGGAAAAAGGAUUUCCUCACACUUUUGUGAACUUUGAUGCAAUCUCCAAGGUGUCUGUUGGAAUUUAAUCUUUUUGCGACAUGCCUGAGAUAAAAAAUCACCUCAUCACUUGGUGAAUUGUAUGCUAAUAAAUAAUCCUCGUAUGCAGUACUGGCCAAUGAACUCCAAUCAGAGGUAAUUGAAUCAACAGUGCCAAACGGUUCAGAUUGUCUUAUGAGCAUUGUCAGAAACUCGUGCUUGAGCCGAGCCAUGGCUAUGGAGUUCAGGUCACCAGAUUUUGUUACGUUUGCGGGGAACUGCUGGAUUUUGUCGACAGCUUCUAGGUAUCGAGUUAUUUGACAUUCACUAAGGUUGAAAAUUAGUUGUUCAACUAGUCUAUGAUGCCAAUGAUAGAUUGUAUCAACAGCUGAUUGGUGUGAUAUUGUUAAAGUCACUAUGCCAAUAGACCUUCGAUCGAACUGUUACAAAUGGUAGAAAAAUUUCUAGUUCAAAAUUCCAACUUGUAAAUUUGUGUGGUAAUGAAAAUGGUUGUAUCUUGUGUUCUUGAGAAAGUACUGGUGGCAAAAUAUCUAGAUGGUCCCUAAAUCUAAAUAAAAGAUGGAAGACUUGAAUUGCCGCGUUUGAGAGGAACUUCAUAUGUAAUUGUUGGAAAAUAUCGAGUCAAUAAAAAAUAAAAUUAGAGAAACUCCAAGAUACAUUUCCUUUUUCCCCACAAAUGUGUUCCCAUUGCACAAUGGCAGUUCUGACUAUAGACGGAGUAGACGAUUGUCUAAGGCCUCACUUUGGCGAAAGCCCCAAAUUAUGUAAGAUUAAUUGGUUGAUUGAAGAAAAAUAAAAAAUCUAUGUAUGAAAUUCUUUAAAAUAAAACAAUCAUAUGAAAAAACAAGAAAUUAAUAAAAAUUGAAAAUACAAAAAUUUUUAAAAAUGUAUAAAUGACAUAGAACUUAUCACUUACAUUUAUUUAUCACAUAAAUAUAUUACAAACAUUACUUUCUCUUUCUAUAACUAUUUGACUAUUUAUUGUCCAAACAUUCACUUUCUUUCUUAACAAAACAAAAUGUUUCAUUGUCUCUUCAAAUUUUACAUCAAACAGUAAACCACCAUAAUUUUUUCAACCUACCAAGAAAUAAAUUAUCUCCAUUUGAACUAAAAUUUUGAAGAUUCAAUUUACUAGAUUGAUUUGGUCUUACUGCCAUUGUUACAGCCUUAUAGGUUUCUUUCUUUCUCCCCUUAUCUUCAAAACAUAUACUGCACAGUACAAGGUUGUUGUUAUUAUUAUUAUUUUGGUUUAAUCUCAUGAUAAUAGCCUUUUUAGAUGUUUCAUUUUGAAUUUAAUAAUUCUUUGUUUGUGUUCAUACUUCUUAUUUGUAAGUCAAUUUUUUAUGAAUUAAUAUAAAAUUAAAAGCUCAUUUGUAUUUUAUCGUCAUUUUCAUUAUUUUGUUACACUAUCUCUUGCGGUCAACACUCUCUUAUUUUGUACAUUAAUCACUCAAAUUCAUAUUCAAUUUUGUUUAAACAGUUGCAGUGAGAAAAUGAUCAAAGAAAUGAAUAGACCACUUUAUCAUUGCAUUAUAUUUCCAUUUGCCAAACUUUGCUUAUAGUUUGUAUUGCAUGUUGAAAUUUGAUAUUUUAUUAUUUUCCUCAUCAAAUUUUCAAACUUAGUUGUUCGUAUUAAAUUCUGUAUAAUUAUAUUAAAUUUUUCUGUAAGAAUAAAUUGGCAUAAAGCCCCCGAAUUAUCAAGUCCGGCCCUGUCAUUGCAAGAAUAUUACCCAUAAAUUUGGAUAAACAAGGUAAUUAGCCAAGUUGACGAGCCAACGUUUAGUGAGGACGUUCGUGACUUCAUAGGUGAGAUGAAAAUGGGAGACAAAAUAGACCAUCACAUUGUUCAAACAGAUUAAGCUCUAAUGUCUUGCAUCAAGUUGCUAUUUCUAUCCAUUUUUUCAUGAACUAGUUGAUAAGUUUGAAAAUGUGAUGUGACUUCAUUAGCUUGCAAGGCUAGCAAAUUUGAUUAUGUGACUUCAAAUUUCAUUAUAUGAAAACAAAUGCUUUGAGAUCAAAGCCUCAAGAUCCUCAACUGAAUGCUUUACAUUUAUUUUUUGAAAGCAUUUCGUUUGUGUUUCACUUUUCUGCUCAAUCUCAAUAUAUGUCCUGAACUAGUGUAGGAAUUCCUUAUAUGCUAGAAUCAGCUUGUCAACCAUGGACACACGAAGCUUGUCUCGGAGCUCCAAAUUGUGUACUAUCGAGUUUGAGUGAAAUUUCUGGAUCCUUCAUACAGGAAAUCAAAGGCCUUAAAUCUUUUCCUUAUUGCACCUUUCGACACUUGAGAAUAAAAGCACCAACUAACAUAAAGUAAGUCCUAUUGAAAACAAGACAAUAACUUGUUACAAGUCGAGACUUGAUAGCUAGUCAUGACUUGCUCAACAUUUCAGUUCAGUUUCGCCAUAUAUUCAUUGCCAAUCAUCUCGCGCAACUCAUGAGAUCCUUGGAUCUUUUGUACGAUGUAAAAAAUACUGUUCAUCAUGAGCAAAUGCCUCUAAGGAAUUGAUUAGUGUCUAAAACUGCUUUAAAGAUAUAUCAUUUAUAAGGCAUUUUAUAUUCACUUUGUUUAAAAACACUAAUGUUAGUCUCUAAUUUCAAUUCUAUUGCUGUAAAUUCAGUUUCAAUAAAUACAUGGCAAAAAGUACAAUUAAUUGAAAUACGUAUUUAAAUACAUGUUGGCAUGAGUAUUAUACUUUUGAAAGAGUAUUUAUUUGAUGUAUUUCACAUGUAUUUCCAAGGUAGAACAAGUGGAGCAAGUGGAGAAAAGAUGUUGAAAAGUAAAAAAUGAUUAGCUGUCUUGAGCAAGAUACAACCAUCUCGAUAAAAUGGCAAUAACUCGAGCUAUAGCUAUCAAAACAAGGUGAUUCAAGUUGUAUUGGAAAGAUAAGAUAUGUAUCUACAAUUUUCAUGUUUACCAAGAAGUCAAAUUCGCAUCAUAAAGUGGCCAAAAUUACCACGCAGAGUCCAACUUGUUACCUGCCGGAUACAGCUUUUCUACCUAUGAAGCAUCACUCAUUGUUUUGGCCAUAUCUGAGUUAUUGAGAUCCAAUGGACUUGAUUUUUGCACCAAUGGAAAGCUAACUCAAGUGGUAACAAUUUAUCUUUGAUCAUAAGUUCAAAUUUUCUGCACAAAGUAUCUGAAAAUUUGCAUCAAGUCGCAUGUUCUAGCUGUUUUGAAACUGGAUAGAAAUAAGUUACAUUGUCCACUUGCAUUUUGGAUGUUCCUUUGCCUAUGAAAGGGAAACUUGGCCAAGAUUUUGAGAGCAUCAAUUCCUCUUCAUCAUAUUCUAGUUUCCUUCAUUAUGUAUUUUUAAACCAUUAGCUAGAGUUAAGGGUGAAAUUUUGGUGAAUGUGUAGUAUUGUCUUUGAUCUUUCACUUUGUUCUUCAAUGUUCCUCUUCUUACAUGGUUGAAGUACAUGUUCUACAAAUAGUUUUGGUUUGUUAAAGACUUUGAUUUAUUUUUGACAAUUUUGGCACAAUAAAUGCUUAGAUAAUCUCUAUAUAUCAACAACUUAUUUUGACAUAUUAUUUCAAACAAUUAUCAAGAACUAUCUUUUAGUAUAUUUGCGAUCAAUGUUUUAUCUUCCAUAUUUCAUAUGAGUUAAAUAAAAGAUCAAGAGUAAUUUCUACUCAUUUAUCCGAAGUGAAUCCCCAAUGCUCUAGUGUUCUUCUCCAUCGUAUUUCCACCAAUCUUCACUACUCAUAAACUAGUUUAUUUCCUUCCAAUUCCCUGUGGUUCGACCUCGGACUUCCGAAUUUACUACUUGAGACAACUUGCACUUGGGUUUUCCACCUUAAAUCUGUAGCAAGUUUUUGGUGCCAUUGCCGGGGAUUUGCAUCAAGGAUUAUUUUCUACUACUUUUUGUGAGGUUUUCUUCUCUUUCAUAAUCUUCAUAAAUUAGAUACACUCGUUCCUUUUUCGAUCUUACUACAUUAGUUAUUUUACUUUAAAAGAAGGCCAAGCCUCCUUCAUUUUUUUUAUUUUCUGUUUAUUUUCUUUCUUUAAAGGGAAGGCCGAGCCUCUCGAACUGCCUUUUCUUUAUUAUAUGGUUGGCCGUGCCAUCUAAUUUUCGUUCUUUACAUCUAGUUUAUGUUAUUUUGUCAUAUUGGUAUCGCAUAUUUAAUUUUGAUCGUUUAGUUAAAGAUAAUUGUGAAACUUUCUUUUGUUAAUUUGUUUGACUUACCUCAACACUCACUCACAUCUUCCACCAUGGCUGAUAAUGAAAGCGUACAUGAUGAAAAUGAAAACCAAAAAGCACGAACUAUGCGUGAUUACUUGCAACCUGAAUACACCCAAAGAAUAACACGAUAGUUGUAGCACAGCUUUGGGGUGUCGAUUCCACAGGGAGAUGGACGAAUUGUUUAAAUAAUUUAUUGAACUAGGAUUUCAUGAAUUAUGUGAAAAUAAUUUGUCAAUUAGAAUGAUAUUUAAUUAUCCAUAUGCGAAGCAUCUGAAUUCCUUUAAUUGGAUUGGAUCAUUAACAUCAAUAAUUCAUGGGGUUUUGCUCAAUUAGAGGUUUUCAUCCCAACUCUCUAAUCGGAAGAUUUAACAAUGAAGUUCAAUCAAAUUUCAAUUGUAAUAUUAGGAUUUAGACUUUUUUAAACCAUUCCCACACAUAUUUAUUGGACUAAGAUUAAGAAUCGACUAUAUACACAAUGCAUAAAGCAGUAAAUAAUCCACUAAUAAAGUUGAUUGAAAUUGAAAUUCAACAAUUAGUUCAAUUCCACAAUAGACAAAACAUGAUUGAAUCUAUGAAGAAUGUAGUAAAAGUUAAAUCAAUUUCAAAGUAAAUUCAUAAAAGAUAGUCUAGAUCUAGAAGUGUUUGACAAUAAAAAUAUCAAUUUGCAUGAAUAAAUUAUGUGAAGUCGCCAAAUCCAAUGAGUUCUUUUGUAGCUUCACCUAGGAAUUUAGUUCUCCAUCAAAUUCUUUAGCCCAAGAUGAGAGAAAAUUGUUAUGGAGGUGAAGAUAGACGUUCUCUAUCUAGUCUAGGGCUUAAAAUAGUAUGCCAAGUUGUUUCCAAAAGAGGUUGAACCGAAAAAGGAAACUAAAUUUUCGGUUAGAAUAUUCUGUACGACUAUUUUCAGUAUUUUGACAAUAACUUUAUUUUCGAUGUCCAAUUAAGGAAAUUAAAAGUGAAUUGGAAAUCUAACACAAAGGGAUAUAAUUUUUCUAUAAGUAGCUCUUUCCAAAUUUGGACAUUUACUGGGUUAAAAGUUGAUCUCAAUCUCUAGCUGAAAAUCUAAAUUUUUUUUUUUGUGGUUGUAAUUUGAUUUGUGAAAAUAUUAUGGUCACAUUUAACUUCUUUUGACUUCUAAUUGCACCCAAUGGACUCCUAGCUUUCUCAAAUCAUUAUUUCAUCCCCCGUCUCAUCUUUAUAUUAUUUGCAACUCGGUCCCUAAACUAUCAGUUUCUUCUAUUUUGGUCAUUUUUCGCUCUUUUCUUCUAAAUUUCAGCUUUUCUACCAAAAUACAACAUGAAUCAAAGCAUAAGUAUAAUGAGUGCAUUUUGGUAUCAAAUAAUCACACGAGUGCAAUAAUUAAGAUGGGAAAGUAUUAUAUUUUGCACUCUUAUCAUACCCCAACUUGCUUAUUGCUAGUCCCUAGCAUUUUAAUGCAGAAUAAGUAAAUGAAUGAUUAGAUUGUGAUACAAGUAUAAUUAUUAAGUAUCAAUUUAACAACAUACCAUGUCCCUUUCAAACUCAACACCACAAGAACUUAACAAUGCCAUGAUCUUCAAGAUAUCGAAAACACUUAUCAAAUGUGUAAGUGUGUGUCAAGCUAUAACCAUCUUGCCUCCAACCCUAACACAUGCAACAAUAAGUAUAUCUCAAGUUGAAGGUUCAGCCCCAUAACUCACGGGAGUCAAAGUGUUUAGUACGGUUUUCUCUUAUGGAACUAAGAAAGAUAUACUCUCAGAACAUGGAGGCUUAAAAUUUAUGAAUAAGCAACAAACAAACAUUGAUCUUGUCAUAGGCAUACUUCCAAAUGAGAAUUCGUCCAAUUCUUACUACAACCAUACUUGGGAUCAAAUCAGUCAAUGUAAAGGGUUGUAAUGCAGUUUGAAUUAAGCUAUAUGAAAGGAGGGAUAUAAUGAUUCAAAAACUUCCAAGUACAUAGCCAAGUGUAGCAUCAAGCUUCUCAAUGGAUCACAUCAACACAUUCUUUAUUACUUUCAACCCCCAAAAUCAAUUAAAAAAUUUUCUUUUUUUGAAUAACAUUCCCUUCUUCUUCUUUUAACUUUUAUGACUUCACUUGAGCACUUAUCAACUUUUGUCAUCUCUUUGCUUCUUUUCUUCACAAUUAAACCUCCAACACCUACUAUACACUUAGAAGUGAAAAGGUGGGCAAACACAUAUAUAGGUCUCACUCCAAUGUAGAGGGAAAGGGAUAGCACGGGUGCAUGAAGAAAAAUAUUAGACAUGUAUGUGUAUUGGCUCAAAGUGGCUACUAGGGGUUAUAAUCAUGAAAGAAAAUUGGCUUGAAAGGUUAAAAUUUAAUCCUAAAUUGAUUGUCAUCAUUUCUUAAGUAAUCAACCACCAUACCUCAAACAAUGUAACGUUAUUCUCAAAAGAGUUCCCAAUUCACAAAACCAAUGAAUGCUUAUUACCAUUUUUAGUUAUAUGGAUCUCAAUCCUCACCAAUUCUCCCAUAAGAAAACUUCAGCAAGAGACUCAUCUAGCUACAUGUGUUAAACCACUAUCUUACCACAAGACUUGUGUGUACAAAAUGAUUCAACAAGUGUCUUAGCAUCUAGACUCACAUGAACAAUAUCAACUCUUAGUGACAUAUUUUGUCAUUCAAGAACAUGAACAUGUAGCAAAUGGAGACUUAAGGAAAAAUCAAGACCAAAAUUCCAUGUAAAUCAUGCAAUUCACAAAAAAAUUUAAGAUAAACUCUCUCCCAACUAAACAUUGCGUUGUCCUAAAUGCAAAAACAUGUAUGCUAAAUAAAGGUAAGGAAAGAUGUCACCUGAGUGUCGAAGUGAAUCACAUGAGUUGAAGUAUAAGAAACUUGAAAGUCUUCAAUGGAAAAGGUAAUGCAGAAAAUGAAAAUAAACUAGAAUGCAGUGAAUAAUGCAUGUGAUGCAAAUAAACCUAACAAAUGCAGAAAUAAGAUAAAAGAAGAAAAGAGAAUUCCCAUUGGGUUGCCUCGCAAGCAGUGCCUUUGUUUAUUGUCGUUGGCUCGACCCAAUGUUUGUUUCUUUAACCCGCAUCCAAUCAGGGCGUUGUCAACACUCUUUGCAUUGCACCAAGCUCAGUAGAAAUAAUUGCCGAUGAUGUUACACAAUCUUGCAAAUCAUCAAAGGCAGCACAAAUAUUAGCAUAUUCCCCAUCAUCAUAUUAGCAUUCUAGAAUUUCAGAAUUUAAAAGAAAAGAGUUUAAAGGGUUGGGGUUAAUAAUUGCAGGUGCUUCCUCCUAAAUGAGUGCAUCAAUCAUGAAUGUUUGAUGACACUUGUCAUCCUCCUUAGGUUGCUUCAUGAUGUGAAAGUUAUUGACGUCUAGGGUCAUGUUCCCAAAUGAUAGUUUCAUUGGACCAUCCUUGCAAUUGAUAAGAGCAUUAGUCGUGACAAGAAAAGUUCUACCAAGAAUUAUGGAAAUUUUGAAGUUAGCAUUUACAUCAACUUUUAGGUCCAAAAUCAAGAAUUCAAUAGGAUAGUAAAAUUUAUCAACUUGUGCCAACACAUCAUCAACUACUCCCCUAGGCCUAAUAAUGAAUUGAUCAGCCAAUUGUAAACUUACUGAUAUGGGUUUCAUCUCUCCUAGCCCUAAUGACAAGUAAAUAUCAUAUGGCAUGACAUGGACACUAGCCCCUAGAUUAAGAAGGGCUUGUGAAAUCUCAUGGUUCCCGAUGAUGUAAGAGACAGUAGGACAACUAGGGUCUUUAUACUUUGGCGAGAUCUUUUGCUCAAUCACAUCACUCACAUUUUCAGUCAAGAAAGCAGUUUUCUUGACAUGGUGUUUCCUCUUCACAGUGCACAAGGCUUUUAGGAUUUUAGCAUAUGUGGGAACUUGAAAGAUCAAAUGUAGAAGAGGUAGAUUGAUUUUUACUUGUUUUAAAUGCUCUAGGAUCUCACUAUGUUGGCCAACAGAUUUUGAGGUAGACUUGAGAGCUUGAGGGAAAUGUACUCUAGAUUGAUUUUUUACCACCUCCUUACUAGGGGGUGCUCUAUACUGCAUUGUUGGAGACCUUUUCAUUUUCUUUAGGUUUGAGAAUCAGUUCUAUGACCUUACCAGAUCGAGUGGUUAUGGCAUUUACUUCUCUAAGAUUGCUUUCUCCAGACCUUGAAGUUUGUGCCAUAUGUUGCCCCCUAGGGUUCAGUUGAGCUUGCGCUGGGAAUUUUUCCCACCCUCCAAUAGCUAAGGCAUUAGUUAGUUUGGACAUAUGAGAUUUUAUUUCCUUGUUUUCUUCAAAAAUUAGGGUGAUCAUGGUCUCAAACUUUUGGUUAGUCUUACUUUGUGCCUCUAUAAAUGCAUGUAGAGUGUCUUCUAAAGAGUUCCUAGAGGACGUGAGCUGAUAUGGAGGUGUAGUGUGAGCUUUAUUUGGCUGGCCUUCAGAUUUCCAGCAGAGAUUGGGGUGAUUUCACCAUCCCGAAUUGUAUGUUUCAGAAAAGGGAGAAUAAGACUUUUGGUAUGUGCCUAAGGCAUUGCAGUGUUCCUCUUAAACUUCCCUCAUCUCAGCAUAGGUUGCGUACCCUUGAGCUGGAUGAUUAGUUCCACCACAAACAAAACAUGGUCCUAAAGAUUCAACAUGGGAUGCAUUCUAUGUAGGCUUUGAGUCCCUAGCAUGUAAGAUUUUGAGUUCUUUAGUGAGGGCAUCUACCUUGGCUCUAAGGUCAUCCUCCUCCCUAAGAUGAUAAAUGGCUGUGCUAGUGGUGUUCGGGUAGGUCGAGACCUAUUAGUACUCUCAGUGGCACUAGGUCCACCAAGUAUGGGCUUUCUCGGCUAAGUUAUCUAAAUACUCUAUAGCCUCAUCUGGAUCUUUUUGUAGGAAUUCACCAUUACACAUCAUUUUCACAAACUGACGCUCCUUAGGUAAUAAUCCCUCAUAAAAGUAACUCACAACACGCCAACUUUCAUAACCGUGGUGGGGCAAAGGGCUUGCAAUUCUUUGUAUCUUUCCCAUGCUUGAUAUAAAGUUUCAUUAUCCUUUUGGGACAAAAGAAGGAUUUUUUUAAAGUAGUUGUUUUAUGAUGGGAAAAGUAUUUGCCAAAAAAUGCUUAGGUCAUUUUAGCCCAAGUCCCAAUCGAACGAGAUCGCAAUGAAUACACCCAGCUUUUUGCUCAUUCCUUGUGUGAAACUGAAAUUUUUUUUAGCCUGACUACAUCCAAUGUACCAUGUUGACUGUCGAAGGUUGCCACCACCUCCUCAAACUCCCUAAUAUGCAAGUAUGGAUUUUUGCUUUCAAGACUGUGAAAAUUGGGAAGAAGUUGAAUCAUUCCCGAUUUUAGGUCAAUACGUGGCAUGUUAGGUGGAAACAUGAUGCAUGACGAUGUAGAUGUGUGUGUGGGAUGAAGGUAAUCAUGCAAGGACCUAUAGGGUGCAUUACCAUGCUCACUAUCAGACAUUGUGUUAUAUGAUGUGGCGUUCGUGGCAAUAGAUUCAGUAUCUAAGAGAGGGUUAGAAGAGAUUCAAACAGUGGUUGAGGCUUUGCUAUAAAUAGCCCUCACUCGUCACGAAGCCUGUUCAUAAAACACAAAAAAAUGAAACUAAAUGAGAAAUAACAAAAUAAUUAAAAAAAUAAACUAAACUAACUAAAAGAAUGUAAAAAGGGACGAAGUCACCAUUUUGCUCGAGAAUCCUUCAAGUAUUAAUACCGUCUCCUCAACAACGGCGCCAAAAUUUGAUUACGCUCAAAGAAUAACGUGGUAGUUAUAGCACAGCUUUGGGGUGUCGAUUCCACAGGGAGAUGGACGAAUUGUUUAAAGGAUUUAUCGAACUAGGAUUUCAUGAAGUAUGUGAAAAUAAUUUGUCAAUUGGAAUGAGAUUUAAUUAUCAAUAUGCGAAGCAUCCUAAUUCCUUCAAUUGGAUUGGAUCAUCAACAUUAAUAAUUCAUGGGGUUUUGCUCAAAUCCCAACUCUCUAAUCGGAAGAUUUAAUAAUGAAGAUCAAUCAAAUUUCAAUUGUAAUCCUAGGAUUUAGACUUUUGUAAACCAUUCCCACACAUAUUUAUUGGACUAAGAUUAAGAAUCAACCAUAUACAAAAUGCAUAAGACAGUAAAUAAUCCACUAAUAAAGUUGAUUGAAAUUGAAAUUCAACAAUUAGUUCAAUUCCACAAUAGAAAAAGCAUGAUUGAGUCUAUGAAAAAUCUAGUAAAAGUUAAAUCAAUUUCAAAGUAAAUUCAUAAAAGAAAGUCUAGAUCUAGAAGUGUUUGACAAUAAAAAUAUCAAUUUGCAUGAAUAAAUGAUGUGAAGUCCCCAAAUUCAAUGAGUUAUUUCGUAGCUUCACCUAGGAAUUUAGUUCUCCAUCGAAUUCUUUAGCCCUAGAUGAGAGAAAAUUGUUAUGGAGGUGAAGAGAGGCGUUCUCUAUCCAGUCUAGGGCUUAAAACUAUGUGUCAAGUUGUUUCCAAAAGAGUUGAACUGAAUAAGGAAACUAAAUUUUCGACUAGAAUAUUCUAUGGGACUAGUUUCAGUAUUUUGACCAUAACUUUCUCUCCCGAUGUCCAAUUAAGAAAAUUCGAAGUGCGUUGAAAAGAUAACACAAAGGCUAUAAUUUUGCUAAUAUCUCUUUCCAAAUUUGGACAUUUACUAGGUCAAAAGUUGAUCUCAAUCUCUGGCCGAAAAUCUGGAAAAUCCUUAUGUGGUUUUGAUUUGAUUUGUGAAAAUAUUAUGGUCAUAUUUAACUUCUUUUGACUUCUAAUUGCACCAAAUGGACUCCUAGCUUUCUCAAAUCAUUAUUCCAUCGCCCAUCUCAUCUUUAGAUUAUUUGCAGCUUGGUCACUAAACUUUCACUUUCUUCCAUUUUUGGUCAUUUUUCACUCUUUUCUUCUAAAUUUCAAAUUUUCUACCAAAAUGCAACAUGAAUCACAGCAUAAGCAUAAUGAGGGCAUUUUGGUAUCAAAUAAUCAAACGAGUGCAAUAAUUAAGAUGGCAAAAUAUUAUAUUUUAUACUCUUAUCUCAACCUCCUCGAAACUCUACUCCUCAUUUUCCCUCUUAAUGCUAAUAAUUUUCGAUUCAAUCCAGGUAUGAUUCUAUUACUUCUUAAUUUUCAUGGCUUAGAAUCCAAAAGUUCAUAUUUGCAUCUUAAAGAAUUUAAGGAAGUAUGUGCCACAUUUAACAAUUAAACUUGUCCCAAUGAAAUUGUUUCCUUUUUCUCUAAAAGAUAAAGCAAAAACUUGACUUAACUCUUUAAAACCUAGGUCGAUUGGCACAUGGCAAGAAAUGCAAAGUGAGUUUUUUAAGAAAUUCUUUCCAGCACAUAAAACUAAUGCUUUGAAAAGACAAAUCCAAAAUUUUUCUCAAAAAAACAACGAAGCGUACUUCCAAUGUUUAGAAAGAUUUGUUAAAUACUUGCCCACAUCAUGGUUUUAAAAAAUGGCAUACUAUAAGUUUCUUUUAUGAGGCUUAACUCCUGAAACAAAAUAAUUUGUAGAAACGAUGUGCAAUGGUGAAUCUUCAGAUAAAGAUCUGGAUGAAUCUUUAGAAUUUCUAGAUCAUCUAGCUGAAAAUUCUCAAUCUUGGCAAACAGUAAAACCAAUCGUAAACUCAAUUAGAUCUAGUCUUGCUAGUUCUAGUGGAGGAAAAUAUCAAUUGAGUCAAGAUGAUGAUCUAAAUGCUAGGAUUGCUAGUUUGUAUAGAAAGGUUGAAGCUAUAGAAUUAAGGAAAGUAAAGGAAGUUAAACCAUUACAAAAUGAUGAAAUUUGUAGCAUUUGUGAAACUUUUGGGCAUCCAAAGCAUGAUUGUCCUAACAUCCCAGUUUUGAAAGAAGUUUUACAUGAUCAAGCCAAUGCUAUGGACACUUUUAAAAAGCCUUUUGCUUCUCCAUUCUCAAAAAUAUAUAAUCAACAAUGGAGAAAUUAUCCCAACUUUAGUUGGAGAGCCUUUUCCUUCUCCAUUCUCAUAAACAUAUAAUCGUGUUCAUAUAUCACAACCUCAAGGGCUUUCAAAAUUCCCUUCUUUUCCACAACCACAAUAACAAACUCUUGAGGAAACAUUGCAGCCAUUCAUGCAUGGACAAGCAAACAUUAAUAAUCAAACUUCACAAGCCGUCAAUGAAAUCAAGAACUCACUUUCUUCAUUGACCUCUUCUUUGCGUUCUCAAGAGAAAGGUAAAUUUUCUGCUCAACCUCAACUAAAUCCUUCUGGGCAAUUUAAUGUAAAUGCUUCUAAUUCCUCUGAAACUCAACAAGAAAUUGGCAACUCCAUCACAACUCUUCGUAGUGGAAAAAUUAUUGACAAAACCAUUCCUUCAAAAGAACUAAAAUUGGGUGGAACUUCAAAGUAAGAAAAUGAUGUUUCCAAAACUGAGGAAAAAAUCAUUUCUGAACCUAGUGUUGAAAAAUGCCUCAUUCCAGCUCCAUUUCCUCAAUGAUUGCAACCAAUUUCAAAACUCAACCAUAAUUCUGAAAUUUUUGAACAUUUCAAACAAGUUAAAAUUACCAUACCAUUAUUGCAUGCAAUCAAACAAGUUCCUUCAUAUACAAAAUUUUUAAAAGACACACUGUCAAGAGAAAACUAAGCAUUUUUGACAGAGAACGUGAGCUCAAUUAUUCAACAAAACACUCCACCUAAAUUCAAAGAUCCUGGUUGUCCAACAAUUUCUUGUGUGAUUGGGAAUAAUAGGAUAGAGUGUGCCUUGCUUGAUCUUGGUGCUAGUGUUAAUCUAUUACCUUUUUCUGUGUCUUGGUUUGGGAGAACUUAAGCCAACAGCAACAAUACUUCAACUUGCUGAUCAUUCAGUAAAAGUUCCAAGAGGGGUUGAAGAGGAUGUUCUAGUUCAAAUUGAUAAAUUCUAUUAUCCUAUUGAAUUUAUUGUUUUGGACACACAUCCCAUUUUAAAUUCAAAUGCACAAAUAGUCAUUUUAGGACGUCCCUUUCUUGCUACUUCAAAUGCGUUGAUAAAUUGUAGAAAUGGUAUCUUGAAACUCUCUUUUGGAAAUAUGACAAUGGAAAUGAAUAUUUUUAACAUUUGCAAGCAACAUGGAGAUAAAGAUAAUUUGGAUGAAGUAGAUUUUAUUGAACAACUUGUUGAUGAUUAGUUUAUCACUACAUCUUCAUCUGAUGUGCUAGAAUUUGAAUUCAUCGAUAAUUCUAAAAAUCCGCAUAUAAUUUCUUUGUUGAAUUCUUUUCAGGAGAAAAAGAUAAGUGAUUGGAAAUCAAAGUUUGAGAAAUUAUCACAACAGUCCAAUAUGUUCAUGAUUUCUCACAACAAUCCAAUAUGUUCAUGAUUUCAAGUGUUCAAAUGCCAAAGAUCGACUUGAAACCAUUACCAUCUAAUCUGAAAUAUUCAUUUUUGGGUUAAGAUGAAAUUUUUUCGGUAAUAAUUUCUUCCAAACUUGAUGCGCACCAAGAAGGUAAGUUAUUACAAAAUUGAAAAAUGCAUAAAAAUGUUUUAGGAUGGACCAUGGCUGAUAUAAAGGGGACUAGUCCUUUGAUUUGCACACAUAAGAUUUAUUCGGAAGAAUAUGCUAAACCCACAAGAGAAAUGCAAUGAAGGCUUAAUCUUAUUUUAAAAGAGGUGGUAGGAAAUGAAGUCAUUAAACUCUUAGAUAAUGAAAUCAUUUAUCCUAUUUUUGAUGGUAGAUGGGUAAGUCCAACCCAAGUUGUACUAAAAAAAUCCGGUGUUACUGUAGUAAAAAACGAAGAAAAUGAGUUAGUUCCAACUAGAACUGUUACUGGUUAGCACAUGUGUAUCGACUAUAGGAAUCUCAACUUAAUGACUAGGAAAGAUCAUUUUCCUUUACCUUUUAUGGAUCAAGGAAAGAGUGGCAGGACAUGAAUUUUAUUGUUUUCUAGAUGGAUAUUCUGGGUAUAACCAAAUUGAAAUUGCACCUGAGGACCAAGUAAAGACCACUUUCAAAUGUCCCUUUGGUACUUUUGCUUAUCGUAGAAUGCCUUUUGGAUUAUGCAAUGCACCAGCUACAUUUCAAAGAUGCAUGCUUAGUAUUUUUAGCGACAUAAUUGAAAGAUCUUUGGAAGUUUUCAUGGAUGAUUUUUCUGUUUUUGGAGAUUCAUUUGAUUAUUGUUUAACUAACUUACAAAAAGUUUUAGUUAGGUGUGAAGAAAAGAAUCUUGUGCUCAACGGGGAAAAAUGUCAUUUUAUGGUCACUAAUGGCAUCGUACUUGGUCAUAUUGUAUCAUCUAACGGAAUUGAGGUAGACAAAUCUAAAACUGAAUUAAUUUCUAAUUUGCCUACUCCAAAUAGUGUUAAAGAGGUAAGAUCUUCUUUAGGACAUUCUGGUUUUUAUAGAAGGUUUAUCAAAGACUUUAGUGCCAUAUCUAAAUCAUUGUGUAAUCUCUUAUCUAAAGACAUGCCUUUUGAAUGGACUAAGUCUUGUCAAGAAGCUUUUGUUAAACUUAAGAAUAUGCUUACUUGUGCUCCUAUCAUGACACCUUUGGAUUGGAAUUUAUCUUUUGAAAUCAUGUGUGAUGCUAGCGAUUAUGCCGUUGGAGCUGUCUUAGGCCAAAGAAGAGAUAAAAAGCCUCAUGUCAUUUACUAGGCAAGUAAAACUCUAAAUAGUGUUCAAAUGAAUUAUUCAUGGCUCACCAAUUGUUAUUUUUAGUGAUCAUGUAGCUUUAAAAUAACCUCUCUCUAAGAAAGAUGCUAAACCUAGGAUGAUUAGGUGGAUUCUUUUACUCCAAGAAUUUGACAUCACCAUUCGAGAAAAGAAAGGAGUAGAGAAUGUUGUAGUUGAUCACUUGACUAGGCUUACUUGUGAUGAAUCGUUUGAAACAAAAUCAAUGAAGGAUACUCUCCCUGAUGAACAGCUUCUUAGUGUUUCUGACUUGCCUUGGUUUGUUGAUAUUGCUAAUUUUCUUGUAACAGGUUAAAUACCAUCUCAUUGGAAUGUGCAAGACAAAAAGAAAUUCUUCAAAGAGGUAAGAAAUUUCUUUUUUGAUGAUCCCCACCUAUUCAAAUAUUAUCCGGACCAAAUAAUAAGAAGAUGUGUGCCAAAUAAUGAAAUCCAAAAGAUAAUUGCCUUUUGCUAUUCUGAAGCAUCUCUUUUCUUCAAAGAAAACUGCUGCAAAAAUCUUGCAGUCUGGAUUUUAUUGCCUAACUCUUUUCAAAGACACAUGAAUUUUGUAAAGCUUGUGAAUGUUGUCAAAAAAUAGGCGAGAUAACUCAUAGAAAUAUGAUGCCAUUGACACCCAUACUAGUUAUUGAAAUAUUUGAUUGUUGGGGUAUUGAUUUCAUGGGUCCAUUCUCAUUUGGUUAUUUAUACAUCUUGGUAGGAGUUGAUUAUUUUUCUAAAUGGGUAGAGGCAAUUCCUUGAAAACACGAUGAUCACAAAAUUGUUAUGAAAUUUUUGAAAGAAAAUAUUUUUUCAAGAUUUGGAAUACCUCGAGCCAUUAUAAGCGACGGCGGUUUACCGAUUGGUGUCUAAAAGUGCUUCAAAAAUAUACCAUUUACAAGGCAUUGUACAUUCACUUUGUUUAAAACCACUAAUGUUAGUCUCUAAUUUCAAUUCUCUUGCCAUAAAUUCAAUUUUCAUAAAUAUAUGGUUAAAAGAUCAAUUAAUCGAAAUGCGUAUUUAAAUACAUGUCGGCAUGAGUAUUAUACUUUUAAAGAGUAUUUAUUUGAUGUAUUUCACAUGUAUUUCCAAGGUAGAACAAGUGGAGAAAAAAAUGUUGAAAAGUAAAAAAUAUCAGCUGUCUCGAGUAAAGAUACAGCUGUCUCGGUGAAAUUGCCAUAACUCGAGUUGUAGAUAUCGAAACAAGGUGAUUCAAGUCGGGUUGGAAAGAUAAGAUAUGCAUCUACAACUUUUUUGUUUACCAAGAAGUCAAAUUCACAUCAUAAGGUAGCCAAAAUUACUGUGCAAAAUCUAACUUGUUACCUGCCGGAUACAGCUUUUUCUACUUGUGAACAACACUCAUUGUUUUGGCCAUAUCUGGAGUUGUAGAGAUCCAAUGGAUCUGACAUUGUCUCAACUGGCAACAAUUUAUCGGUGGAUCAUAAGUCCAAAUUCAUGGCAUAAAGUAUCUGAAAAUUGACAUCAAGUUGCAUAUUCUAGCUGUCUUGAAGUUGGACAGAAACAAGUUGCAUUGUCUACUUCCAUUUUGGAUGUUUCUUUGCCUAUAAAAGGGAACCUUGGCCAAGAUUUUGAGGGCAUAAAUUCCUCUUCAUCAUAUUCUAGUUUUCUUCAUUUUCUUUGUAAGAUUUGAUUAUAUAUUUCUAAACCAUUAGCUAGAACUAGGGGUGAAACUUUGGUGAAUGUGUAGUAUUGUCUUUGAUCUUUCACUUUGUUCUUCAAUGUUCAUCUUCUUAUUUGGUUGAAAUAUAUGUUCUACAAAUGGUUUUGGUUUAUUAAAGAUUUUGAUUUAUUGUUGACAAAUUUUGGCACAAUAAAUGCUUAGAUAAUUUCUACAUUCCAACAACUUAUUUUGACAUAUUCUCUCAAACAAUUAUCAAGAUCUAUCUUUUAGUAUAUUUGCAAUCAAUGUUUUAUCUUCCAUAUUUCAUAUGAGUUAAAUAAAAGAUCAAGAGUAAUUUCUACUUAUUUUUCCGAAGUGAAUCCCUAAAGCUCUAGUGUUCUUCUUCAUCAUAUUUCCACCAACAGUUUACUACUCAUAGACUAGUUUAUUUCCUUCCAAUUCCUUGUGGUUCGAUCUCGGAUUUUCGAGUUUACUACUUAAGACAACCUGCACUUAGGUUUGCAACCUUAAAGUUGUAGAGUUUACACUUCUGUAAUAAACUUUUUAAGGCCCUAAUGAAAAAAUAUGGAAUUACUCAUAAACUAUCUACUCCUUAUCACCCAAACACUAGUGGUUAAGUUGAACUCGCAAAUAGAGAGAUUAAAUGCAUUUUGGAAAAAAACAAUGAAUCCAAAUAGAAAAGAUUUGUCUUUACGAUUAACCGAUACACUUUGGGCUUAUCGUACAGCUUUCAAAACACCCCUUGGUAUGUCACCUUAUCAACUUGUUUUUGGAAAGCCUUGUCAUUUACCUGUUGAAUUGGAACACAAAGCAUUUUGAGCUAUUAAAAUAUUUAAUUUCAGUUUAGAUGAAGGUUUACUAAGGAAACUUCAAUUGAAUGAGUUGGAAGAAAUUAGGAAUGAAGCUUGUGAAAACUCUCGAAUUUACAAGGAGAGAAUGAAGGUAUUCCAUGAUAAAAAUAUUGUUAGAAAAACUUUUGAGUCUUCCCAAAAAUUUCUUUUGUACAACUCAAGAUUACAUUUAUUUCCUGAAAAAUUAUGCUCCAAAUGGAUUGGUCCUCUCAUUGUCAAAAUUGCUUACCCACAUGGAGCUGUAGAAAUUAAAAAUCCAAGUAAUGAAAAUAUUUUUAAAGUUAAUGGACAUCGUUUGAAACCAUUUUUUAAGAAUUUCUCUAGAUUAAAAGGGUCCAUUGAUCCUAAAGAUUGAUAUCAUUUUCUCAUUAGUUUAUUUUGUAUGUUUCUUUUCAAUUUUAUAAUGUUGUGCGUUUGUUUUAGGUGUGUUUCUUUUAUUGUCAUUUUUCUUUUUCUCUCCUUUUUUUUUUUUGGCUAAUGAAAUUGAAGGUUCAUUUAGGCCAAGUUUAUGCAGACUCUCCAGGUAAAUCUCAAAACCCGUUCCUUUGUUCAAAAUUUUGCUCCUUACUGUCCUUCAUAUACUUUGCAUGUUUAAUCUUCACAUUGAGGACAAUGUUUCAUUUAGGUUGGGGAGAAAGGAAUAAAAAAAAAAAAAAGACUUGCCGAGCAAUGAUGAUAUUAUUUGAAAUUGUUUUUAUAUUAUUGUGACUAGGGAAUGCUGUUUUGAUUUAGUUGAAACUUGUUCAUGUUAGAAUGAUUUACAUUGAGCACAAUAAUCAUGAAAAUCACAUAUUAUUUAGAUUGGAUCAAUGGAUAGAAUAUGUCGAAUUAACCAUGACAAAAAAAAUAAAAAAUAAAAAAUUCUACUAAACCAAUUCUAGUAUAGUUUGGGGUAGUUGAGCUGUUGUAGGGAGAAAUUAAGAUAGAUGUGGAUUCCAUGCGUGUUAAAUUUUGUGUGGAUUGCUUAAGACCAAUGAGAUGAUAAUUACGUAAAAAUUUUAAGUUAAAGAUCAAUUUUUGAGAAUAAGUAUUUAAUGAGGGGCAUUGCACUAAUCAUUGCAUAGAAGGGAAAAAAGCUGUCAUGUUGUGAAGCUAUCCUAAAAGAGCCGAAUGAGGACAAUUAUAUAUAUAAAAAGAGAUCAGGCUAGUGCACGAAACAGAAUACGCACGACAAACUUGAAAAAAGCAGGUGCAUGAAACAGAAGACGCACUACAUGCUUGAUUGAGUCCCAAACACUUAUUUUAGAGAAUUAGACAUUUGAUAAGGGAUUAGUAGUUUAGUUGAUUCUUGGAGGUUGAAUCGGUCAAAAUUAAGGAGAAUUCUCAUUUAUUAAUGUGUUGAACUAUAAUUAGUAAAAUCUAACCAAACUAGAGAGGGUGAGUAAUAGUAUAUAAAUUUAACCAUAAAUCACACCUUGAGAAAAUAGUUACAAAAUCAAGUUUGAGGAUGUGCAUCCCACGAGAGAAGAGAGAAAUAAUUGACCAUUCAGGGUUAGGAUGAGUCCAAUUUGAAAAAGUAUGUGAUUGAAUUAAUUAUGCACAUACAUACGUUGGUCGAGUAUUGGACAAGUUAGACUAUGUUUUGGUAGCAAACCUUAAAAACAUUUUGUUAAGUAGUUUCAAAUCUUGAGACAAGUGCGACAAGCUAUUUUAUUUGAACUAUUUUGAAUUUUAUUGCUAGAGACUAGUAAUAUCUUGGUUGGAAGUGUGAUUAGUGUCUAAAAAUGCUUCACAGAUAUAUCAUUUACAAGGCAUUUUAUAUUUACUUUGUUUAAAAACACUAAUGUUAGUCUCUAAUUUCAAUCCUCUUGCCGUAAAUUCAGUUUCAAUAAAUACAUGGUGAAAAGUGCAAUUAAUCGAAAUACGUAUUUAAAUACACGUCAACAUGAGUAUUAUACUUUUGAAAGAGUAUUUAUUUGAUGUAUAUCACAUGUAUUUCCAAGGUAGAACAAGUGGAACAAGUGGAGAAAAGAUGUUGAAAAGUAAAAAAUGAUUAGUUGUCUUGAGCAAGAUACUACUGUCUCGAUAAAAGGGACAUAACUCGAGCUGUAGUUAUCGAAACAAGGUGAUUCAAGUUGGGCUGGAAAGAUAAAAUACGUAUAUAAAAUUUUCAUGUUUACCAAGAGUCAAAUUCACAUCAUAAGGUAGCCAAAAUUACCAUGCAAAGUUCAACUUGUUACCUAUCGGAUACAACUUUUCUACCUGUGAAGCAGUACUUAUUGUUUUGGCCAUAUCUGGAGUUAUAGAGACCCAAUGGACCAGAUAUUUGUACCAAUGGAAAGCUAACUCAAGUGUAACAAUUUAUUUAUUGAUCAUAAGUUCAAAUUUGCUAAACAAAGUAUUUGAAAAUUGGUAUCAAAUUGCAUGUUCCAACUGUCUUGAAGCUCGACAGAAAUAAGUUGCAUUGUCCGCUUGCAUUUUGGAUGUUCCUUUGCCUAUAACCUUGGCCAAGAUUUUGAGAGCAUCAAUGACUUUAUUAUAUUCUAGUUUCUUUCAUUUUCUUUGUAACAUUUGACUAUAUAUUUCUAAACUAUUAGCUAGAGCUAUGGGUGAAACUUUGGUGAAUGUGUAGUAUUGUCUUUGAUCUUUCACUUUGUUUUUCAAUGUUCAUCUUCUUACUUAGUUGAAGUAUAUAUUCUACAAAUAGUUUUGGUUUGUUAAAGACUUUGAUUUAUUGUUGACAAUUUAGGCACAAUAAAUGCUUAGAUAAUCUCUACAUACCAACGACUUAUUUUGACAUAUUCUUUCAAACAAUUUUUAAGAUAUAUCUUUUAGUAUAAUUGUGAUCAAUGUUUUAUCUUCCAUAUUUCAUAUGAUUUAAAUAAAAGAUCAAGAGUAAUUUUUACUUAUUUAUCCGAAGUGAAUUCCCAACGCUCUAGUGUUCUUCUCCAUCGUAUUUCUACCAACUGUUCACUACUCAUAGAUUAGUUUAUUUUCUUCUAAUUCCCUGUGGUUCAACCUCGGUCUUCCGAGUUGACUACUUGGGACAACCUGUGCUUAGGUUUGCAACCUUAAAGUUGUAGCAGAAACAUGCUCGUAUUGCUUCGAUUUGCCCUUCAAAUUUAGUUGUAAAACCAUAAUGAUUAAAAUCAAAUGAAGUUCAAAAUGAUUUCUUCCAUUAAGAUCCCCCAACUCCUCUUUUGGAAUCAUUUGAUCCCCAAAUUUCAAUGGUGGCAUUGAAUUGAUCAAGUUUGUGUGGAGCCUUUUGUGGCUUAAGGUGAGAUUGAUAUAAUCAAACACCUUUUCUAUCAAUGGAUGAAUGGCUCCUCUGUCCUCAGUAUCGAAGAAAGCUUAUGAAAAACAGUGAAAGGUCGAUAAAUACCCAAAUAUUAACUAGGAUUCAAAAAACCAAUUAACAAAGUAGUAAGUAAAGUGCAAAAAAUAGAAAAAUCAACACAAGGAUUUUUUCGGCCGAAGACCCAGAAGUUCGACGAACACAUCUAACGCCUAAUCUCCUAUUGAGCAUCCAUUAUAAAUGGAUUUAGCUCGUUUGCACUAUAAAGCCAAAAUCCCGCAACAAGAAUAUAUAAUAUGUUCCAAAAAUUACAAAGAUCAAGCUACUAAGACUUAUCUUUAAGAAGAUUGAAGAAUCAAAUCACACUCUUUCAGAAACUUGAAGAAGAUCACUCAGAUUUUCUCAAAAACCCUACUGCUUGCACGAAUCACUUAGAUUCUGGGACAUUUAACUCAUAAUACAGUGCAGUAGCAUGUAGAUCUAGAGUAUUACAGAUGUUUCACUAAGAUUUAAUCAUUGAAACACUCAAGAACUCAAACCUUAAUCACGAAGAAUGAGCAAUUCUCACGAAUAGGAAAGGAGAUGAAGAGAUGAAACUCCACCCUAGAAAUUCUCUCAAAGUGUGCAAGUCAAAGAGUCACGAUCAGAAUAUAAAGCAAGAAGCAUCUAGAACUUAAUCAAACAGUCAUCACUGUACCACACGUCACAAUUUGAUUGAAGACCUCCAAUAACAAAGGUGUAAAAUCAGAAACACGCUUUCUUCACAUUUUGGAAGCACACUUUUAUAAGUAAUGAGGUCAAUGGUUCGAAACUCAACAAUCUCCACAUUGCUUCCAAAAUUCUUGGCAAUAGUGCAGCCAGGAGCUUCACCAACUAUUUAUAAUUUCAUUUGCUCUGGUACCUGUAUAGUUAAUGACAAGAAUCAACAAAUAAAUCCUUUAAACAAUUUUUGAAACUUGUUUAAAGGUAUCACUUUUGUUCCCAUAUAAGACGAAUUACACUAAGUAGGAAUUUUAUAAAUUUUCUGCAACCAUUUUAAGAUAAUAUCUGUAAUAAAACGGUAUUUGACAUCAAUGUGUUUAGUUCUUUCAUGGAACAUGGGAUUGUUACUCAAAUGGAUUACACUCUAAUUGUUAGAAUAUAGGAUUGGAUUAGUGUCUGCAAAACCAAGUUCAUUUAACAGUCCAACAGACAUCUACAUUCUUUGAUGGCAUCAGUGGCUGUAACGUAUUUAGCCUUUGUGGAAGAUAGAACAACAAUUUUCUUUAACUGAGAUUUCUUGCUUAUUAUAAUGCCACACAAAGUGUAAAAAUAUGAUGAGAUUGAUCUCAUAUUGUCUCUAUCCUCAGUAAAAUCAGAAUUUGUAUAUCCCUUUAGAAUUACACCCUCUUUAUUCAUUCUAAACAUGAACCAUAAGUUAGAUGAACCCUUUAGAUAUUUCAUUAACUAUUUCAAAGCUUUCCAGUGACUUUCAUCAGUAUUUUCCAUAAAUUUACUCAAAACACUAAUACUAUAUGCCAAGUCAGGUCUAGUGCAAAUCAUCAAGUACAUAACUGAUCCAACAACAUUAGCAUAGGGUAUUUUUGAUAUUCUUCUAAGUUCAUCUUCAGUUUUAGGGCAAUAAUCUGAUGUUAAUAUAAAAUGAUUAGUAAGGGGUAAAGACACAGGUUUACAAUCAAACACGUUAAACCUUUUUAGGUUCUUAUUCACAUAAUCUUGUUGACUUAAGAACAAGCAAUCAGAUUCUUUAUUUCUCAUGAUUUGCAUACCAAGAAUUUUCUUGGUAGGGCCAAGAUUCUUUAUAUCGAAUUUUGAUUUUAAUUUGUAUUUGAUAUCAUCAAUUUCAGAUUUAUUAGCACUGCAAGAAGUAUAUCAUCAACAUAAAGCACAAGAUAAAGAGGGUCUGUAACACCAUUUCCUUUACAAUAAAGACAUGUAUCAUAGUUGCUUCUAUUAAAACCAAGCUUUAAGACAAAUGAAUCAAAUCUUUUGUACUAUUGUAUUGGAGCUUGUUUUAAGCCAUACAAUUUUUUUUUUCAACAAACACACAGUUUUAUUAGGAUUUCCUUUAAUAAAUCCUAUGGUUGUUUCAUGUAAAUCACUUCAUCCAAUUCACCAUAAAAAAUGCAGUUUUAACAUCCAGUUGAUCAAAUUUCCACUUAAAUUGCACGACCAAAGCAAGAAUGCAUCUUAUUGUAGUACAUUUAACUAUGGGGGAAAAAUCUCAUCAUAGUUCACACCCUCUUUUUGUGUGAAACCCUUGGUAACAAGUCUAGCUUUGUAUCUAACCUUAUUAGUAUCCUCUUCCUCUUCCCCUUCUUUUAUUUUAUAAAUUCAUUUACAAUCAACUAGUUUCUGAUCCUUUGGUUUAUCAAUUGAUUCCCUUGUCUUAUUUUUGUACAAAGAAGCCAUUUCUUCUUCCAUAGCAGCCAACCACCUUUUAGAGUCUUCAGAUUUUAAGGCUUCAUUAUAUGAACUAGUUCAUAUCCUUUUUCUUCCUGGUAAGUGAAUAAAGACACAAAGUCAUCACUAUUAAACCUUGUAGAUGAUCUAAUUUGUCUCCUAUCCUUAUCUCUUGUGAGCUGGUAUUUAUCCAGUGUUACAUAUGUGUUAUCAUAUUGCUUAGGUUUUGCCAAAUCAAGCUCAUUUUCAUUCAGGUCGGCCUUAAUAGUUUCAGUUUCUAAGGGGACAAACUAUUAUUAUUAAUUUUAACAGGCUCCACCUCAAUUUGGACAUAAUUUUUCGUUAAAUUCCCUUUCUUUCCUUCCAAACAUGGCAUACGUGACUCAUUAAAGGCCACAUCCCUUCAAAUGAUAACCCUAUAACCUUUUCCCCAUAAACCCACAGCCUAUACCUUUUAAUAUUUUCAGCAUAGCCCAAAAAUACACACGUCAGUGAUCUAGAUUCAAGUUUCCCUAUGUUUUGAUUUGCAUAUGCAGCACAACCAAAAGUUUUCAAAUAAGAGUAUACAAUAGGCUUUUAUGUCCACAUAGAUUCAGGCAUAUCAAAAUUUAAAGCGCUUGUAGGACUUCUACUAAUCAAAUAUGUAGCAGUUUUAACAGUCUCACCCCAAAAUAAUUUGGGUACGCUUGUACUUAAAAGCAUGCAUCUAACCUUAUUCAAUAAAGUCCUAUUCAUUCUUUCUGCAAUUCAAUUUUGCUGGGGUGUAUGUGUUAAGAGUUCUAUGUCUUCAAAUGCCAUGCAAUUUGCAAAAAAUCAAUAAACUCAUAAUUGCAAAAUUCUAGGCCAUUGUUUGUUCUUAAAGUCUUAAUUUUCAAAUCAGUUUGAUUUUCAAUUUGGAUUUUUCAAUCUUUAAAUGUAGUAAAUGUUUCACCUUUAGUUUUCAGCAACAAAAUCCAAAUUUUCCUUAAAAAUCAUCAACAAUCAACAAGUAAUACUUGUAACCAGACAAUAUAGGUGUGGAUGAAGGGCCCCACAAAGCAAAAUGUAUAAACUCUAGAAUUUGCUUUGAUUUUUGAGUUCUAGUGGGAAAGGGAAACUUAACUUGUUUUCCAAUCAAACAUCGUUCACAAGUAAGUAAUUCACCAAUAUUUGAUUUUCCAAAUGCACCUUUAUUUUGAAGAGCCUUUAGACCUUUCAUCCCAAUGUGACCAAGUCUACAAUGCCAUAAUUUUGCCAGGUUAAAUUCAUUAUCUAAAGCUGCUAUAGAUAGACCCAUUAAAGAUUUUGCGUUUAGAAAAUAUAAACCAUGUCUCUUUGGGAUAGAAAUGAUCAAGUCACUAUAAAGAUUUAAUAUGUCCUUGACCCAAUUUAAUGUCAAACUCCAUACCAUCAAGCAUCCCUAGAGACACAAAGUUCUUUUCUAAUUCAGAAACAAAUCUAGCAUUCUUUAACAGUAAAACUUUGCCAUUUUCUAAAAGCAUUUUUAUUGUUCCAAUCCCUUUUACUUUACAAGUCAUGAUGUUUUCCAUGAUAACUUGACCUCCUUUAAUUUAUUCAAAAUUCAAAAAAUAGUUUUUGUUUGGACACAUGUGGAAAGAGCAGCCUCAGUCAAGAAUCUAUUUUUGAUUCAUGUUUCUUUCAACAUUUACAAGAACUAGGCCAUUGUUCAUUUGUUGCUUAUCAUAGGACAUAACAGCAUUAUCGUCACUUGACUCCUUUUCUUUUAAAUCAUUUUGCUUUUUAUAUUAGUCUUUAGAAAAGUGACCCAACCUACUACAAUAAUAGCACUUCUUUCCCUUGGCCUUAUUUUUAUAUUUCAUUUUAUCAUUGUUCUUUCUUCUAGGGUCAAUGGGAAAUUUUGAAUGAAAAUUAGAUUUACCAACAUUUUUGCCUUUUAUAAAAGGAUUUUCUCCAUUUUGAUUGUUAAUAGAAUCUAAUUUGAGUUCAAGAACCUUAUUUCUUAAGGCAUUUAUAAUGAUAUUAGUUGUAAGCUUAUUUCUACCAUAUUCAAGGGCAUUCUUGAGGUCUCUAUGUCUAUCAAUAAUGGAGUUUAACAAGAUCACAACCAAUUGAUCAUUUGAUGAUUUUCAUCACAGUUGGCAAGGUCCUGGGUCAAUUUUGUAAAUCUGUCUAGGUUUUCAUCCAAUUCAACAGAAGAGUCCAUUUUAAAAGAAAAGAACUGUUUAGGUAAAAAAAUUUAUUUAGGACAGUCUUUGGCUCAUAUUGAGCCUUUAAUUUGGUUCACAAUUUUUCAGCAGUUUUAGUUUUUCCUAUACACCUGAUCACAUCGUUUGAAAAGUACGAGAAAAUAGUACUCCAAGCUAUUUAUUCUAACUUAAUUCUUUUAGACACAGACAUUUCUACAGGCCAAGAAUUGUCUAAGGCUCUAGCACAUUUUAACUGCAUUAAGAUAGCUUUCAUCUUUUGGCUCCACAUAUUAAAGUCCCUCCCUUCCACCAUACAUAUUCACUUCAAACUUAGCAGUGGCCAUUACAAGAUACCCCAAGAUAAUACACAGAGAGAUACACAAUAAGUGGACAACAUGCAGAUAGGGGAUUGGGGCCAACAGUGAUGCACUUAUACUAAUUUUUUCAAAUAGUGAACACACAACACCAAUUAUAAGGGCAGGAUCACAUAACAGAGAUAGCAAUUCCUAUGUCUCAACUGACUUCUCCGGCAAGACCUUCCAUUUGCACUCCUCACUGUGUUGUUUUCUCAGAUUCCCAAGACUUUUUAGAGUCUUUGGACAAAGACCAAUCACAGGAGGGGUUAAGUGCAAGGUAAAUCAAGGGAAAACUUCAGGAGACUCUACAGCAAAGAGAUUACAAGUAGCAGUAUACACGAAAGAUCUCACCAAAGAGUUCAACAGAACUCAAAAUUUCUACAGCCAAUGUUCACUCGAUUUGAAGGUAGGUUUCAAAUCCAAUUUUUCACAAAGAUCAAUUUUCCUUCAGCAGACCAGCCUUUGAUACCAUCGGAAGGUCGAGAAAUACCCAAAUAUUAACCAAGAUUAAAAAAACAAUUAAGUAAAGUGCAGAAAAUAGAAAAAUCAACAUAAGGAUUCUUUCGACCGAAGCCCCAAAGGUUCGGGCGACCACAUCUAACGUCUAAUCCCAUGUUGAGCAUCCAUUAUAAAUGAAUUUAGCUCGGUUGCACUAUAAAGCCAAAAACCGGCAACAAGAAUAUACAAUAUGUUCCAAAAAUUACAAAGAUCGAGCCACUAAGACUUAUCUUAGAAAGAAUGAAGAAUUAGAUCACACUCCUUCAGAAACUCAAAGAAGAUCACUCAAAUCUUUUCAGAAACCCUACUGCUUGCACGAAUCACUUAGAUUCUGGUACAUUAAACUAUAACACAGUACAGUAGCAUAUAGAUCUAGAGUAUUACAAACGUCUCACUAAGAUUUAAUCACUGAAACACUCAAGAACUCAAAACCCUAAUCACGAAGAAUGAGGGAUUCUCACGAAGAGGGAAGGAGAUGAAGAGAUGAAAGCCACCCUAGAAAUUCUCUCAAAGUGUGCAAGUCAAAGAGUCACCGUUAGAAUAUAAAGCAAGAUGCAUCUAGAACUUAAUCAAGCAGUCAUUACUGCGCCACGCAUCACAAUCCGGUUAAAGACCUCCCCUAACAAAGGUGUAAAAUCAGAAACACGCUUUCUUCACAUUUUGAAAGCACGCUUUUAUAAUUAAUGAGAUCAAUGGUUCGAAACUCAACAAACGGAUUUCUCAAAAUCUGAUAACAUCCAUCUCACAUCGUCCCCGAGUUGAAAAACUAUUCCCUUUAUUCCAGUUCGAAUAGCAUAUGCUGAUUUGGAGUCGAAAAGGGCAUCAAUUUUUGGUAAAAGAGACGCCAAAGUAUCAUAUAGGCNUAAUUGAAUAAAUUGAUGAGCAUGAACGUGUUAGAGAAAAAUAAACUUUAUACUAUAUAUUACUAACAAAAUAAACUAUAUAUACUUUAUUCUGGUUUAGUUCGAUUUUAAAUCGUGAUUUUCUUCAUAUAUGAUUUAUUCUGGUUCAGUUAAAUAUUACUAACAAAAUAAACUAUAUACUAACUAUAAUCGCAAUAACUAGAAGAGUUUGCUGAGCUUUUGGGUUUACACAUUGGGACGUGAAGAAGUUUUUGUGUCUGAAAUAUGUAGUACAAACUAUGAAUAAUUAUGGAUUGUGUGCUUUAUCACAUUACAGUAUUUAGUGAGUUAUAGUUCAUCAAACUGCCUAACUUAAAUUAAAAUAGUUAUAAUAUAUUUUGUAGGUGAAUAUUUUAUCGAUUUGAUGAUUCUGAUCCGUGUUCAAUUUGGAUUAUUUUUAGAAUCCUAAUUUUUUUUAUUUGUACUUCUAUUUUUUUAUUAUUAUUAUUUUUAAAUUAUAAGCGGUCUAAUUCAAUUUCAAAUGUGAAAGCUUUAAUUGGUUUAAACAGUACUUGCAAGUUAUCACAUGUUACAUGUGAAUAUGUUCAUAAAACUUAUUUUAGGGAACAAGAAUGAAUCAUUGAAUUGAAAUGGACACGAAUUUUGGGUUAGGUGUCACUAAUUGAUGUUGGCAAUGGGUGAUAUAGCAUAUACUCUUACAAUCAAUCAAGCCAAAGUAAAAUGCUCUUCAUUUUUUUAUUUUAUUAUUAUUAUUUUUUUUUGGGUUCACACCACAUAUUUUGAUAAAUACACUACUUUUAAAUCACAUUAAAAGGUAUUAAGUUCUAUUCAUUAUUACAAUUAUAUUCUUAAAUUUUUUCAUCACAUUCUUAUUUUUAGCACUUUGUUAAUAAAUUUUUUUUGUCCUUAUUCAUGAAUUUUAAGUUCUAUUCAUUAUUACAAGUAUAUUCUUAAAUUUUUUCAUCACAUUCUUAUUUUUAACACUUCGUUGAUAAAAUUUUUUUGUCCUUAAUCAUGAAUUUUUUUGAAAAUAUUAUUAACGUGCUUUAAGAUAAUUAUAAAAUAUUAUUUAGUUUGCAUAUUCAAAAAUACAAUUGAAAAAUGAGACAUUUGACUCUAUCUUAAAAAAAAAAAUUGGAGAGAAACUAUAAUCAGAAACAAAUUAUGUUAAUUUGAGAAUAAGAAUGCGAUGAAAAAAAAUUGAGACAUAAACGUAAUAAUAUGUAAAGGUUAUGAACCUUUUAUGUAAUUAAAAUGUAGGUGAGAAUAUAUUUAGCCUUUUUUAUGUCUCUAUGUUAUAACCAUUAUAGAAAGCUUUUUGUUCUAAUAAAUAUUAACACUUUGUCAACAUUCCGCCUUUCUUUUCCAAAAUUUACUCUAUAAUGGAAUCAAGAGAUAACAAACAAAUGAGGUUAAAAUAAUCGUUUUAUUAAUCACAUUUAUUAUUUUUAUUGCACCUUUAUUACUGUUAUAGCUCGGGAAUUUUUGACAUCUAAUUAUUAGGGUUUGGUAUCUAAAGAAGAGUACCACUUUUGUUGAUAUUGGUUGUUUUCAAUUAUUUAAUAAUAUUUUGUAGAGUUUCUCCAAAUCGUUUAAUCCAAUUUGAUGUUCCAUGUGAAUCAACGAAAUUGAAUCCCUGCUCUCUAAGUUGGAUCACUUUAUCAUUUCUCUCCAAAGAUAAAUGCUAAAAGUACAAUUUUUUUUUUUAACAAAUUUUAUAUAGGAAAUACAGCUGUCUCACAAGAAAAUCAGCUAUCUUCCUAUAUAAAAUCCGGUAAAAAAAUCUGUACUCGUAGAAUAAUUCCUCUCCAACUGCACAUAAAAAAAUAAAAAAAUAAAAACGGAAGGAAAGGAAUAAUAAUUUAAGAAAGAAGUUAAUAUGGGAACAAAUAAGUUUUGACGUUAAGCUCUAACUUAUAAAUAUUGUAGUAAGUACAUCUCCAAGAACUUUAUUCCUUUUAUUAUUAUUAUUUUUUUUUUAAACAAAUAUUCCUCCAAGCUUUAUUAUUUUUUUUUCUGCAAACAUGUCUACAACCUUUCGAUUUUGUAACAAACUUGCACCAUAAUGAAUUGUUUUUUCUCAUCAUUAUUGCCCUUGAAGUUAAACAGACAUUUAACUCUCACACGACUUGCUAUUCGAUGUUAAAAUAUAUAAUAUUGUUAAAUUUAAAGAACAACCAAGUAAUAAUAAAAAAAAAAAAAGGAAAGAAAAAAAAUUCUAUUUGCCGACUCAAUAUAAAAAUUUACAUGCAUAUUAAAUAAGAUUAACAAACUAUACCUUCUAUAUCACAUUGUGUAACAUUUUACGUACUUUAAAGUAUUAUAAAUUUUUUUUUAUUUUUUUCAAUGACGGGGGAACCUGCAGCCGCUACCUUUCACGUGUGCACUGGGUAAACCCUCGAGUUGACGCAAUAGCUUGCAAACCACACCAGUCAGGUAAAUCGUACUAGCCAAGCCCUGUGCGACAGGUUCAAACGAGAAAGUGUUGGUAUUAUAAAUUGUUAGAAGCUAUUAUGUUCCAUAAAGCGCUCUUUAUGAUAUGGUAAUCUAUUAUGAGAUUUGUAUAAUUUUACUAUCUUCAACUCUUUGAACUCCAAAAAUAAUAAAUAAACUUUUAUGAACUAAUAAGGUAUUAAAAAUAUGGACAACAUUUCACUUGAUGUGUUUGCCAACAUCGCAAACAGACAAACGAGAAUUCUUAGUUGUCGAUUUUCUAAGUGAAUUUUUUUCAAAGAAAAAUAAAUUUAAAAAAUAUAAUAAUUUUUACAUAAGUUAUUAUUGUUCAACUUAAAGUUAAUAUAUAAUUACCUAUAAUAGGGAUUUAUUAGCAUUAUAUUAUUUUUAGCAGAUUACAAAAAGCUCCCUGAGGUUUAUGAAAAUUAGAGAGACACUUCCUCCAUUUUAAAAAUUUACACAAACCUUCCUUAUUUUAUGUUUUAAAUAAUGCAUACAUCCCAUUUAAGUUUGUGACAAUUUUAGAGACAUCUCUAAAAAAAUUGCACUAAUAUCUCUUAUUUCAAAUUUUAAAUAACACAUAACUCCACGGGGCAAUCUCUCUAGUUCCGAAAUUACACAAGCCUCCUUUAUUUUAAGAUUUGAAUAACACAUACCUCAUCUAAUCACUUUUCUUUUACAUAUUAGUAUAUAUCAUAGUUGUAAUGCUUAAAAUAUCCUAAUGAAUUUCUUCCAUCUUGUGGCCCAUUUAACAAUAAUUUAACAUUCAAAAUACAAUUUUAACUCUUCUAAUUAUAUCAUCAACAGGUAUUAUCUAGACUAUCAAUUCUUAAAAAAUAGAUCAAUAGAUACUUUAAUUUAAGAUAAUCAAAUAUAUUUACACAUGACGAAGUGAUGAGCACAAUCAAGAUAGUAUCCAAAUAAAAAUAGUAAUAGAUAUUUCAUUUUGCCUAUAAAUCAUCCUCUAUUUACAAAAUAUAACAAAAUACUUCAGAAAUAAGUUAUAUGUAGCAUUUAUUUAAACUCCACUUGAUUGAUCAUUAAAAAACUUCAUUUUUUUACUCUCUAUUAAAGUAAAAGUAUUUAAAAAAGUGAUAUAUGUACAAAGUUAUAAAUAUUUGAAAAAUGUAAUCAUGUUAUUAACUUUUGUUAGAUUUUGAGUUGGCAAUUUUGUGAAUAAAAGGGCCAAUCUGUCAAUGUUCAAAAGUUUGGGCUCAAUUUGUCAGUGUUUAAAAGUUAGGGGUUAAUUUGUACAUAUGUAAAAGAUGAGGGACUUAGUUUCAAUUUUGUCAAAUUAUGUUAGGGCUUGAGUUGUGAAGUAGGUUAAGAAGUGUCGUUGAAGUUUCGCUAGCUGCUCGCUAGGUGGUCCCUCGAGCGUUAAAAGCAGAGUCUCUCGCUCGCUUUUCUCCCCGGUCUCACUCGAGCGAAAUAGGGUCGCUAGCUUUUCGCUCGAGCUACAGUGUUACCUGGAGAACUCUAUUUCUUUUUUCGAGAUUUUGACCCGACCCAUAUGACCCAAAACAUCUCAUAUAAAUUUGAUUGCGCCGUUUUUCAGUUGUUUUUCUUGGGGAUUGAACUAGGAGAAAACACUCCACACCUUGAUUCUGUCAUUCGAUCCCAUAUUCUCUUAGUGCAAUCACACAAAAAACAUCAAAUCCACCUUCAUCAAAUGCUACAAUAAAUUCUUCCAGAGCAUCUGUUAAGACUUGAAGAUCAGGGAAAGAGAUCGGGAUUCUGAUCAUUGGGGAAUGAGGAGUUCUUUGAAAUUCAUAGGAGAUAGAUGAAAUCAAGAGCUGAGAAUUGGUGUAAAGCAUGCAAUCUAGGAGGGCUAGGAGCCAGGAGUUGGUGCAGGAUCAUGCAUUCCAGGAGGGCUUUUGAAAACUAUAAUCAGGAGGUCAGAAAAACUAGUGUGGGUUGAGUCUGACGGAUUAUAAGAGAUAUUUUUGUUUGUAGUGGAUUCAUACUAGCUUGGGCCCUGAGUUUUACCCACAUUGGGGUUUCUUCGUCAUCAAACAACCGUAUUCUUUACAUUUAUGCAAUUUACUUGUUUCCGAUAAUUUAAUGUGGGAUAGUAAAGCAUGUGAAUUGAUCUAAACAUAUUAAUACUUGUGACUUGUUGUAUUUAUUAAUUAAUUAAUUAAUAAAUUUCUGCAUAAACACCUAUUCAUCCCCUCUCUAGGUGUUAUUUGGAUCAAACUACAUUAUUUCAAGUGGUUUCAGAGCCAAACCUCGAGUCCUGACCCAUUGUUGUCUAGAUGAGACAAUCAUUGUCCAUGCCUCCGUAUUUUGACGGAAGCAACUAUGCCUACUGGAAGGUUAUGAUGCAUGUUUUUCUUAAGUCCCUAGAUGAACAUGUUUGGGUGAGUGUGCAAAAUGGUUGGAAGCCGCCUUCUACAACUGUGUCUGGUAUUUUUACUCUAAUUGAUAUUUCACUUUGGACUAGGGAAGAAUUAGUUGAUUACAAUUGGAAUAGAAAAGGACUCCAUGCCUUGUUUAUGGCUGUGUCUCUCGAAGAGUUUAGGAGAGUGUCAAUGUGCGAAACUGCUAAGGAGGAGUGGGACAUUCUAGAAACUACUCAUGAGGGAAUAAAACCAUAAAAAAUUCAAAACUACAUUUGCUAGCCUCUAGGUUUGAAGAAAUUAGGAUAAAGGAUGAUGAAUCGUUUAAUAAGUUUUACGCAAAAUUGAAUGGCAUUGUAAACUCUAGCUUCUAGGAGAGAAGAUUCCCAAAUCCAAAAUUGUGAGAAAGGUUCUUAGGUCUUUGCCCGAGAGGUUUACACUUAAAGUUACAGCUAUCGAAAAGAGCAAGGACCUGGACACGAUUAAGAUAGAAGAACUCAUAGGAUCCCUUCAAACCUAUGAACUCACCAUUUCACAACUUAAGAAAAACAAGUCCAUAGUGUUGAACACAGUUAAAGAAGAAGAGUAUGAGUUAUUUGCCUUAGAAACCCUUAGAAUAAAGAGAUAGCCUACUUUAUGAAGAAAUUCCAGAAAGCUUUAAAGGGCAAAAGAUAGCCCCAAGAGAAAAAAGAGGAGCCCCUAGUAAAUUCUAGAAAGAUAAGGAUGAUAAACCGACUGCUGGGAACUUUAGUAAAAAACCUCAGGCUGUUAAAUGCCAUAAAUGUCAAGGGUUUGGUCACUAUAGAAAUGAAUGUCCUAGUUUGAAGAAAAAUUUGAAAAAGGGAAAGAGUAAGGUAGCUGUGUCAUUGACUGAUGAUGAAAUAAACUCGAGUGAUCAAAGUGAUUCCUCUAGAAGUGAAGACGAAAAGUGAUGGCUUUUGUAUCCACCGUUAAGAACAAGUCAGAUAAGGAGAAUGAUAAGGUUGAGAAAGAGGUACACAGUGAGAACACUAGUGACGACACUAAGGAUGAGACCGAUAUUCAAGAGGCUUAUCAACUUCUGUUUAAGGAGAGUCCUAAAAUCAAGAAGGUAAAUAAAGUCUUAUUCAAGAAAGUAGACGAACAUGAAAGAGAAAAAGAGAGGCUCACAAGUGAUCUCUAGAAUUCAUCCAAAAAACCUUUGUGAGUUUAAAUGUGUCAAUGAGAAGCUAGAAGACAAGAUUAAGACAUUGACUAAUGAAUUAGAAAAAUCUAAUACUCACCUUCAGUCAUUCAUGAGUGGGACUAAGAAAUUGGAUAACCUGUUAGGAAUGAACAAGCCAACUAGGAAUAGGCAAGGUCUAGGAUUUGUUUAGAGUGAUAAAAACAUGGUUAGUUCAACCAAGACCACAUUCGUGAUCUUGAACUCAAAAGCAAGAGUGUCACAGAACUAAGAGCCACUAGAGCUCGUAAGAUCCUCGCACCUAAAAUUCAGCAUCAAUAGUCACGAUAUCCCUAGUCAGGUUAGCUUUCUUUCAAAUCAGAUUAGUCACUUAACUGAGAUGGUGAAAAAAUUGACUACGAUCACCUCGACCUCUAGAAAAUUUUGGGUCAAGAAAUCUGAUGUAGCUAGGUGUGAUGAGAAUCUAAAUUAUUUUGUAGCUCAUGUUGCAUAUAAGGCUCAAAAUACAUGUAUGUGGUAUCUUGAUAGUGCUUGUUUUGGACACAUGUGUGGAAAUAAGGCCUUGUUCUCUACCUUUAAUGAAUGUAACGGUGGUGUAGUUACCUUUGGGGACGGCGCUUCGACACUUAUCCGUGGUAAAGGUACCAUCAAUAUAUCUGGACUUCCUAUAAUAUCAAAUGUGCUUUAUAUAGAGGGUCUAAAGUCCAAUCUUUUGAGCAUUAGUUAAAUUUGUGAUGCUGAUUACGAAGUGAGUUUUAUCUAAAAGAGAUGUACUGUUUAUAACUCUUCGAGUGGUGUUGUCCUCGAAGGUGUUAGAACUUCUGAUAACUGUUAUGGAGUUCUCCCCAACUCAAAUUAUGUGUGUAGCAGUGCUAAAAUUAAUGUGACCGAACUUUGGCAUCAAAGACUCGGUCAUGUUAACUAUAAAAGUUUGUCAAAACUGGUCAAAAAGAAAACUGUUGAUGGUUUGCCUAAAAUUGAACAAAAUGAGAGUGCUGUGUGUAAACCCCUGUCAACAAGGGAAAUAACUUAGGAUAAAACACAAACAAACCUCUAAAAUCUUGACAAACAGAUACUUAGAACUUCUCCAUAUGGAUUUAAUGGGACCAUCUAGGAUUGAAAGCCUAGGAGGUAAACUUUAUAUUUUUUUUUUGUGGUAGAUGACUUCUCUAGAUACACCUGGAUUGAACUAUUAAGAGAAAAAUCUGAGACAUGUGAUCUGGUUAAAUCCCUAUGUAAAAGACUUAGAAUGGAACAAAAUCUUUCCAUUUCUAGGGUUCUAAUUGAUCAUGAAAAAGAGUAUGAAAACUUUGAUCUUGAAAUCUUCUGUCUGGAGGAUGGGAUUUAGCAUGAGUUCUUCUCACCAAUCACUCCACAGUAAAAUGGGGUUGUUGAGAGGAAAAAUAGAGUGCUCCAGGAAAUGGCUAGGGUCAUCCAUCAUGACAAGGAUCUAGCAAUGUAUUUCUAGAGUGAAGCCAUUAACACUGCUUGCCACAUAAUGAACAGAGUAUACUUGAGAUCGAAAACCGAUAAGACUCCUUAUGAGAUCUAAAAGGGCAAGAAGCCUACAGUCAAAUACUUUCGUGUGUUUGGCAGUAAGUGCUACAUUCUGCGUGAUAGAUAAAACUUAGGCAAAUUUGAUUCCAAGAGUGAUGAAGGGGUUUUUCUAGGAUAUUCUAAGAACGAGUAUACAACUUGCGUACUUAGAUUGUCACGGAGUCCAUAAAUGUUGCUGUUGAUGAUGCCUUCAUUGAGGGGGAGAAGGUGAAAAAUGGGGUAGAUUUAGAUGAUCUAAGUGAUGGUCAAGGAUCUACAAUUGAAGUUAAAGAACAAUCAAUCUCAAAAUCUUCGCGAUCUCGUAAAGGCAUAGACACCUCCGAUAAAGAUCUACCAACUAGUGACCUAUCUAAGAUUUCUAGAGAACCAUCAUCCAGGGUUAAAUCCAAUCAUCCAAAGGUCAACAUCUUUUGGGAUCUAGAUCAGGGUAUGAGGUUACGAAAGAGAGUUUUGAAUAAUCUAACCUAUACAAGCUAUGUAUCCCAGAUUGAACCUAAGAAAGUGGAGGAAGCACUUAGAGAUGAAUGUUGGGUGAAUACAAUGCAUGAAGAACUUAAUCAAUUUGUUUAAAACAAUGUUUGGUAUCUAGUUCCUAGGCCUGAUGAUUGCAAUGUCAUAGGUACUAAGUGGAUUUUCAAGGACAAGACCGAUGACCAGGGUACUAUAAUGAAAAAUAAGGUUAGGCUAGUUGCCCAAGGGUACACUCAGAUUGAAGGGGUAGAUUUUGAUGAGACAUUUGCCUCUGUUGCACGCCUUGAGUCCAUUCGUAUCCUUUUUGCGGUUGCUUAUACUUUAGGGUUCAAGCUAUAUCAAAUAGAUGUCAAGAAUGUCUUCUUAAAUGGAAUACUUCAAGAAGACACAUAUAUUGAAUAGCCUAAAGGAUUCAUCAAUCCUAAGUUUCCUCAUUAUGUCUACAAAUUGAAUAAAGCUUUACAUGGUCUAAAACAAGCUCCUAGAGCUUGGUAUAACAUACUGUAUAUCUCGUUGACCAUACACGAGGUGGUACUGAUAGAACGCUAUUCAUUAUGCAUAUUGAAGAAACCAAAACUAUAGCAUAGAUCUACAUCGAUGACAUUGUGUUUGGCUCUCCCAUUGACUCUCUUGCUCAUGAAUUUGCCAAAUGUAUGAAGCGAGAAUUUGAGAUUAACAUGGUUGAAGAGGUAAGUUACUUCCUUGGUCUUCAAGUGAAACAAAUUAACUAUGGAUUGUUUAUUUCUCAAUCAAAGUAUGCUAAAGAUCUAGUAAAGCGAUUUAGGCUGGAUAGUGAAAAACACACAAGGACACCCAUGAGCACGAGUGUUAAGUUAGGUCAUGAUUUUACAGGUAAGAGUGUUGAUUAGACAUUGUACAGGAGUAUGAUAGGUAGCUUACUCUAUCUUACAGCUAGUAGACCCGACAUAGGAUUCAGUGUUGGUGUGUGUGUGAGAUUUCAGGCAAAUCCUAAGGCAUCCCAUCUGAAUGCAGUGAGGCGUAUCAUUAGGUAUGUGAAUGGGAUUGUAGAUCAUGGGAUCUUGUAUUCCAAAGAGUCUAAUCUUGAUCUAGUCGGCUAUUCUGAUGUCGACUGGGCUAGAAAUACCGAUGACAGAAAGAGUAUCUCGAGUGGAUGUUUCUAUGUUGGUUCUAAUCUUGUGUCAUGGAUGAGUAAGAAACAAAACUCAGUCUCUAUGUCUACAACCUAGAUAUAAUACAUUGCAGUAGGUAGUUGUUGCACUCAAUUGCUUUGGAUGAAGCAAAGUCUGAGUGAUUAUGGGAUAAAAUAGGGUACCAUGACUGUGCUUAGUGAUAACAACAGUACUAUCAACAUCUCUAAAAAUUCUGUUCAGUAUUCUAGGACCAAACAUAUUGACAUUCGACAUCACUUUAUUUGAGAGCUAGUUGAGUCCAAUGUGGUAUCCCUAGAACAUGUCUCUGCUGAAAAUCAACUUGCCGAUCUGUUCACUAAACCUCUAGAUGGUCUGAGGUUCGAGUCACUUAGAAAGGCUGUCGGCAUUUGUGUCCCUCAUUGAUCACCUUCAUAGGUGCAUCAAUGUCUAGUUCAUAUCAAUUAUUCAUUUCUACAUUCAUUGUAUUGCAUGGUAUCAUUUUGCAUCUGUCUCUCAUUUUGCAUGCUUUAUUUCUUCAUAUAAAAAAAAAAAAAAUUGGGGGUGGUAUUUCCUUGUCACUAUAGCAUUGUAUUUCCUUGUCACUAUAGCAUUGUAGUUGUUGACUUGAAUUUACAGCUUGUAAUCAAAUAUGCAUUCCACAUAUGGUUAGCUCUAAUUCCCAUCACUUAAAUUGAGUUUGUAUGGAGUACUUGGUAUAUGUUCCUUUGCACAGCACACGCUUGGACCCUGUGAAUGAGUCUUGAUCGCAUGUGUGAGAUUUGGGAUGACUCUCAUUUGUUGGUGAGUUGGCCUUGAGAUUGAGUUGACCUUGAGAUUGGAUUGAUCUUGGACAAGAUGACCUAUAUUCUGGUGUUUUCCAAGUCAUACCAGAAAAAUAUUAUUUAUUGAAUUACAUCUUACGCCCGUCUUCAUAGCCGGGUUGACUCGAGCAAUUAUGUCUGAGAGAUUUUCAUAACCUAGUGCCCUAAAGCCAACUGCUUUGGGAGUCACUGGCCUAAAGCUCAUUACGGGGUCUUCCUAAUAGUUUAAUGGAGAUGGACUUGCACAUAAGAUUAAAAAAUAAAAAUUGGGUGCUUGGUCACAAGGGGAGAAUUAAAACUAUACACCAUGUUUCAGUGAAUUAUAGGUCCUAGUGGCAUUGGAUUUGAUUUUCAUACAUCUGGGAAUAGACUCAUUCUGUAGUGAUUUAGCUAUCCCUUCUCACAAACUUAAGGUUUUGAGUCUUGCUUGCAUGGAAUUAGUGGCACUUUUCACAUGUGGAUCAUGUAUACAAUUUACUCCAUCCGAGCUUGAUCCCUGUGUGUGGGGAAGCAUUUCUAAUCAUUGUGCAUGCCAUAUUUGUGAUCAAUUGCACUUUUGGGUGCAAAUAAAUGCUGUAGUGCGUGCCUUAGUAGUCAUUUUUUUUAAAAGGGUGCGAAAAUUCAAAGUUUUUAAAAUGGUGCUAAAUUUCAGAAUUCUCAAAAUAAUGCUUCUUUUCUGACACUUCAUGCAUUGGUGCUAUUUUUGUCAUUUUCAUGUCGCUCAAAUCUCGCAGGAUCCUCGCUUGAGCGAUAAUAACAGAUUCACUCUCGUUUGCUUCUCGCUUGAGUGUCGCUCGAGCGACAAUAGGGCUUUUUGUUUUCUUGCGUACGCCUUAAACUUCAUUUUUUUUAUUCUUCGUCCAUUUCUUCUCUCAUUUUCCCCUCACCCACUCUCUAAGACGUAUAUCCAGUGCAUUUUUGGUUGUUUUGAGGAUCAAUUCUUCAAGUUUUGUCGACUUUCACACUUGGAUUUUCAUCAUUUCACGGUAAAUGGCUCGAGAACCCUCAUGUACAAUGUGUUCUCAUUUCUUUUGGAUUUCUUCAUUUUUUUUUGUUUUUCUUGCUCCUUUGUCUUGUGUUUGAUUAGCAUUUUGUUAUGGAUUAAUUUGGGAUCAAUUUUGAUUAAUUCUUUUGGGGAUAUUUUGUUCAUUUUCGUACAGUCUUUGUGUCAUUACUUUUAGUUUUGUGGUUACAUUAGGGUACAUUCAUUUUCAUAGUUUGUUCUGGAGAUGUUGGAGUAUCGCUUGGUGCUUGGUGGGGACUAGGGACUUAGGUUACCGUGGAGAUUUUUCACCUUUUCGUCACGCAUACCACAUGUUCGAUUAAAGUUUUCUUCACUAGUUUGGUCAUUACUUCAACACCUUUCGCACACCACUAUUAUUGUCUCGAUUGCUUAUAGAUCUUCCUGGGUCUUGAUUGCCAUAUCUUCCUUGUCAUGGUGUGUUCAUUUCAUGUAGGCCAUGUCGUGACAUCUUCCCGCCUGCGCCUUGAUGUAUGUCACUUGUGUCGUAUAUCGUGGCAUUUAGUUUUUGUCAUCGCACUUCGUUGCAUAGUUUUAUGCACGUUCCUCUAUUUUGCAUUGUUUUGCAUGAAUAUUGCAUUUUUUGCUUCGUUUUGCGUGCAUUACACUGAGCUGCAUCAUUUUGCACGUCCUUGCAUAUAUUACACUAUUUUGCAUCAUUUUACGUGCCCAACUAGACUUUGGUUUGCUUUGUGUCCCAUUUGUUCAUGCAUGGCCUAUGUCCCUGAUCAGUUGCCACUGUUAUUUCUAUCAUAUGCCAUAUAAGCAUGCAAGGACUGCUGCUCAGCCUACUAGUGGGUCGACAUCCUAUAGCCGCUCUAGGUUUAUAUCCUCCAUAGCUCAGGAAGUGUUCGGGAGUUAGUUUUCCUUGCGCUCAGUCCUAGUCAAGCGUGAGGUCACCCUCUCUAACCUACUGCCCAACCUUACAGCCAUAUUCACCUCCCAGGGUUGGGUGCCCUUGUUGAUAGGUUUGAACUUACCUCCUAGUCUCCUAGUUCGAGAACUUUAUGUGAACAUUCAGCAUGUCAGCAGGUCGUCUUUUAGGGUGUUUCUUAGGGGUCAGGCGAUUAUGAUCACACCUGAUAUUAUCUCUAGCACCAUCCAUGUUCCCUGUGUCAUUCACCCCAUUUUCCCAUAUCUGUCGGCCGACACUCUCCCAACCAACGCUCUUGUCAGGUCCACCUUAUUUAACAGUCAUUUGGAUGGUGGACCGUAGGCGAUCUGCACUGGAUCCCUACUAACCGACCGUCAGAUUCCAUCGUGCAUUGUGUAUAUAAAUCUGUGGCCGAUUUCACACACUUUUUCAUUGCCUAUGGACAAGGCCGGAUUUUUAUAUGCCCAACUGCAUGGUGAUUCCAUUGACCUACCCACCUUCAUCUGUCAGUACAUUUUACGUAACUUCAGGGUACUGGGUUAUAAUAUUGGCUUUCCCUACGCUUGCUUAAUCUACUAUUUGGUGACAUCCCUCGAGGCUUCAUUUCCUUAUGGGGUUUCUCGAUGGGGUCUUUGUCCCAUCGGCCAUACUACAUUCUCCUAGAGUCGAUCACAUGGUGCUUUUUCUUCUCCUGCUCCUGUUGAGCCAGCCACGCCUGUUGACCCGACAGUGCCUGCUGAUCCUAUAGGUGACCUUGUCGCUGAUUUCUCAGCCAUUCCUCCAUCUAAGCCUGAUAUUCCUAUGUCAGCCAAUGAUAUAUAGUCUUCUUCUACUUCUGUUCUACCGCCCACUUCGCCUGCUCUGGCUAUAGCCCCUGUUGACCCCUUCGUGGCUCUCAUGGGUUAGAUGUCUAUUUUAGUUAAGCAGCAGGCUCACAUGAUAGUAGAGCUUACUUAGCUGAGGGCUACAUCCGAGCGCCAUAUUACGUAGUUUGCUACACUACAGGGAGCUAUUGCAUAUGUCCAACGUGGCAUUAGGUGGAUGCUUGAGCAUUGGGACUAUAAGACUGAUGUUGAUGAUUCUGAUGACGUGAACGAUGGAGAUGGUGGUGUUGUUAGAUGCAUUACUUUUGAUAGAUUAAGUUUUUGAUGUUUUCGCAAUAUUGAUGUAUGUUUUUGGUGUUUUGACUUACAUUGAUAUUAUAUUUUAGUCUAGCUUAUUGGUAUGAUAUUGUGAUUGUUAAUGACUGCUUGUCCUUAUUGCUUUAAUUUAUAUUAAUGUUUCUCGUGCUUUUACACUUGGUAUGUGAGUUAUGAUUUUAGGAAACAGGUUGAAAGAGGACAAGACAACAGUUAGUUGAGUCAGUUGUUUUGGGUUAUCAUUGUAGUUCAUGUUGAUACAAUGUUGUUUUGUCACAGAAUGCCAAAGGAAGAGUUUGUAAGAUUUUGAGUUGGCAAUUCUGUAAACAAAAUGGUCAAUCUAUCAAUGUUCAAAAGUUUGGGGUCAAUUAGUUAAUGUUUAAAAGUUUGUGGUUAAUUUAUACAUUUGAAAAAGAUGGGGGACUAAGUUGCAAUUUUGUCAAAAUAUGUUAGGGCUUGAGUUGUGAAUUAGGGUAAGAAGUGUCAUCGAAGUUUCACUAGCUGCUCGCCAAGUGGUUGCUCGAGUGUCAAAAGCAGAGAGUCCAUCGCUUGCUUUUCACUUCUGCCUUGCUUGAGCUAAACAAUGUCGCUCGCUUUUCGCUCGAGCGACAGUGUUACCUGAAGAACCCUAUUUUUCUUUUUUUUUUUCGAGGUUUUGACCCGACUUAUAUGACCCCAAAUAUCUCAUAUAAAUUUGAUUGCGUCGUUUUUCUUGGGGAUUGAACUCGGAGAAAAUAUUCCACACCUUGAUUCUUUCAUUCGAUCCCAGAUUCUGUUAGUGUAAUCACACAAAAAACAUCAAACCCACCUUCAUCAAAUACUACAAUAAAUCCUUCCAGAGCAUUUGGUGAGACUUGAAGAUCAAGGAAGGAGAUCGGGGUUUCGAUAAUUGGAGAACGAGGAGUUCUCUGAAAUUCACAAGAGACAAACGAAAUCAAGAGCCAAGAAUUGGCGUAAAGCACGCAAUCCAGAAAGGCUAGGAGCCAGGAGUUGGUGCAGGAUCACGCAUUCUAGGAAGGCUUUUGGGAAGCUACAAUCAGGAGGUCAGAAAAACUAGUAUGGGUUGAGUCUGACGGAUUGUAAGAGGUAUUUUCGUUUGUAGUAGAUUCGUACUGGUUUGGACCUGAAGUUUUACCCACAUUGGGAUUUCUCCAUCAUCAAACAAUUGUGUUCUUUACAUUUCUGCUAUUUACUUGUUUCCCGUAAUCCAACGUAGGAUAGUAAAGCAUGUGAAUUAAUCUGGACAUAUUAAUCCUUGUGAUUUGUUGGAUUUAUUUAUUAGUUAGUAAAAAUUCUACAAAAACACAUAUUCACCCCCCUCUAGGUGUUAUUUGGAUCUAAUUACAUUAUUCCAACUUUCAAAGAAGAAAGCAUUUCACUCAAAACUAUAAAAUUUCUAAGCACACAUUUAAGAUGAAAUCACAACAAGAAUCUAUCUAUCUUGUGUUCUUGAAUAUAAUUAUUCAAAAUUAAUUAAAUGUUUAAAGUGUUUUUGAAGAAUUUACCGUCUAAACAAUAGUUUUUUGUUGAUAUAGUAGGAAGUGUUUACAUCGUAUUUGAGGUAUUACAUGAUUAUUGUUAUAAGAACAACAAGAUGGAAGAAAGUUGAAAAUGUAUUUCAAGCAUUACCACUAUUAUUCACCCUAAAAUAAUUUUUUUUUUUUAUCUCCAUUAGAAGAGAUCAUCGAUUUAUGUAACAGAUGAUGCGCUAUAAAAUGAUAAGUUCCAUUAAAUGUAAAAAUAUGAAACUCACUUUAUUGGUCUUAUCAUUUAAUGUUACAUUAUAUAGCGAUCAUAUCUAAUAGAGAUAAAUAUCAUUACUCUUUGAGCUAACAUGUAAAAGAAAAGUGGUCAAGAGAGGUUUGCAUUAUUUAAAACUUGAAAUAAAAGACGUAUCUAUAAUUUUCUAAAUUAGAGAGCGUGUCUUUGAAAUUGCUAUAAAAAUUCAAGGAUUUAUACAUUAUUGAAAACUUGAGAUAAAGAAGGUUCAUGAAAAGGAAGUAGGUAUCUAUGAAAUUCUUAUCUGUAAAAAUCUCAUCUUUUCUUUGUGACGUAAUUCUAGAGAUAAUAUUAUGUCUCCCUCUCUCUUGCGAGUAUUGUCUUUGUUUUGAUCUAGUAUGCUCAAACCUCUCUUCUAAGAACAUGUGGAUUUAUAUAUAUAUAUAUAUAAAAGUGAAGUAGAAAUUGAGCAAAUAAGAGGAGGGUUAGAAAGAGAUGGAAACAAAUGGAUUGCAGGUGGUUCCAUUGAUAAUGACUGAUAAGUGCAUUUUUAUGCACUUAUUUAAUUCACAAACAUGACUAAAUUACGAGCAAAGUGUUUGAAUUGUGGCUUAAUUUCGUUUGAUUUGUGCAUCGUAGGCUAUAUUGAUGGACAGGCUGGAAUCCACGAGAAAAGAUUCGAAAAAGGGCCAAAAUGAAGCAAAGUGAAAGUUAAAGGACCAAAGCAUAAAUAUCCAAAAGUUGAACUAAAACACGAAUCGAGAAUGCAUACGAGCUAAUUAUUAACUUAGGGAUAAUGCGGGGUGAUCAGAAGAAGAAAAACAAGAAAAGGAUGAGAACGAAGAAAACGAAAGGCUAGGGACUAAAAUGCAUUGAGUCGAGGGAGUAAUCGAGAAUUUGAUCGAGCCAAGUACCAAUUCGAGGUUAAUAUUGGUCGAUGGAAUGAGAAGAAUGAAGAAGUGAGGUCAAAAUGGAAGAAAAGAAAGUUUAAGGACAAAAAUGAACAUAUUUGAAAAAAAUACUAUGCGACCGCCUGUAAUACUUCUAUUUAGUCGCAUGCAUGGUGAUCGAAAGUUGUUGGGCCAAAAAUUUUACUUCUAUGCGGUCACAUAGUGUUAAAUUGGGGGUCGAAUCUACAGUUCCCUGUUUUUGUUAAAACUCUUUUGGAAUUCGAUUUGGACGCAAUAUAAAGACCUAGACUUAUCAUAUUUUAGGGGAGAACGCAUUAGGAGGCAACAAAACACAUCUUGGAGAAGAUUUAGAGCUAAAGUAAUGAAGGAUUUCUCAAAGAUCAUGAGAUUUCAUGCGAAUUCAUAACCUGGUGUUUUUUAUCUUCAAGAAAUCAUGUGUUCUGUUAUUUUCUCCAUGUUAGGAUAAAUAUUUUUGUACCAGAAGAUCGAUGAACUAUGUGAUGUGAUAUUUGGAUUCUUAGUUUUGCAAUUCGACAUUCAAACACGUGUUUGAUUAUUUGAAUGAUUUAUAUACAUCAAUUUCUUCUAUAAUUAAGUGCACAUAAUUAUGUGAUCUGUGGUGAUUUAUUUCUUACACUCGAGGGAAGGAAAAUAAAUUUGACAAGGUAUAAAUCAUCGUAGGAUCUGACAGGGGAUAGAGAUAUAUCCCUAUGCCUUGCGUGAAUCUUUAAGUGCUCAUAAAAUCACAUGCAUUCUUGUAUAUAUGCAUCUGUUAUAGAGAAUAGGUUCAAUACUGCUUGAGAGAGAGUGUUUGAUAGAUUUAAGAGCAUUGAUUUUUCUAUAAUUUAAUCAUGUUGUCAUAUUGUGAGACUAGGGUUUAAGGUGAUCAUUGCCUGGGAAUUUGUGAUCCUAGUGCAUUUAAUUUUCAUUGAAUAAAAUCAACUUGCGUUCAAAUCAACAUAUUGCAUUACAAUUCCUUGGCGGUCUUUUAAAUUGAACCACUUUAUUACUUGUUAACGAGACGUACACUUGCGGUUUUUAAAUCGAAAGAAUAAUUUUGUGAACAAGUUUUUUGCGCUAUUGUCGGGGAUUGGGUAUUCGUUUAAUUUUAUUUACAUUGGCACUAAUUCAAACAUUAAUAGUUGUAGUUUUAUUUAUUUAUUUAUAUUAUUUCCUUUUAUCUUAUUUUUGUUUUGCUUUGUUUUUUUUGUUAUUUGCUUCCUAAGCACUCUUAUUGAUUUUUCUCGCUGAUUUGCAUGUUAAGGUCUACUGAAGGAGACCUGAUCCUAGCCGAUCUAGAAAUGGAAUGAACUUUACGCCGAAUGUAGCCAGAAAAUAGAGAAGCACAGCAAUAAAUGACUAAUGUACAGAACAAUCUCAUUUUUCAAGUCAAUGAAGGAGGGGCAGCGGAUGAAGGCAAUAUGCUUGUAAGAGAUUUCAUGACCCCUCAGAUAAUUCAGAGCCAGUCGAACAUUGUGUAUCCAUCGUUUGGGUAGCCUAACUUCCAAUUGAAGACCAACGUGAUACAACUGUUUCAAAACGGAUAUCAAUUUUACGAAAGAACUAAAGAGAAUCCACAUAUGCACAUCACUCGCUUUUUGGAGAUGUGCCAACACUUCAGAUAUCAAGGAAUCUUAGACGAUGCAAUCAGAUUAAGGUUGUUCCCACAAGGCAAUCGAAUAGCUAGAUUCGCAAUCAAUCGCCAGCAUCACUACAUGGAAUGAUCUAGCUCAGAAAUUCUACACCAAGUUCUUCCUGCCUGCCAAGAUUGCAAAGCUCAAGCACGACAUAUCUGUUUUCCGACAAGGCGACUAAGAGAACUUUGAUGAAGCUUGGAAUAGAUUCAAAAAUAUGUUGCGAAAGUAUCCACAUCAUGGGAUUAGUAAAGGACUCCAGGUCCAAUACUUUUAUACAGGAUUACUUCCAGCCUUCAAGAGCAUGGUCGGCUCAUCAUCAAACGGAUCACUGCCAUAAAGACAACUGAUGAAGCACUGAAACUAUUCGAGACUAUGGCCACUACAUCAGCUAUGUGACAUCGAAAUGAGCAGUUCUAAGAUGACAUCGAAAGUUUAUGAAGUGGACGUUUAUUUUGCCUUAUCUGCCAAAAUUGACUUAUUAUUUCACAAGGCGAAAAACAUGUCACAAUCAGCUAACGCAACAUAGUCGAAGAAGACCAAUGGUGAGGAAUGUGGAGCUAAGCACAAAAAAUAGAGUACCCAAUCUUAAUGCAAUAAAUUGAGCAGGCAAACUUUGUACAAUGGGGACAACACUAACAAAACAAUUUGUAUGGGAAAACAUACAAUCCCAGUUGGAAGAAGCAUCCCAACUUCUCUUGGAGCAAUUUAAAUUAGAAUAGGCCACAAGGAUAGUUUCAACUGCAAGAGAAGAGGCCUCAAUUGGAAUAGAUGUUAGGGAAAUUCAUGGAGAAAGCCGAAGCCACUCUUCAAAACCAAAAUGCUGCUAUCAAAAAUUAGAAAACUCAGAUGGGACAGAUAGCCAUUGUGUUGACUGACAAAGCACCAGGUAAUUUGCCAAGUAACACAGAAAUCGACCCAGGGACGAUGCUAAGGGCACUACAACUCAAAGUGGGGUGUAGCUACCUGAAAUACAUGUCAAGAGGCCGAGUGUGAAUGGAGAGACAACAUCUUCUCAGAGGAACGGGAUGAACAACCAAAGGAAUCAACCCUAAAGAAAAGUUCAGAGAAAUCACGGGAUAAGACCACAGCUACAGUCAACCCCUACGAACCUCCAAUUCCAUUUUUCCUACAGUUGAAAAAGCAUAAAAUUGAGCAGCAAUAUAAGAAAUUUCUAGAAGUCUUCAAGAAGCUCCACAUCAAUAUCCCUCUCCACAAUGCACUAUUCUAGAUGCCUAGCUAUGCAAAGUUUCUGAAGGACAUACUAUCAAAUAAACGCAAGCUAGAGGACCACGAGACAGUAAUGCUAACAGAGAAGCACAGCGCUAGAAUUCAAAAAAAGCUUCCACCGAAUUGAAAGAUCCAGGGAGUUUUACUGUUCCUUGCACUAUUGGUGAAGUUUACUUUGAUAAAGCCUUAUGUGAUCUUGGUGUAAGUAUUAAUCUAACGCCUCUGUCCAUUUUUAGGAAACUUGGCUUGGGAGAGGCUAAGGUGACUACUGUGACACUACAGCUGGCUAACAAGUCAUUGACACGCCCCAGGUGAAUAAUAGAUGACGUGCUUAUCAAGGUUUAAAAAUUCAUAUUCCCUACAGAUUUCCUUAUCUUGGACAUGGAAGAAGACAAGGACAUUCCUUUGAUACUUGACAGAUCGUUCUUGGCAACCAGGAGAGCUUUAAUUGAUGUUCAGAUAGGGCUAUUGAUUUUAAGAUUGGGGAGGAACGGAAAUCAUUCAAUGUCUUUAAGGCUAUAAAACUUCCUGCAGAAUCAGAUAGCUGUUUCCAAAUUGAUGUCAUUGACAAGGUGGUCAAGGAUACAUUCUUACUUCAUAGCCCAUCUGAUGCUUAUGAGGCAUGUAUUGAACAUUCCCAAUCAACUAAGUUAGAUCCUCUUGAGAUUGAGACAUUUACAAGGUUUUUGGAGACCAACCCACCAUACAUACGAAAAAAGUACUUCGAGGAACUUGAAACAUGAACCACAAAGCCACCACAUUUCAUUCAGCAAUCGCCCGUAUUGGAACUCAAGCAACUGCUGCCACAUAUCAUAUAUGCCUAUUUGGGAUAGUCAUGUACACCCUCGGUGAUUAUUUCAAACACAGUGAGUGAGGUGGAGGAAGAAAAACUACUUAGGGUACUCAAAGAAAAUAAGACGAUGAUUGGGUGCACGAUAGCAGACACUAAAGGGAUCAGCCCUUCACUGUGUAUGCAUAAGAUUCUCAUGGAGGAGAAUUGUAAGCCCAGUGUAGAGGGUCAGAGAAGGCUAAAUCCAAAUAUGAAAGAAGUGGUCAGGGUAGAGGUACUGAAAUUAUUGGAUGUAGGCAUUAUCUACGCAAUUUCAGACAGCGCAUAGAUCAGCCUAGUUCAAGUUGUGCCAAAGAAAUGAGGAAUCACCAUGGUACUAAAUGAGAAGAAUGAGCUAAUUCCCACUAGAACAGUGACGGGAUGGAGUGUUUGCAUAGAUUAUCGUAAACUCAAUACAACUACAAGAAAAGAUCACUUCUCACUCCCAUUUAUUGAUCAGAUGCUGGAGAGAUUAGCAGGACAUUCACACUACUGCUUUCUUGAUGGAUAUUCGGGCUAUAAUCAAAUACCAGUUAUGCCAAAUGAUCAGGAGAAAACUACCUUUACUUGUCCGUAUGACACUUUUGCCUACCGUAGGAUGCCCUUUGAUCUUUACAACGCUCCGGUCACAUCUCAGAUAUGCAUGAUGGCAAUAUUCUCCAAUAUGAUUGAAAUAUUCAUAGAGGUGUUCAUGGACGAUUUCUCAAUUUUUGGGUCUUCAUUUGAUGAAUGAUUAGAGCACCUAAAUUUAGUCUUACAGAGAUGCAAAGAGACUAAUCUGAUUUUGAACUGGGAAAAAUGCCAUUUUAUGGUGCAGGAAGGGAUUGUACUUGGGCAUCGAGUCUCAACUAAAGGAAUUGAGGUGGACAAAGCAAAAAUUCAUGUCAUUGAGAAGCUACUGCUGCCUACAUCAGUUAAAGGGGUUCGUAGUUUCUUGGGACAUGCCGAGUUUUACAUGAGAUUUAUCAAGGAUUUUUCAAAAAUCACUAAGCCACCAUGCAACAUGUUGAUGAAAGAUGUGCCAUUUGAGUUUAAUGAGGAAUGUUCGAUAGCUUUCAACACUUUGAAGGAGAAACUCACGUCAGCACCGAUAAUUGUAGCACCAGAUUGGGAACUGGCUUUUGAACUAAUGUAUGACACCAAUGAUCAUGCCAUGGAUGCAGUAUUGGGAUACCGAAGAAACAAGAUUUUUCAUGUGAUCUACUAUGCAAGCUGAACCCUAAAUAAUGCACAGAUCAACUAUGUUACCACUGAAAAGGAGCUCUUAGCCAUGGUAUAUACAUUCGGCAAAUUUAGGUCAUAUCUUGUGGGGUCUAAGAUCAUCAUCUACACAGAUCACGCUGAACUGAAAUAUCUGAUGACAAAGAAGGAUGCUAAGCCGAGAUUGAUACAUUGGGUACUACCGCUACAAGAAUUUGAUAUUGAAAUUGGGACAAAAAGGACAGUGAAAAUGUGGUAGCUGAUCACUUAUCGUGAUCGGAACUUGAAGAACCAGAAGAGUCAAUGGAUAAUAACGAGAUUUUCCAGAUGAGCAGAUAUUCAGUAUGGAAGAAGCACUGUGGUAUGGAGAUAUUGUUAUAUAUCUGGCUAAGUCCAUCCUACCGCCAGAUUACUCAAGUCACCAGAGGAAAAAUUCUUUGCCGAACUAAAGUACAAUUUUUGGGAAGAUCUUGUUCUCUAUAGGCGAGGGGCUGAUCAUAUUGUGAGAUGUAUACCUGAAGAUGAAGUACCCAAAAUUCUUGAGCAUUGCCAUUCAUUUGCCUAUUCGGGAUACUCUGGAGCUUCAAAGACUGCUACAAAGAUUUUAUAGUCAGGGUUUUAUUAGCCUACAUUGUUCAAAGACGCCUUUAAGUUUGUCAACAGAUGUGAUAGAUGGCAACUCACUAAAAAUAUCUCAAGGAGAAAUGAAAUGCCGCUUAACAAUAUAUUUGAAGUUGAGAUAUUUGACGUCUAGAUAAUCGACUUUAUGGGACCUUUUCCCCCGUCGUUUUCAAAUCAGUAUAUUUUGGUGGCCGUUGACUAUGUAUCUAAAUGGGUAGAAGCAGUUGCAUUGCCAACCAAUGAUGGGAAUGUGGUAAUUGGGUUCUAGAAAAAAUACAUCUUCACUAGAUAUAGCACACCGCGGGUGAUAAUCAGUGAUGGGACAAACACUUCUGCAAUUGCCAAUUUGAACAGUUGUUGAGUAAAUAUGGCGUUAAACACCGUGUAGCUACCUCAUAUCAUCCCCAAACUAGGGGGCAAGUUGAAAUUUCGAAUCGGCAGUUGAAGAGAAUAUUUGAAGUUACAGUCAAUUCAUCCUAAAAGGACCGGUCUAAAAAGCUAGACGAUGCAUUGUGUACAUAUUGAACAACAUUUAAGAUAUCGAUAGGCAUGUCUCCAUACUGCCUAAUUUUUGGGAAAGCGUGCCACCUCCCACUAGAAAUAGAACACUGUGCAUAUUGGGCUAUGAAACAGUUAAAUAUAGAUUUGAAGGUCGUCGGCGAAAAGCCUUUACUGUAGCUUAAUGAGUUCGAUGAAUUCAAGAUAGAAGCAUAUGAAAACUCAAAGCUCUACAAAGAGCGCACCAAAAAGUGGCAUGACUUACACAUUCAGAGGCGAGAGUUUGAAGUGGGCAGGAAGUUCUAUUAUAUAACUCGAGACUCAAGCUCUUCCUUAUAAAAUUAAGGUCAAGAUGGUCAGGUCCUUACAUUGUCAUAAAGGUUUUGCCAUAUGGAGCCAUAGAAAUUAGCCAUGAAACAAAGGGUACCUUCACAAUUAAUGGGCAAAGGUUGAAACACUAUUGAGGCGGUGACUUCUCGAAGAAAAAGUCUACUGUUCAACUCGGAACACCAAAUUGAAGCAGAAGUACGCACUGUAUCAUUUUUAAUUUAUUUUGCUUUUUGCAUUAGCUUAUGACUUUUUCAAUUUCACGUUCACAUUGACGAUGGUUAGGUCAUCGAUCAUCCAUGCAUGUCAAAAUAGUCUAAGCGCUACCCUCACGAAGCCCUAUGCAUCGAGCACGAGUUGGGAUUGAUUUGAGUUGUCUUGGGUGAUUGGGUGUGACAUUCAUGCAUUUCGAGGCACAUAGUCGUUUUUCAAAUUUUUUUUUUUGAGGUAUGGUGUGAAUUCAAUUCAAAAAUUGGUUUUGGCACUAAGUCCAUGGCCGACACAUAUCCCAUGUUGCUUAAAAUAUUUUCAAAAUUUUGUGAGUAUGUGAGAAGUUGGGUUAAUUCAACGAUCGAAAACCACGUUCUGGGAUAUAUUUGAUAAAAGUCAUGUUUGUAGAGUCAAAUGUAUUUUCAAAAAAUUUUUUAGGUGCAUAUUCAUUAUAAAAAAAAAUAAAAAUUAACUUGUCUAUUGCAAGUCUAUGCAACCGCAUAGACUAACAAUAGAUGUGGUCGCAUAGCAAGGCUUAGGUCCUAAAAUGGCAUCAAAGUACUCUAUGUAUAAAAAAAAAUUCUCGCGUUUAAAAAAAAAAAAAAAGACAAACCACACACACACCCAAAACAUGAAAAAUCUCCCUUAUCCAACCCUCACACUCACGACACACACACCCAACACACGCAACUCUACACACACUUAGCAAAAUCUAUUGCACAAAUCACACCAUUAUCUCGCAUUUAAGUUGGUAAGGGUGCCUAAUUCUUCCACAUUCAUACCAAAUCUCAAGGUAAAUCUUCCAAAUCCUAAUCUAUCAAAUUCAUUUUGAAGUUAUUAGGUUUUAAUGUUUUUGGACGUUGAUUGAUUAUGAGGGUACAUGAUUGUGAAUGUGAUUUGAGUAUAUUGUGAUUGAGGGGAUUGAAGCUAUACAUAUGCAUUGUCAAAAUAGAAAGAAAACACCAUUCACGCAACGAGCUCAAUGAAAUGCCUAAGUGAUGAAUUUUAUGCAAUUUUGUAAACUUUGCUUUUGUGGUGCACGACAAUUGAGUUGAGUUGCAUUUGGUGACAAGAUAUCACAGCAAAGGCAUUAGAAAACACAAAACCCCGAAUCGCACACACGUAGGCAUGUCAUGGCUAGGUUACGGCACCCUACGUUACCCACUUGGCCCCUUCAUUUACCUAAACAAAUGACCUCCUAUCAACUUGAAAUUUGAAUAUGUGUUAGAGUACAUUGAAUACUUCCAUACAUCUGGAGAUCUCCUAAGAAAAUUUCGAUAUUUCUCGAUGAUUCCAAGGGUUAAAGUCCUCAUUUGGUCAUGGGUCAAAAUUUUAUAAAGUGCAUGUUCGGGCCUAAUUUUGUUGAUUUUUCUUAUUUUUGCAAUAUUGAUACUAUCUUGAACUUAAUUUCUUGAAUAUUGCACACCAACAUGUUAUACAUGCGUCUUGAAGCAAAGUUUGGGAGGGGGGUUUGCGCUUCGUGUUUGAUAUUCCAUGCUUUCUUGCUACCCUAUUAUACUUGAUGGUCUAAAUUGAAAUGGGUAUGUGUUGCAAGAUGCCGCCAAAAGGAACUUCGAAAGAGAAGGAAAAUGUUGGAUCAUCAUCUGGGACAGCAUGUACUAGAGAGCUUGAUGGGGGCAUAUGGAGAUUCCUAGAUCCUGAGGCUGCAGCUGGCUAUGCAAACAUCGUAAGUCGGUGGGCAAUGAUUCCAGAGCAGCAAGUGAAGUUAGAUGACUUUCCCGAUUUUGAACUGGUUACCUUGGUCGAAAAUUAUAGAUGAGAGAAAAUAGUGGAGCGAUCGUACCCCGUAUAUGAAAGUUUGGUUGGAGAGUUUUAUACAAAUCUCAAUGCAGAGAUUGACACACCAGGCUCUGACCAUCUGUAUUAGAUGUGGGUUAGGGGAUAGUGGAUCAUGUUUUCACUAUAAGUUAUCCAUGACUUUUAUCAGCUCACUUGGAACAACAUUACCCCCAUCCUAGGCGAGUUCAAUUGGAAUGAAGUGGCAGAGAUCUUAUUGGGGCGAGAGAAUGCUUGGCCACUCCCAACCACUGAAUGGCACCAAAUUGAACUGACACCACCUAUAGCCAUCUUGUGGCUGUUUAUGUGCCAUAAUGUUGAGCCGACCUCGCAUGGAACAACAUUUACAGAUCCCAGGACUAGUUUCAUAUAUCGUUUGGUUCGGGAAAACAAGAUCGAUCUUGCCACACUUUGCUAUGACCAGGUACAUAAUGUGGGUACUUAGGGAGACAGGCACAGUUCUCUAAUUUUCCCUAGCCUCAUCAGCGAAAUUUGUAGGGCCGCAAGUAUUACCAUCCUAUCAGGGAAAGUACCUAAGAAGCUUAGCCCUUUCAUCAAGCGUACUACACUAGAAGCUUAGGACAGAGUCAGGAUAAAGCACUGGGAGAAAGAUAGAAAAUGAGAACCGUAGGCAGCAAUAGGCCACGGCAGGACAAGUAGCUGAAGAUAUAGAGAUGCCACAAGCUCCUCCACCACUUGUUGAUGUGGACACACAGUUGUUGAGACAGAUCUUCAUCACCAUGACAUAUUCCAGUAGAGAUAUACAGAGCCUUCAGCAGGCAUUUGGAGCCAUGACCACCGAUGUAUAUAAGAUACAAAAUGAUAUCUUCACCUCCAGAAAUUUCACAAUAGACGCCAGGAACGAAGCCCAAGCAGCGAAAAGAGAGGUUGACGCCAUAAAUAGUCGGUUGAAUAUGUAUGUGGGCCAGGUGGAUGGUAUACAGCUGAGGUUUAAUGAGACAUGGGAUCGAGUACGUAGUAUAGAGGCAAAGGCUAGGGAACAGAGUAAUAUGAUGAGAGAUAUGCAGACCUAGCGGUCAGAACUAUUAAUGUAGAUCUUGUUCCAUCUCUCUUCACCACCAGGAGAUGACACUGCAAGACCCAGUUUUCAGUCACCACCACCACAGUGAUCUAAGGAGUCCUGUUUAACCCAUUUUGUUACUUCAAUUUGUACUUGUCCUUUAAAUUCUAGCAUUUAAACUUCCACUUUUCACAUUGAGGACAAUAUAAUGUAUAAAUUUGGGAUAGUGGCAUAUUUUGAACUAAACAAUCGGCAUGGAAUCUAUUUUGAAUUUCUAUCAAUCCAUCAAUACCUUUGUUUAAUGGUUGCAUAUUGUGUGCUUGAAGAGUGAUUAUUAGAUUCUAUUCAAUAUGCUGUACUACAUUCCUUACAUGAUUGUGUGGGCUUGAUAGCCUUACCGGCUAUGAUAUGACCAUUGGACUAGUAUAAUUUAGAAAUUAUAGAUAUGGUGCUGAAUAUAUUAACUGACUUGCUGGUGUAGUACAUGACACUCUUUAUGCACGCCACUCAUGAUCUACAUGCUGAGUUAGUGAUUGGUCUUUUUUUUUUUACACUAGCUAGGAGAAGAGUGAUAACCCUCUACAGAAUGAAAUAGUAAACCAUUUUAAGACAGUUUGGGGAUGAUUGAGCAAUUAUAGGGGAACAUUGAGAUAAGUAGGGGCUCCAUGUAUAAAUCUUGUUGUGUCGAUUGCCUAGACAUGUGAGAUGAAGACUAAAUGAAAGUCCCAAAUUCGGGGUUGAUUUUAGAAACCAAAUGUCUAGAAAAAUAAUAAAGUGCAUAAAUCUAAGUUAUGAAAACAUGAUAGCUUUUUCCAUGUCUUUAUGACUCGAGCAAGUAAGCCUGUAAGAAUACUUCGAAUUUGGUGCCCUAAAGCCAACUGGUCUAGAAGUCACCGAUCAAAAGUUCGUUACACGGGUUAUAUAGAAAACAAAUGAGAAGGUGGUACAACAACAAAAAAAUAAAAAUAAAAAUAAAAAUUUUGUAUUAAAAUGAAUAACUAAAGACAGGAUAGAUUGGAUAAAGCCCUUGGACAUUUGAUUGAUAAAAUUACACCGUUGAGGCGAGACAAGUAACCUAGUUUAAUCUUAAGUGUUAAAGCAAACAAGUCUAGGAGAGCCUUAAUUUUUUGACAUGUGAAUUUGUGAUAGCAAGAUCUAUCCAAACAAAGAGAGGGUAAGGAAUACAGUUACGAGAACCUUAACUUUAAAACACAACCCCUGGAUAAUUAGGUGAAAAGAAUAAGCUUGAGAGGUUGUGUAUCUCUGGAGCGAAGUGAGGACAUAAUUGACUACUCUGGGUUGGGACUAACUCCAUCAUGAACUUGAUAUGUUGGCAUGACUUCACACACACACGUCAAGUAUGCACUUAACAGGUAAAUGUUGAUUUCAUUCAUGCACUAUUGAAACUUUUUCUAAUGAUAAAUACUUAGUUCCGAUCCCGAGACAUGGCAGGUUAUUAAGCCAUGUUUGUUUAGAAUUAAGUCACUAUUUUGUUUGAGAACAAACAAUAGUUUAAGUUUGGAGGGGUUUGAUAAGUACGUUUUUAUGUACUUAUUUAAUUCACAAACAUGACUCAAUUACGAGCAAAGUAUUUGAAUUGUGGUUUCAUUUCAUUUUGAUUUGUGUAACGUAGGCUAUAUUGAUAGACAUGCUGGAAUCGACGAGAAAAGAUUCGAAAAAGGGCAAAAAAAAAAAAAAAGCAAAGUGAAAGUACCAAAGCGCACAUACCCAAAAGUUGAAUUAAAAGGCGAAUCGAGAAUGCAAACAAGCUACCAACUCGAGGAUAAUGUGGGAUGAUAAGAAGAAUAAAGACAAGAAAAAUGACAAGAACAAAUAAAAACGAAAGUCUAGGGAUGUAAUUAUCCAAAAGAUGAACCGAGGGAGUAAUUGAGGAUUCGAUCGAGCCAAGUACCAAUUGAAAGUUAAUAUUGGUCGAUGGAAUGAGAAGAAUGAAGAAACGAGGUCAAAAGGGAAGAAAAGAAAGUUUAAGGACCAAAAUGAACAACUUUGGAAAAAGUACUACUAUGCGACUACAAGUAAUAGUUCCAUGCACUCGCAUGCAUGGUGACCAAAGCUUAUUGGGCCAAAAAAUUUACUUCUAUGCGGUCGCAUAGUGUUAAAUCUGGGGCCAAAUCUGUAGUUUCCUGUUUUCGUUAAAACUCUUUUAGAAUUCGAUUUGAAAGCGAUAUAAAGACCUCGACUCGUCAUAUUUCAGGGGAGAACACAUUAGGAGGUAACAAGACACAUCUUGGAGAAGAUUUUGAGCAAAAGUAAUGAAGGUUUUCACAAAGAUCAUCGAGAUUUCACGCGAAUUCAUAACCGGGUGAUGUUUUAUCUUCAAGAAAUCACGUAUUCUGUUAUUUUCUUCAUGGCUAAAUAUUUUUGUACUAGGAGAUUGAUAAACUAUGUGAUGUGAUCUUUGAAUUCUUAGUUUUACAAUUCGACAUUAAAACAUGCAUUUGAUUAUUUGAAUGAUUUAUAUACAUUAAUUUCCUCCAUAAUUAAGUGUAGGUAAUUAUGUGAUGUGUGGUGAUUUAUUUCUUGCAUUCGAGAGAAGAGAAAUAAAUUUGACAAGGUAUAAAUCUUCGCAGGGUCCAAUAAGGGAUAGAGAUAUAACCCUAUACUUUGCGUGAAUUUUUAAGUGCUUAUAAAAUCACAUGCAUUCUUGUAUAUAUGCAUCCGUCAUAGAAAUAUAGGCCAGUGAUAUAUGAGAAUAGGUUCAAUACCGCCUGAAAUAGAGUGUUGGAUAGAUUUAGGAGUAUUGAUUCUUUAAUAAUUUAAUUGUGUUGUCAUAUUAUGAAACUAGGGUUUAAGGUGAUCAUGACAUGAGAAUUCGUGAUUCUAGUGUGUUUAAUUCUUAUUGAAUAAAAUCAACUUGCGUUCCAACCAUCAUAUUGCAUUCCAAUUCAUUUAAAUACAUCGUUUUGCAUUUUUAAUUUAUUCAACUAUCACUUUUGCGAAAUUAGGUUUUUCUGUAAUUAGGGUUUUUCUAAAUUAGGGAUUCUUAGGUUAAAAAUUCACUUUGAAUAAAUUGGUUUCGGUUAAGGCUAUGUUAGAUAAAAUUGAACUAGUCAAUCUCUAUGGGAUGACAUUCGGACUCAAUUGAACCACUUUAUUAUUUAUUAACGAACUGUACACUUGCGGUGUUUUAAAUCGAAAGAAUAAUUUCGUGAACAAUGACUCUUGACGUUACUUUUUUGGGCAUAAAAUGGCAACCUCAUACUUCAUUUUCAGAGCAUUAUAUUAAUUUUCGACCAAAAAAAUGAAAAAGGAAAGAAAUUGUUGUCAUCCUAUUAUCAAGGAAAAUGAGAAAAUGUAGUGGGUUACCAAUUUGCUGUAAAAAUAAAUAUUAUAUAAAUUUCAUUAGAAUAAUAUAAUUAUUUUUUUAAUAUUCACGUGUCAAUAAAUUUGUAUCAUUUCACGUCUGUUAUCUGCAGUAAAUUUGAAGAUUCAGUUUAGAAAAAUACAAUUACAAUUUUCAUAUCUCUUUGAACAAGUUAAAUAAGUAGGGGACGCCACUGCAAUUUAUCUUGUUAACAAUCAAAGAAGAAAUUUGUAUAUAAACUUAUCUCUUUUGAGACAUAACAGUCGAAUAAAAAUUGUCAUGUAACCCAAAUCGAUUUGUAAAAUCGAUCAACUCAAAAGAUCUAGGAUAUAUUUCUAUUGCCAACAAGCUUUUAUAGCAAAGAAAGAAGAAUUUUAAUCAUAUGUAUGAAUAUUCGUAUAUCAAUGGACUGAAAAUGAUAUAGUAUUAAGACAAGUAUGAAGUGUGUGCAUAAAGAAUGUAAUUUGAAAAUUGUUGUUGGUAUUACGGUUUUUCCAAAAAUACAAAAUUUACGAAGAAAUAAUCUCGAAUUAUAUAUUAAAGUUUUUUUAAUCUGCAUUUUAUAUUCGUAUUGGGUAAAAUAAAGCAUAGAUAUCUUGUUUUCUAAAAUAAUAAUUAUGUUUGAAUUACCAAAUAUAUCACAAUCAACAAACGAGCCUCACUUAAAUAAUUUUGUCAAAUUUGACUACUUGAAACUCUAAAACCAUCCCAAACAGUACUUGAAAAUUCCAAAAUUCUCCACUCAUGUCUUAUUAAUGCCUAGAUAAGAUACUUUUGUACAAUAAUUAUGUGUGUAUUUAUUUACCAAAGUAAAAAAAUAUUCAUAAUAUGAUCUUGAUUUAUACACGAGAUUGUGUUUAACUCUAGAACUAUCACAAUCGACAAACAAGUCACACUUAUUCUUUGAAUCAUUUGACUAUUUGCAAUUCUAAAACCAUUCCAAACACUUGAGAAUCUCAAUAAUGUCUUAUAAAUCAAUGCAAUGUAAACCAUCAAACAUUUAAUCUUCUAUAAAUUAGUGUGAUUGUAUAUUAUUUCAACUUUGUUUUACGAAACAUAUAAAUUUUUCUUGCUAGUUCCUUGUCGAGAAAGGUACAAGCUAAGGACACGUUGGUACAACCGCAAAAGAAAGACGUAUAAACCCUUUUUUCGUGUAAAUAAUAUGAUAAAAGAGAUAAAGAACCAUCAAUUAGAAGGGAUAAACUAUUUUAUAAUAUUAUUUAUAUAAAUUGAAUAAAUGAAAGCCAACUGUAGGGUGCACGUAUAGGACAACUGCGUCAAGGUCCUCCGCUUAUUUUAUACAUUUGUUUAUAUAUAGUUUUGUGAUGUAAAAUGUUUUCUUUUUGUUAGUACAUUGUUGAGACACUUUCAAAAAUACAGUGCCACGACCACAAACGAACAGACAUAAAUUAUUUCAUUAGUUGGCUUCAUAGGAAAUAAAUAGAAUUUUCUAUUCGUACCUCGACUGAAAAAUGUCACGAUUCAAACCAUUUUUCUAUUUAUUUUAUAAUUAAUGGUGUAAAAUAUCAUGGUUUUCAAAAAUUAUUUAAUAAGGUCUAUGUAUAAAAAGACACAACAAUAAAUUAAGAAACACUUUAUUAUUAUUUUUAAUAGCUCAUGAACUUCCAAAAUGUCACAUGUCAUAUUAGUUAACUAGGAACGAUACUUUUGAAUAUUUUAAGCUAUCAUGCGUGCCGACUAUAUAUAUAUAUAUGGAUCGAAAAUUAUUGUCAGGAAAUAAUCUCAUCUCAAUAAACUUUCGUUCCAAAACUUAACUAAUAAAACAUAUUCCUUAUAUACAUGACUUUUAGAAAAUAAUAAUCUUCACUAGUAGAUAAAUUCAUAAAUCGAAGCAUUCUGUUUAUCAUCUUAGCACUCGCCUCAACUCUCUAAUGGCUCCUGAAAUGUUGUGAAUCACAAUAUGAUCAAAAACUUGUCCAAUGAGCAGAACAUUUGUCAAUUUAAAAUGUUAAAACUUAUAAAAGAGUGUUAAACAUUUAAAUUAAUUGGAACGAAAUCUACAAUUGAUUUCCCAAAACACACGUUUAACAAAAUUCAAAGCACCUAAAACUGGGGUUUGUAAUCUACCAUUAACUAGUUAUGGUGAGUGAAGGAUGCCACCGUUUUUUCUGACAUUUCACUUUCAAAUUUGUGAUUUAUGCAUAAAAAAAAUUAAAAAAUAAUAAUAAUAAAAUACACACACAGGUUACAGCAUAAAGACAAAGAAAUGCAAGAAAUGAAAGGCUUGAAAUGUAACUCAAACAAUUGAUUUUAAAAUGCUUUUAAGUUCUUGCUGCCAACGUUUUUUUAGAACGUGGGGCUGAUUUUUCAUCUUCUUCAAAUUAUUCACAUUCCUUUUAUAUAUAUAUGCAAAAUACAAGUUUCACACGGAAAAAAUAAAAAAUAAUAAUAAUAAUAAAAUAAAUUAAUAAUAAAUUAAAAUAAAGAGUGCACACUUUGAUCAAGGAAAAAGACUUUCAAAAGAAAGAAAGGAGCAAAUUUCUUAAGCUUCGGGUACCGUAGGGAAACAACAUUCAUCAUCCAAUAUCCGUCCAAUUCAAAGUUUCAAAUUAAGGUAGGUAGAGGUGCAAGUGUUUAUUUCGUUUUCAAAUUAUGAUUUUUCGAUAAAAGUUUGAAUGAAUUGGUACCUUCGGGUACGAUGUUUCGGCACUACUAUAGUUUGAUUGAAAUGGUACCUUCGGCUACAGUAUUUCGAUACUGCUAUAGUUUGAAUGAUCAUCUUUAGCUCUACGUGUUAUGAUAAUGCUAUAGAAAAUCAAAUUUUGGUGAAAAUUCAUCUACAUGUGAUGGUAUGAAUCUACAGUUCAAAAUUUCUAAUUUUAAUAGCGAAAUGCACCUAUGAUAUCUAUUGAGUUUUAAACUUAUGGGUUAAUCCCUUUCCUAUAGAUUGAUUGAUUUUGCUUGGAAGCACGGAUGAUGGUAGAUAAAGAUGCAAUAUGCCAUGGAGAAGCUGGCGAUUUAACGUCUUUAAUUAUAUUAUGAAAAUGUUUACGUUUACUUUUAAAUAGAUUUCCAUGGACGUCGUAUGUGAACUAUUCUACGAACACUUCUUUAUGACUAAAUUAUGCUUUUCAAAAAGAUACAUGUUCUAGAAAUUAUCUUUCAAAUCAUAGUUUCCAAAAAAACAAAAAAAAAAACGUGUUAGCGAUUUAAAUGUUGUUGUUCCUUAAAAAUUUCAGCUUCUACAUUGACUUUAAAAAUUUGUAACUCGAUCAUUACUUAGAAUUUUUAGACACGAUCAGUGUCGCUUGAUAGUCUCAUAGGUUAGCUAUUGAAUAAACUUGAAAUCAUGUCAAUCCAAUGUCGGUAGAAUUUUAUAUGUCACUUAAAGUAAACUGCACUAGAUAGUGUUGCUAUUUUCCAGCUUUUGUCUUGACUUCAAAAAUUCAUAACUCAAUCAUUCUUGAAAUUUCCGAAUGAAACCAAUUGGUCUUGAUAUUCUCAUGGAUUCUCGUCUCUUUUCUUAUUUAAUAAAUGCUUUUGAAAUUAUGUUACUAUAUAAAAGUUGAUUUUUAAUGGAAAAUUCAUUAGUAGUUAUUAUAUAUAUAUGUGUGUGUGUGUGUGUGGUUCUGAAGGAAUUUUUUUAAUCUUAAAUUCUUAAAUUUAAUUAUUAUUUUAAAUAAAUUUUAAGUCUAAAGUUAAGGUACAAUUGUUUGAGUGAUGCUUCUGUCCGGUGGGUCGGGGCGUUACAGGAAUAUUUGAGGAAAUUUGACCUCAAGAGUGAUGAAAGAAUGUUCAUUGGGCAUUCAAAAAAUAGUCGGGCUUAUGGAGUGGAUAACAUGAGGACUCAAACUAUUGUUGAACCAUAAAUAUUAAAAUUAAUGAUACUGGUGAUUAUUCUUCUUGUUCACAAGAACCUAAGAUUCAGAAUUUGGAGAAACAGCUUGAAACUACUCAGAAUACUCAAGAAACUUGUGCUGCAAAUUUUGAAGACGGACCCACCCACCUCCUUAUUAGAAGUGACUCAUUCCACUCUACCCUAACUCAGUACAUCCCAGAAGUACAGAGAUGUACCGAGACCUUAAGGAAGUGUUUUGGUAGAAAGGCAUGGAGAGAAAUAUAGCUGAGUAUGUCGAAAAAUGUUUUGUAUGUCAACAAGUAAAAGCUGAACACCAACGACCAUCAUAAUUACUUGAACCGUCAGAAGUUCCGGAAUGGAAAUUGGAGCAUGUAACGAUAGACUUUGUGGUCGGUUUUCCAAAGCCAACAAUGUAUCAAUGAGGCUAUUUGGGUCAUUGUAGAUCGACUCACCAAAUCGGCUCAUUUUUUGCCGGUUCGGAUGACAUUCUCAAUGGAUCAAUUGGCAUAGUUGUAUGUGAGUUAGAUAGUAAUGUUGCAUGGUGUACCUGUUUCAAUUGUAUCAGAUAGAGAUCUAAGGUUCACAUCAAACUUCUGAAAAAGCCUGCACCGAGCUAUGGGAACUAAGCUAAAAUUUAGUACAACUUUUCACCCUUAGACAGAUGGCUAAUCUGAGUGAACGAUUCAAACACUAGAAGAUAUGCUUCGAACAUCUGUCCUCGAGUUUGGAGGACAUUGGCAGAAACAUUUACCCUUGAUCUAGUUCACAUAUAACAACAAUUAUCAUGCCUCUAUUGACAUGGCACCAUAUGAGGCAUGAUAUGGGAGGAAGUGUAUAUCACCAGUUCAUUAGAGUAAAGUUGGUGAGCGAAAGAUUUUGGACCAGAGAUCUUUGAACAAACAGUGCAGACUAUUGAGAAAAUUCAAGUUAGUAUGAAAAUUUUCUAGGAUAGAUAAAAGAGUUAUGUUGACAGAAGAAGAAAAUAAUUGAAAUUUUUGGCAGGUGACAGAGUAUUUCUCAAGGUAGCACCAAUGAAGGGAGUAUUACGUUUUGUUGUGAAAUGAAAGUUGCAAGAUUUCAAACGGACUAAUACCCAUACCUAUGACCUAAUUUUAUUAAUUUAGGUUUAACCCGUAAAAAACUAGAAAAAUAGAAAAGAUUAAUAUUUUAGCCUGACAAUCACGUGGGAGCCCAUUAUGUGAAAUUAUAACCCACAUCUUUUUGUUUUAUUUUCCCUUUUGGGCUUAAACUUAAGUUGUUGAUUUUUUUAAUUUUAAUUAAAUAAUGGAGAUAAUAUUUUAAUUUUAUCUCUUUUAAUUAUAUUGGAAUUUUAAAUGAUUGAGAUAAAAUCAAAUUCCUAUUAAGAUAAUAUUUUGAUUUUAUCUCUACUCUAUUUAAUUUUAGAAAUUAUGGAGAUAAUAUUUUUAUUAUUAUUUUAAAUUCAUAAUCUUAUUACAUUAGCUGAAAUAUGAUUGAGAUAAUGACAAGAUUUUAUCACUUCUAAAAUUCAAAGUUCAUUUGAAUUAGAACUUACAAAGCAUGGUGGCCCCUAUAAAUAGGAAUCAUAUGUUCUAUUUUCAAGUAUAUUCAUUUCUCCGUGAAAUACACGGAUACAAAUAUAGUAUAUUCUUUAGUACGUGGGUCAACAGUUGAAGUCCCCAAUAUAUUCCAAUAUUUCUCUUAUCAUUUUCAUAAGAUAUGGUAAGUGUAUAAAUAAUUUUUUUUUAAUAGAAUUACAUGCGUACGUUAGAUUUUUGGAACAUUGAUUAUGUGGUCCUUUAUGUAUGUUCUAAGUUUGAACUGGAAUAUGACAGUACUACGCCUUAAAGUUUUAUAACACCUAUGUUCGGUAUAGAUUUUCAUGUCUCACUACGUACGUAUGUAUGUAUGUAUGAAGUUCCUUAAAUUCUGUAUAAAUAUUAAUUCAUGUACUAUAUGCUUAUUGAUAUUUAGUCUCACACUCCUUUUAUCUUUUUUUUAGGAAAUUGAUGGUUCGUGGAAAUUAAGGCAUGAGAGGGCUGACAAAUUGGCAAGCGAAAGAAACCCACCAGGAUUAUUUGUUUUUGUUACACCUAUAAAUUACCACUUUAUAUUGGGCCAUCUUAUUGGACUCGGACGAGGCCCAUCAGAAUUAGGCCUCAAAGCCGAGGCUCUGACGAGGCUAGCCGAGACUCCAUCGGGGCCCUAAGGAGUUCAACUGAGGCACUCGCCGAAGUGCCUAUUAUUAUGUUCAUAUGAUCACCUUCUUAUUGGGCUUGGACUACGACCAACAAACCUGUUUGGCCUAUUCACUUCCAUUUCUCGAUAUAUAUAUGGAUUCACCCACACAACUAAGGUAUGUUCUAUACUCUCUAGCCAAACCCCUAUCUCCAUACUAUUGCACUCUAUAUGUCUAUUUCUGUCCAGCCGUUGACUUGACCGUCGAAGUGCAAAACGUCAUCAGACCUUUUUCUCGUCCGACCGCCUUUGCCUCUUGACGGGGUGCUACUUGCGCAGGUUUCGAGGGGACGGCGCUAGUGAACCUAUUGGAGCCAUUUUUUGGAGGUCAACAGAUUGGCGCUAUAUGUGGGAACCGGUACAUUAACGCAUUAUACCAUGUACAAAAACAUCGUUGGAAAUUGAAAAAUUUUCGAGGGGCAGUGUUCUACCAAAAGAGAACUAAGGCAGCAGAAGAUGAUUUUUCUACCAAAAAUUCAAGGAAUCCAGCCACCAAAGAAUGAAGUAAAAAUGCCACAACAAGAUGUCCUGAAAAAGGAUAUUUUUUUUGCAUGAAAAAUGAGAAAAAUCAGCACAAAUAUAGAAGAAAAAUGUCACUGGAAAUAGAAAUUUUCCAAGGAGAUCAACCAUGAAAAUGGUCAAUAUGAGUUGAAAAUAUUUUGGUAACUUGGGCAACCUACAAAUUGGUUUCAAUGAUUUGUCCAAAGUGUAGAGCAAAGGAACCACCAGAAACGAAGAUGUGUUGGGUCACCUAAGGGACAAAUUUUCAACUAAAUUGGGGGGAAUCAGAUUGAAACAAGGAAACAUAUGGUAGAGACUAAAAAAUUGUCAAAACCAAAAAUGGAAAUUCAUCCCCAAAGUUCCUUCGCAUAUUCUGCCUUUACCAACCAAGGAAAGAUAGUGGAAGAUUUAAAAGCAUACAAUAAGAAACUCCCAAAGAUUCUCUAUAGUGGAGUCCAAUCCUCUUGCCACUUUCUCAACACAGUUUCAAAUAACCAAAUGAGUUCAUUGUCUCCAAUACAAAUAUGAAAUACCCAUUUGUGUAAGGCUUUCAACAAAUGCCGUCAGUAGAGCUUUGGCCGAAAUUAAGCUGUUAAGGUAGUCACGGUGCUUGUAGCUCCUCCAACCAAUUGUGGUACAAAGCAUUAAUUUUUUGAUGGGGGACAAGAGAGGUUGCGUAUGUUGACAGUUUCUUGGGCUGUCCAUUUCUAUCUUUUGUAGACGGAUUUCCUAGCAUAGAUAAGUAGACUUUUGCAGGCAAAAUUUUCUCCAGAUUGUGGCUACUUUACGUGCUAUUUGCUACCUUCUUUUUUUUUUUUUUUUUUUUUUUUUUUUUUUUUUUAAGUAUUUAUCAAAUUAAUUGGUCACAGAUUUAUUCACUGGCCACAUAUAUUUUUUUUUAUAGAUUACAAAUUAUUUCGAGGCCACAUAUCAAAAAUUUUAGAGGUCACGAAUUUUUUUAAGUAACGGAUUAUCAAAUUUUAAGGUCACAGACCAAAUCGUUAAGGUCACAGAUUAAUUUUUUUAGUCACAGAUUGUCAAAUUUUAAGGUCACAUGCCAAAUCGUUGAUCACAUAUACCAAAUACUCCACUGCCGAACCAAAUCCAUCACCAAUGCUUGGUCACAGAGCAACCAAAUGAUCACCACCACAACACCGCAUUACCAGACCCUAUUACGAUCCCAUUCCCACCACAACACCGCAUUACCAGACCCUAUUACGAUCCCAUUCCACCACAAUAUUUGGUCACAAACACUACCCCCCCUCCCCCGUCACAACAACACCACAACCACCACCACCACAUGAAAACUACCACCGCACCAAGCCAAGCCGGCCACCAGGCGCUACCUAUUCCUCUUCAACAUACCAACAAUACUACCUCACAAACAUCACAUUGCCACUGAAGAACAUAUCACCCGCUACUGCAGAACAACACAAUACUGUUGCAGCUAUCGUAAACAUCGUGGCUGGUGAACUGAGAGUUACCACUCACACCACGAAAAAACACCGACCACUAUAGCCACCGCCUGCACCAUACCAUACCGCCAGCUAGAUCCACACCAUACCCACAACACCAUACCAUCGCGACACUGCCAUUCGCAGCAACGUCGACCAGCAAAAAUUGAGCAGAGAAGAAGUGCUCUUGCAAUUCCAUCGUCGUCGUAGUGAGCAGAGAAGAAUUGGCUCUCAAACCCCAGGCAAAUGCCAUGAAUCACCGGUGAAAUUUCCAAUCGCCGUAAGACUCAGCCGCUGCACUUCGGCCUGAGUGAGCAGUAGGCGAUGGUAUGGUGUGGUCUCCGGCAAUGAUCGUCGAUGUGAGUUCGACGAUGGUCUUCGACAGUGGGCUUGGUCUCCAGCAAUGGACGGCGGCAUAGGAGAUGUGGGUUAACUAGAGAGAGUGAGGAGAGAAGAUACCCUAAAAUUGAAUUUUAGGGAUGAAUUGGGGAUGAAAUAUUUAGUAUUAAUAUUAUUAUUUAAAUUAAUAUCUGAAUUCUGAAUAAAAAACCUUCCUACCUGAUUUUUGCAUUGGGAUCUUUAAAAGCCUGGACUUUUGUAAUUUCCACAAAUAAAAAUUGUUUGAAGGCUUUUUAUUGAGGUCCACAUAUGGGUAUGUAUUAUUAGGUCAUAUAAUUUAAUUUCCUUGGGCCUCAUAGCCUCUUCUUGUCUAAAAUGGUUGGAACCAAUUGGUUACCUCAAUUUUCUUGUACCAUCUUAUGUCUGGGGCUGCUACUAGGGCUGGACAAAACUUCCGAAUCGAACCGAGAUGAACUGAACCCGACGGUUCUUCUCAAGUUAAAUACCCAAACGAGUAUUUGAAUCAAGAACCAACGGGUAUGGUUCAGUUCUCGGUUCUAGGCCAAAACCCGAAAAAUCGAAUAAGAAUCGAAACUCCGUAAUUUUUUAAUUAAUUUAUUUUAAAUAAGUAAAAUUAUUUUAUUUUUCUAAAUAAAUUUGUUAACUAGUUAAUUUAGUUCAAACUACAAAAUAUGAUUUUCCUAUUUCUAAUUUUCAAUUCAAAAUCAACUUAAUCAAAUUGGCCUCAAUUUUAUCCAAAUCUGUUAUUUUACUGUAGUGUCGUUUCUACCGGAGAAAAUCGAGUUAAAACUCUACAACAUCUUUCUUAAUUAUUUUGAGCUCACUAUUUUUCUCUUUUUCUGAUUUUAGUAAUCAAUUUAUGAAGAAUUCAGCAAAGAGAGACACGAAAUACAUAAGAUUGAACUACGUUAUUUUGUAAGAGCUAAUAUUGAACAUACCAUUAAUUAAAUUAACGUAACUUUGUAUAUAUUAAAAAAUUUAAUUAUAAUACGGAACCGAAUGAAACCAAAUCGGAUCGAAUCGAAGAGAACCAAACCCGAACGGUUCCACUUACUGAAUAUCCGAAAAUUUCGGGUUGGUUCGGUUCUCAUUAGAACCGAACCAGACCAUGUCCAGCCCUAACUGCUACCAUAUGUUUUCUCACAAGUUUAUGAACUUGGUUGAAAGUGGGUUGUGACGUUAUAAGCCUUUAUCAAAUGUCAUUGCUUCCAUUUAUAAGCUUCUUGGUGGGAUUAUUAUUAUCAUAUUUUUCAUUGGGCAUGCUGGACUUUUUCCCAUUUCUACACUCAUAAAGUGUAAUUGGGCUUACUAAUUUAUGUUCGCCGAUCCAUUCCUGCUUGUAAAAGUUAUUGGUUCUUUGGUUUUUUAAUGUGCCAGCAAUUCUUCUUCUUCUUGGGCAUGUUAUAUUUAAGAGUGGUAAUUCUGUGGCCCACUUUGUUGUGCUCAAUCUUAUGGCAACCAAAAUGGAAGGCGGAAAGAACUAAUGGCAUGGUAAGAUUUUGUGAAUGCUCUAUCACAACGCUUUGCAACGAAAUAAAUUGAUAUCUUCAAUCCAAGGCCGAAUUGGCCAUAGAUUUUAUAUGAUGUGGUACUGUGCUGCGGCAAUUUGCAAAGCCCCAUUGAUCAUGCUAAUUGCUCAAGGCGAGCCCAAAAUUAUGGAUUUCUUAUUAUCCCGUGCGGUAUUUUAUAAGUCCUGCUCCUUGAAUAAAGGAAGAGGCGAUAUCUAUUAGGAUCCUUGUUCCUUGAUAAAGGAAGAGGCAAAUCGUUAGACGUGUUUGCCCUUACAAAUGGAGUCUUCCUUGGCCUUACUUGCGGGAUGUUUAUUUCUCACCUUGCCAGAUGCUUAUCCUUGACUUCGCGGGAUGUCUAUUCCCUGCCUCCCAGAUGCUUAACUUUGGCUUCGCGAGAUGUCUAUUCCUUAUCCAUCACUAUCGUCGAGCCUAGCUCUAAGUCCUCGUUUAUCCAAGGCCAGCUUAUAAGACUCCGAUAGUUUGAGAGUUAUUUGCGGGAUGCCUAUUCCCCACCUCGCCAGAUGCUUAUCUCUGGCUUCACAAGAUGUCUAUUCCUCGCCCCUCAUUAUCAUCAAGCCUAGCUCUAAAUCCUCGUUUAUCCGAGGCCAGCUUAUAAGACUACGAUAGUUCGAGAGUUAUAUAUGGGAUGCCUGUUCUCGGCCUCGCUAGAUGCUUAUCCCUGGCUUCAUGAGAUGCUCAUUCCUCACGUCUUACUAUUAUUGAGCUGAGCAGUAAGACCUUGUUUAUCCGAGACUUUCUUAUAAGACUUCGAUCGUUCGACAGUUCGUUAGAUGUUUAUUCAUGGCUUCGCGAGAUGACUUUUUCUCACCCCACUAUCGUUGAGCUUAGCUCUAAGUUCAAGGCCAGCUUAUAAGAUUUUGAUAGUUCGAUAGUUAGUCGGAUGUCUAUUCCUGGCUUCGCGAGAUGUUUAUUCCUCAUCUCACUAUCGUCGAGCUUAGCUCUAAGUCCUCUUCUAUUCGAGGCCAACUUGUAAGACUCUGAUAGUUCGCUAGAUGUUUAUCCUUGACUUCGCGAGAUAUCUAUUCCUCACUCACUAUCCUUGAGCUUAGCUCUAAGUCCUUGUCUAUCCGAGGAUAGCUUAUAAGACUUCAAUAAUUCGACAGUUCGCCAGAUGUUUAUUCCUAGUUUUGGGAUGCUUUUUCCUCACUCCUCACUAUCGUUGAGCUUAACUUUAAGCCCUCGUCUACCCGAGGUCAGCUUAUAAAACUCUGAUAGUUCGACACUUCGCUGGAUGUUUAUCCCUGACUUCGCGAGAUAUCUUUUCCUCGCUUCGCUAUCGUCGACCUUAGCUUUUAAGCCCUCAUCUACCUGAGGCCAGCUUAUAAAACUCCGAUAGUUCGACACUUCGUCAAAUGUUUAUCCUUGGCUUUGCGAGAUGUGUUCUCCUCGCUUCACUAUCGUCAAGCAGAGUUCUAAGUCCUCUACAUUCCAAGGCUGGUUAUGGCUUCGAUAGUUCGAGUUACUCGCGGGACAUCUAUCCACUGCCUCACUAGAUGUCCUUAGCUUUACAAAGUUUAGACGCACCUGACCUGGAGUCCUCUGUGGGUCAUCGCUUCGACCGUUGCGUUCUCUCCUAAGCUUUACAAAGCUUUAGCCAUCUCCCAACGCGUCGUCCCCUGUGGGUCAGCGCACUGGUGGCAGAUGAGCUCCUCACUCAGCUUUAAAAAGUUUAGACGCACCUGGCAAAAGUUUCUAUGGGUCAUCGUCUCGAUUGCUACAUUUCGUCCUAAACUUUACAACGCUUUAGCCUAUCUCCCAACGCGUCGUCCCCUGUGGGUCAGCGCAUCGGUGGCAGAUGAGCUCCUCACUCAGCUUUACAAAGUUUAGACGCACCUGACGUAAAUCCCCUCUAGGUCAUCGCCUCGGUGGCUGCAUUCCCUCCUAAGCUUUACAAAGCUUAGUGGUCUCCCAACGCGUUGUCCCCUGUGGGUCAGAUCACCGAUGGCAGAUGAACUCCUUCUUCAAGCAGCAUCGAAGCUUUGACACCUCAGUCAAAGAUAUAUCCCAACUUUCAGCUUCACAAGCUUCAGCAUCUCCCCCGCGCGUCGUCCUAUGAGUCAGCACUUCGAUAGAGAUAGUUGAACCUACAACCGCAGCAGCAACCAUACACUCAGCUGAUCUUAAAAAGUCAACGACUGAUAUACAUCGAUAUGCUUCAGUAUCGGUACAGCUACUUAUAUUCAGUUUAGAGCAUCGCCUCUGCUACUUCAUCCAGAGCACAGCUUCUGCUACUGUGUCCAGAGCAUCGUCUCUGCUACUACAUCCAGAACAUCUCCUUUGCUACUACAAUCAGAGCAUUACCUCUGCAUCCAACGCAUCGCCCCUGUCACCUAUGCUACUUACAUUCAGAGCAUCGUCUCUACAUCAACUUUAUCACAGUAGCUUAUAUUUCAAGUCUGACCCGCAUAUAAAUAAUACGACUCAGACUUGGGAGAUUGCAUAUUACUGCUAGCAUACGCAUCACAUUACUGCUUUCAAACACGAAUGCGAUAUCACUGCUAGCAUAUGAUCCAUUAUUUUCAUCAAUGUCAGUACGUAUGUCGUGUUAUCAUCAUUUUUACUUUAUUGUCAACAUCAUGUUACUUGCUUCAUAUAGCACUAUUGAUACACUGAUUUGUGUGAGCACAUGAUUUACUAUAAUGCAUGACAGACCCUCUGCACGUAUCUUGGAGAAAUGUGAUAUGUCACACCUUAUAGUUUUGAGCAUUUGAAGGGGAAAAUAGACCCCAAAUUUAUUUGGUAUAUGUGCUGUGGAUAUAUUUUAUUGUAUUACAGGAUUGGUUUAGUCCAUAUUAAAGAGGAGAUGCUGCCGAAAUUUCGAAACAAUAUAUACAGUAUAUCUUUCGAGGCAAUUCGUAAGUCCUCACUUAUUCUAACUCACACACAUUUUCUGAGGCAGUUCGUAAGUCCUUACUUAUUGGAGCAACUCAUAUUUCUCGAGGCAAUACGUAAGUCCUCGGCUGUUUGAGAUUGAUACAUAUUUUCGAGGCAGUUCGUAAGUCCUCGCUUAUUGGAGCUACCCAUCUUUCUGAGGCAAUCUGUAAGACCUCGCGCUACUUGACAGUUUAUAUUUCAAGUCCAACCCACAGAUAAAUAAUACGACUCGGAUUUGGGGGACUACUGUUACGCCUAUAAAUUACCACUUCAUAUUGGGCCAUCUUAUUGGACUCAGACGAGGCUCAUUAGAAUUGGGCCCCAAAGUCGAGGCUCUGAAGAGGCCAGUCGAGGCUUCACUGAGGCCCUAAGGAGUUCAACCGAGGCACUUGUCGAAGUGCCUAUUAUUAUGUUCAUAUGAUCACCCCUUUAUUGGGCUUGGACUUUGGCCCACGAACCCGUUUGCCCCAUUCACUUCCAUUUCUCUAUAUAUAUGGAUUCACUCACACAACUAAGGUAUGUCCUACACCCUCUAGCCAAACCCCCCAUCUCCAUACUAUUGCACUCUAUAUAUCUAUCUCUGUCCGGCCUUGACUUGACCGUCAGAGUGCAAACAGUUGUCGGACCUUUUUCUCGUCCGAUCGCCUUUGCCUCUUGACCGGGUGCUAUUUGCACAGGUUUCGAGGGGAUGAGGCUAGGGAACCUAUUGGAGCCAUUUUUGGAGGUCAACAGUUUUUUAAUUUAAGAAUUUAUUUAAUUAUUGGUUUGAUAUUAAGAUUGCUAAACUUCUAGUAUUUUAUUUUAUGUUGACGUCAAAAUUUUAUGUAUUCACUCUUACAAUUUCAUAAUAUAAGCUUUUGAAAGUGCAAUAUGAUAUUCAAGAUAUGAUUUUAGUGGCAUUCGAACUUUAGAACUCGGGUCAUCACACGUCCCCACGAGUUUCCAAACACAUACUUCCUAAUGACAAUUCAGGGAGGCUUUCUGGAGGGACAACUUAGGAUGGUGAAGAACCAAGUUGGUCAGAUUUUCUUGAAAACUCAAAAGUUUUCAGAUGAUUUCAAAGUUACACGCAGGAUAUUAGAGAAAAUUACUUACCUUGGUGAUGGAAGGAUUAAGACUACAUGGGAGAGGAGCACUCUAGGAUUACCAGAGUAUUAGCAUGAGAAACCUGUAGCAACAAGUGUUGCACCAGUUACCACUGCCAGUCAAAAUCGUUUGGCACCAGAAGUGUAUGGUCCUGACCUACCUCCUCCAGGCCAUACCGUAGAUGUUCAUACUCAGCAGCUGUGGCAUUCCGCAAGCCCGGUGGUGAUAUCAAAUCACCUGGUGCUAAGAAAUCUAAAAAGCAAUGAUGCUUUAGUUUUAUCCUCCUAUACUCUCACCACAUGAUCUAACUAUUUGAUGGAUAUGUAUAAGUUAAUAUUGCCCCUAAAUAUUUGAUUCACACACACUUGGAUAACUUUUUAAUUUGAUACACUUGUGGUUUGGUUGGUAUAUUCCUUCUCCAUACCUUAAUAACAAGCCUUUUAAUUUCAAAAAAUUGGGAGUAGGUAAUUGGUGAUGGUUGAAAAACAUGAACAUCUAUGACGUAUAUAGGCUGCUUGAAUGGUUUUAAAUUGGAUGAACUUUCCAAUUUGCAGUAGUAUUGCUCUAUGUCAUUGUUGCCUGAUUGCAUAUCUGCUAGUUUUAGAUUUCCGACAUGCUAUGUGGGACAUUGGUUUGAUUCAUGAUUUUCAGGUUGUGUAAGUUAGGGAGAAUUGUGUGUGCUAUGUGAGAACUAACUGAGGAGGUGUAGUUCAUGUGCACAAUUUGGUCAACACUUAACACACUCACAAACACAAGUAGUUUUUGAAAUUAAGCCAAGCCAUAUAUAUAUAUAUAUGUCAAGGACAUGUGCCAAAAAUGGGAUUAAUAGGAUGUAGUCCAUGGAAGGUUGUCGGUUUUAACUGAUUGGAUGGUAUAGGUUUCAACAGAAUUAUGUGACAGCGGAUUCAUAGUUUCAAUACCAAAACAGGACUAAAUCUUUAGUUUUCGUGCUACAGCUAUCGCAGAUUUAUUUACCCAUCAUCCUAAAUAUUAUACGAUAAGCUAAAUAAUAAAAGUUAAUGAAAUACUGAUUUAAAUAUAAAACUUUCCUUAAGUUUCUUUUUUGCCUUAUCAAAUAUAUAUUGAUUAAAUUUACAGCUUUGAGAAAACGUAUUCUGAUACCAUGCAGCGAAACUUUUUGCUAGCGUCCAAUGAGUUCAUAAGGUAGCAUGUAUUAUUAAAUAAUCUAAUAGAAAAAUCGUGUUCUUCAACUGUACUUGAAGAAAAGACACCAACAUAUGAAUGAUCGAUCCAGUUCAAAGAUCAAACUGCUUGGUGUGAAUUAAGAAUUGAGAUUCUUAAUCCAAGUGGUGGUUGUAGCCAAGUACAACACUGAAAUGAUGAUAAAGUCAAGAUCGAGAAGUUUGAUUCCUCUUCUAUAAUAAGUCAAAAGAAGAAGAAAAUGAGGAAUUUGUUCUAGAUUUCUUUUGAUUUUUAUUUGUUAAUUUUGUGAAAUUACAAAAUUGAGACUAUUGUAUUUUUUAUUGUUUGAUUUAGUGGAUUGUUUUACUCGUGACAUGGGGUCUGUGAAUGUUUUUCUAUGGAGUUUAUCUCGUUACAUCUGGCUUUCAUGUUUUAAUAUGCUAGUUAAUUUUCGUCAUUGAUUAUAACCACUUAGGACACUAGAUUCUGUUUACACGCUGCGAUCAUAGUUGCUUAGAAACUGGUAAUAGGAAAUUCUAACUGCGUAGCGCGUACUGUUUUAAAUUGGAUAAUUAAAACAAGUUUUUAAAUUUACUAGGUUUUAGCAUUUACACACAUCAUACACGUUCAUAUGUUUUCAAGUACAUGUUCACUCAUAAAUGUGUGAAGCAUAUAAACAUAAUCUAUUCUUUCUCAUAAAAUCAUUAAUCAUAUACAUUAAAUAAACGUACUCAACUCACCUAUAACAUCCAAUAUCCGCCUCAACUUAUUGAGGUUGAUCCUUUCUUUGAUCUAUAGUACACAAUGGAUUGCUCAAUGUUUAAAGAAUAUGUGCACAGUGCUGACAUUUGUAAGACAAGGCCUCGUACUUUUUGUGCAAAAUAUUGAUACACAUUCGGAUGCAGUUAAUAGAAAGUUUGACACUCGUUCGCAAGUGUGUACACUUAGCAAUAGAAAGCUAUUUUUUAGGAAAACGAUUUACAAGUGUCGACCCUUGAAAGUGUCAAAAAGAUGAGAUUCACAAAUAUUUAAUGGAUACAAUUGAAGACAUUGUUGAGCAAAAUUUAACAUAUUGAAUUGGUGGAAGAUCAAUAUUCCAAAUUUGCGAGGAAUGUACUUUUCAUUUCUAUAUCUACAGUUGCUUCUAAGUUAGCAUUAAAACUAGAGGAUGCAUUCCUAAUUCGUUUAGGUGUCCUUUAACUUCUAAAACAGUUGAGGCUUUAGUUUCUACUCAAAACAAGUUACGAGAAGAAUUUAGACUUUUGAAAGUACCAAAAAUCAAAAUUUGCAUUGAAGAAAUGAAGUUCUAUGAUGAUAUUAAGAUGGUUAAUAAAAAAUCAACUAAAUAUUUUCAAAUCACGUCUUAUUAAUUGUAAAAGCUUUAGUUGAUUUGUGUUUGUUUUAACUAUGCCUUUUUUUAUUAUGUUUUGUAGAGUUUCUCUACAGUCCAAUCAAUCGAAGAUUAAAUAGUUGGUAUAUACUAAGUAAUACCAUAAAAAUAUCUUAUUUCUAUUACUUUCAACUUUAUGUAUUACAUUUCAUUUUUUUCAUUUAGUUCUGAAGGCUUCAUUUACAGGAAUCGAUCGGAUGGAUCAUGAAGAUGGAACUUGAUAUUAGUAAUUUUUAUCAUUAGUUUGCUGAUAAGCAAGCUCUUAUUCGGACUUCUAUGCUUGUUUAUUUGUAUGCAACUUGAUUGAAUAUUUACUUAGUUUGUGUAAAUUAUGUUAAUUAUAGGAAAUUUCUAACCUGGAUACAAUUUAUAUAAAAGAGACCUUUUGGAGUUUAAUUGGAAUUGAUUUGAAGCAAUUGAAAAUUAACCAGAUUGGAAGAGAUCAAUUGGAAGUAUUAAUGGAGUAUUCGAUUAACAUUCAUAAGUUUCGGGAGUUAAAUUUGACAAUUGAAAAUUUUAAAGACCAAAUUGCAAACUUUUGGUACUUGACUCAUGUCAACCAUAAUAAUUUUAGAAUGAAGACGGUUUAAUUACAAAUAUUGGAAGAUGAAGGACUAAAAUCUCAUUAUAGAAGGAGUUCAAUUGGAAAAGGGAUUUGUUUCCCCUUUUUAUCUUUUUUUUUUUUUUUCAAACUCUUUGAUGGAAAACAAAUUGAAGAAGGAUUUUACCUAAAUCUUGUUCUAUAAAUAUAUACCUUAGUCACACAAUUAGAGGAGGCUUGUAAAGUUUCAUUAUACACAUGUUAAGACCGAGGCUUGUGGGGGAUUCAAUAUACAUAUAUUAUAUAAGCCUAGAAGGAAGAAAAAAAAAUCAAGAAAUCAAUCAAGGAGUUCAGGUUUCAAGAUUUUACAAGAAGGAAUAUUGGUUCAUGAUCUUCAUUUUUCCUCUCUUUUUUUUAUUUUUUUUUCUCUUUAAACCCAAUGAUAUACUUUAAUUCUUUCAAGUUUUAUUCUUCUCCAUGAUGUGUAAUUAAGUAUUUAGCUAUGAUGAAUGAUUAUAACCUAGAUUUGAACCUUCAUUUUAAUUAAAAAAAUUUAAAUCUUCAAUUAAUUUUUUAAAUCGUUUUACCUUCCAAUCUUAAUAUUUGAAUUAAUUGGUCACUAUUGCAUUGAUAUUGCGAGCGUAAUUACGUUGAGAGGCAGAUUAUUUAUUUAGACCACAUAGUUAAAGUUGGGAUCCAGUAUCAAAGACAAACAUACAUUUUUUCCAGUCUUUGUGAUUAGUGUCUAAAAGUGCUUUAAAAAUAUAUCAUUUACAAGGUAUUUUACAUUCAUUUUUUGUAUAAGUUUACUAAUGUUAGUCUCUAUUUCAAUUCUUUUGCCAUAAAUUCAAUUUCUGUAAAUACAUGGUUAAAAGUGCAAUUAAUCGAAAUACGCAUUUACAUACAUGUCGGCAUGAGUAUUAUACUUUUGAAAGAGUAUUUAUUUGAUGUAUUUCCAAUGUAGAACAAGUGGAGCAAAAAAUGUUGAAAAGUCAAGAAUGAUGAGUUGUCUCCAACAAAGAUACAACUAUCUCGGUAAAAUUGUCAUAACUCGAGCUGUAGUUAUCUAAAUAAGGUGAUUCAAGUUGGGUUAAAAAAAAAAGAUAUGUAUCUACAACUUUCAUGUUUUACAAGAAGUCAAAUUCGCAUCAUAAAGAAGCUAAAAUUACCAUGCAAAAAUCCAAGUUGUUACCUGUCGGAUACAGUUUUUCUAUCUGUGAGCAGCACUCAUUGUUUUGGCCAUAUCUGGAGUUGUAGAGAUCCAAUGGACCUGAAAUUUGUAUCAAUGAAAAGAUAAAUCAACUAAACAAUUUAUCUGCAGAUCAAAAGUCCAAAUUCACAGCAAAAAGUAUCUGAAAAUUGGCAUCAAGUUGCAUAUUCCAGCUGUCUUCAAAUUGGACAGAAACAAGUUGCAUUGUUCACUUGCAUUUUGGAUGUUCCUUUGCGUAUAAAAAGGAGACCUCGACCAAGAUUUUGAGAGCUUUAAUUUCUGUUCAUCAUAUUCUAGUUUCCUUCAUUUUCUUUAUAACAUUUCAUUAUGUAUUUCUAAACAAUUAGCUAGAGUUAGGGGUGAAACUUUGAUGAAUGUUUAGUAUUGUCUUUGAUCUUUCAUUUUGUUCUUCAAUGUCCAUCUUCUUCCUUGGUUGAAGUAUAUAUUCUAUAAAUGAUUUUGAUUUGUUAAAGACUUUGAUUUAUUGUUGACAAUUUUGGCACAAUAAAUGCUUAGAUAAUCUCUACAUAUCAACAACUUAUUUUGACAUAUUCUCUCAAACAAUUAUCAAGAACUAUCUUUUAGUAUAUUUGUGAUCAAUGUUCUAUCUUCCAUAUGAGAUCACUCCCUAGUUGAUUUUCAUAUGAGUUAAAUAAAAGAUCAAGAGUAAUUUCUACUCAUUUAUCCAAAGAGAAUCUCCAACGCUUUAGCAUUCUUCUCUAUCGUAUUUUUACUAACCGUUUACUACUCAUAGACUAGUUCAUUUCCUUCCAAUUCCAUGUGAUUCGACCUCGGACUUCUAAGUUUACUACUUGAGACAACUUGCACUUGGGUUUGGAACCAUAAAGUUGUAGCAAGUUUUUGACACCGUUACCGGGGAUUUGCGUCAAGGAUUAUUUUCUACUAUUUUCUGUGAGGUAUUCUUCUCUUUUGUAAUCUUCAUAAAUCAGGUACGCUCGUUCCUUUUUCCAACUUAUUACUUUAGUUAUUUUACUUCAAAUAAAGGCCGAGCUUCCUUCGUUCUUUUAUUUUCUUUAGUUAAAAGGAAGGCCAAGCCUCCCAAUCUGCCCUUUCUUUAUUAUAUGGUUGGCCGUGCCACCUAAUUUUCGUUAUUUACAUCUACUUUUUGUUAUUUUAUGCUAUAUUAGUAUCGUGAAUUUAAUUCUCAUCGUUUAGUUAAAGAUAACUGUGAAACUUUUUUUAGUAAUUUGUUUGACUUACCUCAACACACUCACAUCUUCCACCAUGGCUGAUAAUGAAAGCGUACAUGAUGAAAAUCAAAACCAACAAGCGCGAACCAUGCAUGAUUACUUGCAGCCUUCUCGAAAUUCUGCUCCUUCAUGUUUCAUUUUCCCUCUUAAUGCUAAUAAUUUCCUAUUCAAGUCGGGUAUGAUUCCAUUACUUCCUAAUUUUCAUGGUCUAGAAUUUGAAAGUCUAUAUUUGCAUCUUAAAGAAUUUGAAGAAGUAUGUGCCACGUUUAAUGAUCGAACUUGGUCCAAUGAAAUUGUUAAGUUGAAAUUGUUUCCUUUUUCUCCAAAAGAUAAAGCAAAAAGUUGGCUUAACUCUUUAAAACCUAGGUCAAUUGGCACAUGGCAAGAAAUGCAAAGUGAGUUUUCGAAGAAAUUCUUUUCAGCACAUAAAACUAAUGCUCUAAAAAGAAAAAUCCAAAAUUUUCUCAAAAAACCAAUGAAGCAUACUUUCAAUGUUUAGAAAGAUUUAAAGAUUUUAAAUACAUGCCUACAUCAUGGUUUUGAAAAAUGCGUACUAUAAGUUUCUUUUAUGAGGGCUUAACUCCUGAAACAAAACAAUUUGUAGAAAAGAUGUGCAAUAGUGAAUUUUUAUAUAAAGAUCCUGAUAAAGCUUUAGAAUUUCUAGAUCAUCUAGUUGAAAAUUCUCAAUCUUGGCAAAUAGUAAAGCCAAUCGAAACCUCAAUCAGAUCCAAUUUUGCUAGUUCUAGUAGAGGAAAAUAUCAAUUGAGUCAAGAUGAUGAUCUAAAUGCUAGGAUUGCUACUUUGUCUAGAAAGGUUGAAGCUAUGGAAUUAAGAAAAAUAAAGGAAGUUAAACCCUUGCAAAAUGAUGAAAUUUGUAGCAUUUGUGAAACUUUUGGGCAUCCAACGCAUGAUUGUCAUAACAUCCCAGUUUUCAAAGAAGUUUUACAUUGUCAAGCCAAUGCUAUGAAGACUUUCAAAAAGCCUUUUCCUUCUCCAUUCUCAGAAAAUAAUCAACAAUGGAGAAAUCAUUCCAACUUUAGUUGGAGAGAUGAUAAUCGUGUUCAUAUAUCACAACCUCAAGGGUUUUCAAAAUUUCCUUAUUUUCCACUACCAGAAUAAAAAAAAAACUCUUGAGGAAACAUUGCAAUCAGUCAUGCAAGGACAAGCAAAUAUCAAUAAUCAAACUUCACAAGCCAUCAAUGAAAUCAAGAACACACUUUAUUUAUUAACCUCUUCUUUGCGUUUUCAAGAGAAAGGUAAAUUUCAUGCUCAACCUCAACCAAAUCCUUCUGGCCAAUUUAAUGUAAAUACUUCUAGUUCGUCUGAAAGUCAACAAGAAAAUGUCAACUCCAUUACGACUCUUCGCAGUGGAAAAAUUAUUGACAAAACCAUUCCUUUAACAGAACUAAAAUCCAAAAUUGAGGAAAAAUUCAUUUCUGAACUCGUAUUGAAAAAUGUUCCAUUCCAGCUCCAUUUUCUCAAUGAUUACAACCAAUUUCAAAACUCAACCAUAAUUCUAAAAUUAUUGAACUUUUCAAACAAGUCAAAAUAACAUACCAUUAUUGGAUGUAAUCAAACAAGUUCCUUCAUAUGCAAAAUUUUUAAAAGACUUGUGCACUGUUAAGAGGAAACUAAUGUUCAACAAAAAACAUUUUCGACAGAGAACGUGAGCUCAAUCAUUCAACAAAACACUCCACCUAAAUUCAAAGAUCCUGGUUAUCCAACAAUUUAUUGUGUGAUUGGGAAUAAUAGGAUAAGGCAUGCUUUAUUUGAUCUUGGUGCUAGUGUUAAUCUAUUACCUUUUUCUGUGUAUGAGAUACUUGGUUUGGGAGAGCUUAAGCCAACAACAACAACACUUCAACUUGCUGAUUUUUCACUAAAAGUUCCAAGAGGAGUUGUAGAGGAUGUUCUAGUUCAAAUUGAUAAAUUCUGUUAUCCCAUUGACUUUAUAGUUUUGGACACACGGAAGUUUUAGAUUCAAAUGCACAAAUACCUGUCAUUUUAGGACGUCCCUUUCUUGUUACUUCAAAUGCAUUGAUAAAUUGUAGAAAUGGUAUCUUGAAACUCUCUUUUGGAAAUAUGACCAUGGAAAUGAAUGUUUUUAACAUUUGCAAGUAACAUGGAGAUAAAAAUAAUUUGCAUGAAGUAGAUUUUAUUGAACAACUUGUUGAUGAUCAAUUUAUUGCUACAUCUUCAUCUUAUGCGCUAGAAUUUGAAUUCAAUGAUAAUUCUAAAAAUUCGGAUAUAAUUUCUUUGUUGAAUUCUUUUCAGGAGAAAAAGACAAGUGAUUGGAAAUCAAAAUUUGAAAAAUUAUCACAAUAGUCCAAUAUGUCCAUGAUUUCAAGUGUUCAAAUGCCAAAGCUCGACUUGAAGUCAUUACCAUCUAAUCUAAAAUACUCAUUUUUGGGUGAAGAUGAAACUUUUUCGGUAAUAAUUUCUUCCCAACUUGAUGUGCACCAAGAAGGUAAGUUGUUACAAUAUUUGAAAAUACAUAAAAGUAUUUUAGGAUGGUCCAUAGCUGAUAUAAAGCUGAUUAGUCCUUUGAUUUGCACACAUAAGAUUUAUUUGGAGGAAUACGCUAAACCUACAAGAGAAAUGCAACAAAGGCUUAAUCCUAUUUUAAAAGAGGUGGUAAGAAAUGAAAUCAUUAAAGUCUUAGAUAAUGAAAUCAUUUAUCCUAUUUCUGAUAGUAGAUGGGUAUGUCCAACCUAAGUUGUAUCAAAAAAAUCUGGGAUUACUGUAGUCAAAAAUGAAGAAAAUGAGUUAAUUCCAACUAGAACUGUUACUGGCUGGUGCGUGUGUAUUGACUAUAAGAAACGCAACUCAAUGACUAGGAAAUAUCAUUUUCCUUUACCAUUUAUGGAUCAAAUGUUGGAAAGAGUGGCAGCACAUGAAUUCUAUUGUUUUCUAGAUGGAUAUUCUGGGUAUAACCAAAUUGAAAUUGCACCUGAGGACCAGGAAAAGACCACUUUCACAUGUCCCUUUGGUACUUUUGCUUAUCAUAGAAUGCCUUUUGGAUUAUGUAAUGCACUAGCUACAUUUCAAAGAUGCGUGAUUAGUAUUUUUAACGACAUGAUUGAAAGAUCUUUGGAAGUUUUCAUGGAUGAUUUUACUGUUUUUGGAGAUUCAUUUGAUGAUUGUUUAACUAACUAGCAAAAAGUUUUAGUUAGGUGUGAAGAAAAGAAUUUUGUGAUAAAUUGGAAAAAAUGUCAUUUUAUGGUCACUAAUGACAUCGUACUUGGUCAUAUUGUAUCAUCUAACAGAAUUGAGGUAGACAAAUCUAAAACUGAAUUGAUUUCUAAUUUGCCUACUCAAAUAGUGUUAAAGAGGUAAGAUCUUUUUUAGGACAUGCUGAUUUUAUAGAAAGUUUAUCAAAGACUUUAGUGUCAUUCUAAACCAUUGUGUAAUCUCUUAUCUAAAGACAUGCCUUUUGAAUGGACUAAGUCUUGUCAAGAAGCUUUUGUUAAACUUAAGAACAUGCUUACUUAUGUUCCUAUCAUGCAACCUUCGGAUUGGAAUUCACCUUUUGAAAUCAUGUGUGAUGCUAGUGAUUAUGCUGUUGGAGCUAUCUUAGGCCAAAGAAGAGAUAAAAAACAUCAUGUCAUUUACUAUGCAAUUAAAACUCUAAAUAGUGCUCAAACGAAUUAUUUUACCACUGAAAAAGAAUUGCUUGCUAUAGUAUUUGCUUUGGAUAAAUUUCAAUCAUAUCUUAUUCGCUCACCAAUUGUUAUUUUUAGUGAUCAUGCAGCUUUGAAAUAUCUUCUCUCUAAGAAAGAUGCCAAACCUUGAUUGAUUAGGUAGAUUCUUUUACUCCAAGAAUUUGACAUCACCAUUUGAGAAAAAAAGAAGUAGAGAAUGUUGUAGAUGAUCACUUCUCUAGGCUUACUUGUGAUGAAUCGUUUGAAACAACAUCGAUCAAGGACACUUUCCCUGAUGAACAACUUUUUAGUAUUUCUAACCUGCCUUGGUUUGCUUAUAUUACUAAUUUUCUUGUGAUAGGUCAAAUACCAUCUCAUUGGAAUGCCCAAGGCAAAAAGAAAUUCUUCAAAAAGGUACGAAAUUUUUUUGGGGAUGAUCCUCACCUAUUUAAAUAUUGUCCAGACCAAAUAAUAAGAAGAUGUCUGCCAAAUAAUGAAAUUCAAAAGAUCAUUUCUUUUUGUCAUUCUGAAGCAUGUGGUGGUCACUUUUCUUCAAAGAAAACUGCUGCAAAAAUCUUGCAGUCUGGAUUUUAUUGGACAACUCUUUUCAAAGACACACAUGAAUUUUGUAAAGCUUGUGAAUGUUGUCAAAAUUUAGGUGGGAUAACUCGUAGAAAUAUGAUGCCACUGAAACCCGUACUAGUUAUUGAAAUAUUUGAUUAUUGGGGUAUUGAUUUCUCCAUUCCCAUUAUCUUUUGGUUAUUUAUACAUCAUGGUAGGAGUUGAUUAUGUUUCUAAAUGGGUGGAGGCAAUUCCUUGUAAACACAAUGAUCACAAAAUUGUUUUAAAAUUUUUGAAAGAAAAUAUUUUGUCAAGAUUUGGAAUACCUCGAGCCAUUAUAAGCGAUGGGGGUUUACACUUCUGUAAUAAACCUUUUAAGGCCCGAAUGAAAAAAUAUGGGAUGACCCAUAAAGUGUCUACUCCUUAUCACCCAAACACUAGUGGUCAAGCUGAACUUGCAAAUAGAGAGAUCAAAUGGAUUUUGGAAAAAAUAGUGAAUCCAAAUAAAAAAGAUUGGUCUUUACGAUUAACUGAUGCACUAUGGGCUUAUCGUACAUCUUUCAAAAGACCUCUUAGUAUGUCACUUUAUCGACUUGUUUUUGGAAAGUCUUGUCAUUUACCAGUUGAAUUAGAACACAAAGCAUUUUUGGGCUAUUAAAAUGUUUAAUUUCAAUUUAGAUGAGACAGGUUCACUUAGGAAACUUGAACUCAAUGAGUAGGAAAAAAUUAGGAAUGAAACUUAUGAAAACUCUCGAAUUUAUAAGGAAGCAAUGAAGGUAUUCCCUGAUAAAAACAUCGCUAGAAAAAUUUUGAGCCUUCCCAAAAAGUUCUUUUGUACAACUCAAGGUUACAUUUAUUUCCUAAAAAAUUACACUCCAAGUGGACGACCCUUUCAUUGUCAAAACUGUUUACCCACACGGAGCUGUAGAAAUUGAAAAUCCAAGUAAUGGAAAUACUUUCAAAGUUAAUGGACAUCGUUUGAAAACAUUUUUUGAGAAUUUCUAUAAAUUGGAAGAGUCCAUUACCUUGCAUGAUUUUAAAGAUUGAUAUCAUUUUCUCAUUAUUUUAUUUUGUAUGGUUCUUUUCAAUGUUAUGUGUUUGUUUUAGGUGUGUUUCUUUUUUUCGUCUUUUUUCUUUUUCUCUCUUAUUUUUUUUAAUGAAAUUGAAGGUUCAUCUAGGCCAAGUUUAUAUAGACUCUCCAGGUACAACUCAAAACUCAUCUCUUUGUUUAAAAUUUUGCUCCUUACUGUCCUUCAUAUAUUUUGCAUGUUUAAUUUUCAAAUUGAGGACAAUGUUUCAUUUAGGUUGGGGGACCGAUGAUGAUAUUAUUUAAAAUUGUUUUUAUAUUAUGAAUUUUGACUAUGGGAUGCUGCUUUGAUUUAAUUGAAGCUUGUUCAUGUUAGAUUGAUUUACAUUGAGUACAAUAAUCAUGAAAAUCACAUAUUAUUUAGAUUGGAUUAAUGGACAGAAUAGGUAAAAUUAACUAUGACAAAAAAAAAUUCCUAUUAAACCAAUUCUAGGAUAAUUUGGUAUGGUUGAGUUGUUGUAAGGAAACAUUGAGAUAGAUGUGGAUUCCACGUGUGUUAAAUUUUGUGUGAAUUGCUUAAAACCAAUGAGAUGAUAAUUAGGUGAAAAUCUUAAGUUAGAGAUCGAUUUUCAAGAAUGGGUGUUUAAUAAGAGGCAUUGCACUAAUCAUUGCAUAUAAGGAAAAAAGCUGACAUGUUGUGAAGCUACCCUAAAAGAUCCCAAUGAGGACAAUUAUGGAUAUAAAAAAAAAAGAUUAGGCUAGUACAUGAAACAGAAUACACAUGGCAAACUUGAAAAAAAGUAGGUGCAUAAAACAGAAGGCGCACUACAUGCCAUGAUUAAGUCUCAAACACUUAUUUUAGAGAAUUAGACCUUUGAUAAGAGAUUAGUAGCUUAAUUGAUUCUUGGAUGUUGAAUCAGUCAAAAAUAAGGAGAAUCCUCAUUUAUUGAUGUGUUGAGCUGCAAUUAGUAAAAUAUAACCAAACAAGAGAGGGUGGGUACUAAUAUAUAAAUUUAACCAUAAAUCACACCAUUGGAAAAUAGUUACAAAAUAAAGUUUGUGGACGUCCAUCCCAUGAGAGAAGAAAGAAAUAAUUGGCCAUUGUGGGUUGGGACGAGUCCAAUUUGAAAAAGUAUGUGAUUGAAUUGAUUAUGCACACACACACAUUGGUAGAGCAUUGGACAAGUUAGACUAUGUUUUGAUAUAAAACCUUAUAAGCAUUUUGUUAAGCAGUUUCAAAUCCUGAGACAAGUGCGACAAGCUAUUUCAUUUAAACUAUUUUUGAAUUUUUAUUGCUAGAGACUAGCAAUAUCUUGAUUUGGGAGUGUGAUUAGUGUCUAAAAGUAUUUCAAAGAUAUAUCAUUUACAAGACAUUUUACAUUUAUUUUUGUAUAAGUUUACUAAUGUUAGUCUCUAUUUCAAUUCUUUUGCCAUAAAUUCAAUUUUCGUAAAUACAUGGUUAAAAGUGUAAUUAAUCGAAAUACGCAUUUACAUACAUGUCGGCAGGAGUAUUAUACUUUUGAAAGAGUAUUUAUUUGAUGUAUUUCACAUGCAUUUUCAAUGUAGAACAAGUGGAGCAAGUGGAGCAAAAAAUGUUGAAAAGUCAAGAAUAAUGAGCUGUCUUCAGCGAAGAUGCAGCUGUCUCGAUAAAAUGGUCAUAACUUGAGUUGUAGAUAUCAAAACAAGGUGAUUUAAGUUGUAUUGGAAACAUAAGAUAUGUAUCUACAACUUUUAUGUUUUACAAGAAGUCAAAUUCUCAUCAUAAGGCAGCUAAAAUUACCAUGAAAAAUUCAAGUUGUUACCUGCUAGAUACAUCUUUUCUACCUUGAGCAGCACUCAUUAUUUUGAUCAUAUCUGGUGUUGUAGGGAUUCAAUGGACCUAAAAUUUGUACCAAUGAAAUAUAACUCAGUUGGAAACAAUUUAUCUGUUGAUCAAAAGUCCUAAUUCUCCGCACAAAGUAUCUGAAAAUUGGCAUCAAAUUGUAUGUUCCAGCUGUCUUCAAGUUGGAUAGAAACAAGUUGCAUUGUCCUCUUGCAUUUUUGAUGUUCCUUUACCUAUAAAAGGGGACCUUGGCCUAAAUUUUGAGAGCAUCAAUUUCAUUUCAUCAUAUUCUAGUUUCCUUCAUUUUCUUUGUAACAUAUCAUUAUGUAUUUCUCAACAAUUAGCUAGAGCUAGGGGUGAAACUUUGCUGAAUGUUUAGUAUUGUCUUUGAUCUUUCACUUUGUUUUUCAAUGUUCAUCUUCUUACUUGGUUGAAAUAUAUGUUCUAUAAAUGGUUUUGAUUUGUUAAAGAUUUUGAUUUAUUAUUGACAAUUUUGGCACAAUAAAUACUUAGAUAAUCUCUACAUACCAACAACUUAUUUUGACAUAUUUUUUCAAACAAUUAUUAAGAACUAUAUUUUAGUAUAUUUGUGAUCAAUGUUCUAUUUUCCAUAUGAGAUUACUCCCUAGUUGAUUUUCAUAUGAGUUAAAUCAAAGAUCAAGAGUAAUUUCUACUCAUUUAUCCAAAGUGAAUCCCCAACGCUCUACUAUUCUUCUCCAUCGUAUUUUCACCAACCGUUUACUACUCAUAGACUAGUUCAUUUCCUUCCAAUUCCCUGUGGUUCGACCUCGGACUUUCGAGUUUACUACUUGAGACAACCUGCACUUGGAUUUGCAACCUUAAAGUUGCAGCACUUUGCAUGGACCUUAGAGAUUUAAUUCACAUAGAGAUAUGGAAUUGAUAUUGUUAAAUAAAAUCAAUUUGAACUUGAAAGAGGUAAAUUGAGUAUGUUAGUUGAAUUUGACUAAGUUAACAUAAUCAAUUGUUAUGAAAUUUGUUGAUUGAAGUUAAGAUGACAGUUAUGAUAAACUGAAACUUGACCCCAUCGUAUAAAAAAUCAAUUUUUAUUGUUUUACUACAUUUAAAAAAAAUCACAAAAGAAAAUAACUAUUUUUAUUAAUUCUCAAUCGAAUUGAAGUUAGGAAUAAUUUAACCAGUAGUUAGAUUGUAGUUCUCUUGGGAAUGAUAUUCAGAUUCUAAGGUUCACUUUAUUACUUGUUACGACCCAAACAUUUACGAGAUAUAAAAAUCGACAACAAUUUUUUGGCGUCUACAAUAGCGGAUAGUUGUUGCUAGAUAAUAUUUUGUAUGGAGAUGGAAUUUGUAUCUGUGUUUUAAACUUCAACUAAGUUUGUUUGUUUGUUUGGCUAUUUUGAAUGAAUUUUAUUAGACAAUAUUUUGUUUGAGGGUUGAACUUGUCGUUUUCAUUAAAUUAUGCUUAUUAUUAUUUUUAUUUUAGUUUGGAGUUAUAUAAUAUUUAGUUGUGGUGAUAGAACUUUAAUUUGCAUUUAUAAUUUGAAAAGUUAAGUUUUGGAACCAAAACUAAACAAAACCAACUCCCAAUCGAAUGGUUUGAUUUUGGUUCAGUUCCAUUAUUACAAAUGAAAUCAAUGGUUUCGUUACCAAAACAACAAUAAUAAUAAUAAUAUCAUUGUUCUUAGUUUGACUCGAUUAUGUUGGAUCCAGAAUCAAAUCGAACCAUGCACCUUCUUAUUGCUCACACUUUGUUUUCAUAUCCAUUUUUCUUAAUCAUCCUCAUCAAACUCACCAAAUUAAUAAAGUUUGCAAUUCAAUAAAAUAAAACUUCUAACAUGUUAGCAAAAUAAUCUCAUAUCUGUAUAGAAAAGAAAAGACAUAACUUGAAAGAUCGCAUUGUCGAGUCUAUUAUAUGAAUUCUUGAAGUCAGUCAAAUCAUAGAAGUCUGUUAAACAUACUGUGAUCAUUUUAAUAGACUGCAAUAUCGCCUUGCAAAAAAUUCAUUCAAACACACUAAGUCCAUGUGUACAUUCUAAGAAAAAAUGCAUUAUUCAUGUCAAAUCAAUGGGAAAUGUGUGGUUAAAAAAAGAAAAAAUUUUUAGAUUUGUGUGUAAUAUUAUUUUUUUGAAAAAUUUGUAGUUGAAAUGAUGUCAAAUCACUGUUGAAAAAAGUAUUUUUUUUUUUUUUAAAUAAUGUGACUCAAACAAACCCUAAAUUUACAAUGAAUAAGUAAAAACAAAAGCAAAACCAAGGGUUUAUUAGUUACUUAUACUUAAACAAAACUGAUCUCCUGCUCCACUGGGCUGGAUAUUAGUUUUUCCAUCGUACCAUAUCAGCAGUUCGACGUUCUAUUUUAUUUUUUGACUUUUCUCCCUACCAAAACCCGCUAUGCCCCUUUAUUGCCUCACUAUCCCCAUUUACUUUAUUAUCACCCGAUCACCGUUUCAUUAUCCUCCACCCAUUUUAUUCCCUAUUCUUAUCUGCCACUUUGAUUUUCCCAACCACUUCUCUUCACCUGUCAUUGGUCUUCUUUGUAAUAUUUUCGAUAUAUAUUAUUUAUUUAAUUUGAUUGUAAAAUUAAUUAAAAUGGCCAAAAUUUAUUUUUUAUUCAUGGUUUUCACAUCAAAUUAGGUCAUUCCGAUUCAUAUUUUAGAGUGUCAAGAUCACUGAAUCAUUUAUUUCAUUAUUUUUAGUAAUUUGUAAAGUGUAGUAGUUGAAAAUAAAAUACAUAAAUGCAAUGUAAAUUGAAAAUCCGUGCUAUAUGGAAAUAGUUCAAAAACAAACCGUCAAAAAAUAAAAAGUAAAAACAAAAAUAAAAAGAAUUAGAAAACUCUUACAUAUAUAUCCCGACUCAAAUGUCGCCACUUAUAUAUACACACUUCAUUACAACAAUGAGUGGUACAAGCAUACAUGUCCACAGUAUAGUAAACCAAAAAAGUGCACAAGUGAAAACUCAGUGUCCUAAACUCAGUAAGAAGGGAUUGUAUAUCGUCCUAAACACAGUCCAGAGGAAAUACACAAAAAUGGCUCUUCCACUGUAGCAAAAAUUGACAUUGGUCUUUGACCCAUUAAAUGAAUUAAAAAAAAAACAAAUUAAGUUAAAAAAAAAAAACUUCACAGUAAAAACCCAUUUUACCCUUCAGACUGUUUGAAUUAUCUCUCACCGACCGAUCGACCAGUGCAGAAAUCCGACCGACCGACCACCGGAGUUACACCAACGUCGCAAUCAACAACCAUCAUCUACAGUGGAAAUUAAAGAACCAGUUAGUUUUCUGAUAUUUUCUCCAGUUCGAAUGCUUUUUUUCAUAGUAUCCCAUUAAAUUAGAUCCAUGGGCAUGAGUAGUUAAAUUGUGGGCAUGCUGGAUUGUGAAAAAUGUGAUUUUUUGCCAUUUUUUGGAGCUCAGUGGCCGGGAAUGGCAGUUUUCGAUCGUUUCCCGGCCACCGGGCUCGUUGCAGUCGCACCAACCGACUGUAACAGUCGGUGUAACCGACUGUUAACAGUCUGGGCCGAAUGUCAGACUGUUAACAGUCGGGCAGUCUGGGCCGGUAAACCGGCCCAGAUUAAAUAUUUAAAUUAAAAUUUUUUUUAUAAUUUUUGUAAUUAAUUAAAUUUUUUUAUUUGAUUAAAUAGUAAUUAUAUUAUUUAUUUAUUUAAUUUUUUUAUCAUUGUCAAUAUAAUAUAAUAAUUGAAUUAUUGUAAAAUUAAACAAUGUUGAUUAUUUUUUUUAUGAAAUAAUCUUUAAUUUAUUUUUUCAAAUUUAUUUAAAUAAUAUAAAUAGUCUUUACAUUUUUCGAAAAUGUAAAGUAAUUAUUUAUUUAAUUUUUAUAUUUGUCUUUUAUAUAAUUUAAUAAUUGAAAUAUUCUAAAAUUAACAAUUUUGUGUUGUUCUUUUUUUUUUUUAUGAAAUAAUCUUUAAUUUAUUUUUUAAAUUAUUUAAAUAAUAUUUAUAUUCUUUAAUUUUUUUGACAAUACAUUUAAUUUGAUUUGUUGUUUUUUGUAAAUAUAUUUUUCAAAUGUAAUAUUUGUAAUUGUAUGAUAGUUAGAGUUCGGUUCUCUUGAUUUUGUGAGAUUAUGCUUUAUUUUGUUAUCUCUUGUUUAAUGCUAUAACAUUUAAAUUUUUGCAGGAUGGAGUAUCAUUUAGAUGCAGAGUUGAGACGGAUGUCGGGGAAAGCUACUUGGAACAGUAGCUUUGAGAGUUUUACUGUUGUAUUGGAACUGCUCGAUGAUCAGCAUGGAGAUAUUCUACGACAGUCCUUCUUGUGGCCACUAUACCAGUUGCGAGAGGUGCAGUACUCAGGACAGAUCAUUGAUGCACUUCUAUGUCAGCUUCUGAGGCCAGUCGCCGGCGAUUCCCUCCAGUUCGACCUCAGGGGCAAGGUCGUCAGUUUCUCGAUGUUUGAGUUUACAUUGAUCACUGGACUGAAGAUUACGGGCGACGAUGCAGCCAUGGAGAGAAGCAGUAGGCUGUAUGAGACGUACUUCCAGGGACAUGGGUCGGUGCUUCUACCCGGCUUGAUGGUCGCGAUCAGGGAGUGCGACCAUAUGCUAGAUAGAUUGAAGCUUGGGCUGGUCUACAUCCUCGAGAGUGUGAUGAGGUGUCAUCACAAGAAGACUGCCAUUGACAUUUUUCAUUUGCAAGUUGUUGACGACAUCGAUGCGUUCAACAACUAUCCGUGGGGCCGAAGAUGCUACGAAGACACCGUACAUGUGUUCACCAGAUCGCACUCGAGGCCCAGGGGGUCGAUGGGUAAAUACGAUACAUAUGGAUUACCGUUAGCAGUGCAGGUAAAUGUUUAAUAUAAUCAAAGUUAAAGUUUUAGUGUAUUACAUUGAUGCUUAAUAAGUGUAUGUGUUACAGAUUUGGGUGUAUGAGACAGUUCCUGUACUGGGGGCCCGCUUUGCGCAGCGAGGGGAGACACGCUGCCCUCGGAUGCAUCAUUGGAGAUCAUCGCGAGCGGAGGGAUGUCCCACUGGGAAGCAGUUAUCGGCCCUCCUCGACGAUCCUCGGGUAAGUAUUAUGCAUUUGUGAUUUAUAUUAUACGUAGUUUAAAAUUUUGUUUACAUGAUCGUUAAAUAGUUGAAAUGUCAAUAUGUCAGCUUGAAGUCAUACCUGAGUUGACGCCAUCGAUGGAAGAGGAGGCUCGGGGUCUUGUGCGGGAUUUAGGCGUUCCGCACACCCCAGACGAGGAGAUGCCUGAUCCGAGCUUGGACCGAGAUUGGGUAUGUGAAUGAAAUAUAAUUUAUUGAAUAUGAUCGACGUAUAAAUUUAUUGAAUAAUUUAUUGAAUAAUUUUUCAUUUUAUUUAUUUAGGAGGGCGGUCCAGCUGAUCGACGAUCACCUCCGCCGGGGCCAUCGUCGCUACCAUUGGCAUCAUCUCCGCCGAGAGUAUCGUGCCCGCCAUUGGCAUCACCUCCGUCGAGGGCAUCACCGCCGCUAGUGGCAUCACCUCCGCCGGGGCUAUCGCCGACGCCAUUGGCAUCACCUCCGUCCAGACACCUCCCCCGUGUGUCUCCGGGGCACAGUGAUGAUUUGUAUGCCCGUUUGACUGGAUUUAUAGCGGAGGAGGUCGGCGUGCUAUGACGAGAUUUGACGGAGAGGGUCGAUGAUAUGGGACGAGAGUUGACAGGGUGGGCCAACGAUCUGGCAGGGAAGGUUGACUAUAUGACAGGGAGGGUUGACGAUCUAUCCCAUGAUGUUGGAAUACUACAGUCUUCCGUUGUCGACCUUCAGGAUACAGUAGCGGCGCUUAGAGGAGAUUUAGCCGACAGACGAUGGGGGGACAGAGAGGAUGGCAGAGAUCAUGAUCGAGAUGGUGGCAGAGAUGGUGAUGGAGAGGGGGGUCACCCACAUUUUUGGCGUGAUGAGACAUUGGAGUCCUUGUGGUUGUCUAUGGAGGGAUGGCCCAUAUGGGGAUGGGAGAGGGGACUACGAAGGGGGCGGCCCCGACGGGAGGGGCGGAGGAAGUGGCGACGGAGGGGGAGGCCCCGACGGGAGGGGCGGAGGAGGCCCCCAUGGAGGGGGCGAAGGAGGUGGCCCCGGAGGUCGAGAGGACGCCCGGCGUGAUUGAGAGUAAGAGACAUGCUGUUGACGAGACGGAGCAGGUGGUCGGCAAGAGAUUGAGAGUGCCGUCACAGUAUGUUGUUUCCCCCUUCACGACUGAGGCCAAGAGGAGGACGUUCAUCGAUGGGACGUACCCGAACUUAUUCAGAGAGGUGGACAAUGCCAAGUGGAAAGCGUUCGAGACAUAGUGGAGGAGAAUUAUCCCCGGGUAAGUAUUGUAUGAUUUUAAUAAAGCACUGUACGCUAACUCGUCUACGCUUAUUUUAACAUUUCCCUCUUUUUUACAGAGCUAGCCGCACGAUAGGACAAAGGACAGUCUCGGACCCUUACAAGUGGUUCCACGAUAUCACCACUGCGGGAGCUUGGCUCGCUGACGAUGUAAGUAAACUAUUCAUUUCGUGUUUUUUAUGUAUAUGUGACCUUGUGUUUAUUAAAUGAAUAACUCAUACUUUUUCGGUGUUUCCUGCUGCAGCACAUCGACCUGGCCAUGGACUUGCUACGAGAUCGAGCUCAAAGACAUCCAAAAUCAUUUGAUGUCCAUGUACUCGACUAUAUAUUUGUAUGACCCAGAUCAUUCAUGUUUGACACAAGGCCAGUUGGAGCAAAAUCUGGAGUCCGUGGCUGUCAUUGUUCCUAUGAUGGCCAGACGAGCGGGGGGUAAAUGUAUAGGACAGAUUGCGGAUCGUUCGGAACACGACGACAGCACGACAGUCCGUAAGGUAAGUGUUUGAACGUUAUUGUUUUCAUUUUUCAGAUUUAGUUUUUAUUUACACAGUACUAAACUGAUUCAUUCUUGUUCAAUUGCAGCGGCGAAUGCGGCAUAUUUGCCAUUAAGUACGUUGAAUUUUUAAGUAUAUGACAUAAGGUUGAUGAAAUCAACCAGUCGUGGAUACAGAACUGGAGAAAGAAGCUAGCAUGUGAUUUGUUCGAAUUUAAUGCUGACCCAUAAAUUUCAUUUAUAUAUAUGUAACAUUUCAAUUGUAAAUUUAAUUAUUUUUGUAAUUAUGAAAUAAUUGUAAAUUUGUGUUCAAUGUAUAUAACAUUCAAAUUGGAAAUUUAAUUAUUUUUUGUUAUUUUGAAAUAAUUGUAAAUUUGUGUUCAAUGUAUAUAACAUUCAAAUUGGAAAUUUAAUUAUUUUUGGUUAUUUUACCCGUAUGCCGAGUGUGGAACUAUUUUUUGUAUAUUGAAGAUUUAUAAAUAACAAAUAUUGAACUGUGUAAAGUAAAAGGAAAUAUUAUUCAUUUCACGUACCUGUCUAGUCGUCAUUUAGGGGAAUUUGACUGGUACAAAAUUGUCGAGUAUGCCCUAUGGCUUUGCACCGGCCACACCUACGCGGUCGAGGAAACUCUCCGGUAGAUGGUAUUCUAGAUGUACUUGGACGUCCAGGACCACGCGGUUCAACUGCUGGUGGUAACAAAUUAUGAAAUGGGAGAAUGUGCUCGGGAACUUCCCACUCGGCUUCAUUCGGCAGAGGAAAUAUAGUCUCGGCAUAUGCUUUUCUCCAAGACUCAGUCGUAUAAUACAAAGAGCACAACGUUCUCGCAGCAAAGCCUCGAUACAUGGCCACCGUAACUGCAUGCUCACAUGGAAAACUCUCUAACUGAAAUCUCGUAGAAGUGCAUGUAUUAUCAGUCAAGUCCACCAUAUAUGCCGUAUUACGUGCACAUUGCACGAAGAAGCGAAACUCAUCUAGUGCUUCCACAUUCAACUUCUUCGCAACCUCUGCCGCCUUAAACAGUUUCUCCUCUUGAGCUGGGGCCAACACGCUAGUGUAACUCUUUGAUGCCGCACGUCGGUCAUGAAACCACUGUUGUAGCUUGUUACGAAUGUUCUCAAUCAUUACGAGAAUUGGUAACUCUCGAUCCUUCUUAAACAAUGCAUUGAGAGACUCCGCGUUAUUCGACGUCAUCAUGUUGUAUCGACGUCCUGGAAAGUAUGACCGCGUCCAAUGUUCGAUCCCCAUCUUCGUCAGAUACUCCAACGCCGGUAAUGAUUUACUUCCUAUCUCGAGCAUAAACUUAUUACACUCUUCAGCACUGUAAGCUUCGGCUGCUCUCCUGAACAAUGAAACGAUGCCUGUGCCCCGAUACCUAGUCUUCAAAUUACCUUGUAUAUGGUACAUGCAAUACCCGUGAUGUGCCUCGGGAAAAACUUCAGCGAUACCGUUUAUUAUAGACUGUCCUCGAUCGGUUACAAAGGCAAGGUUUUCAACUUCCCCGAUCACUUCCCUCAGUUUAGAAAAGAACCAACGCAUGGACAGAUCAUUCUCGCUGUCGACUAUGCGGAAUGCAAUAGGGUAAAUUUGGAUGUUGGCAUCUUGACAUUUAGAAAUAAUUAAUUUGCCUUGAUAUUUAGCUUUCAGAGUCGUACCAUCAACUAGAAUUACGGGUCGCAUUGCAUUUCAAAAACCCCGAAUACAUUGUCCGAGAGCCAUGAAAAAAUACUUAAAACAAUUAUCACCCCCCGUCUCAAUAAAAAAUGUCGUGCCAGGAUUAGUUGUCCCUAUGUUAUGGCAAUACCUAGCCAAUUUAGCAUAGCUCUCUUUAGCCGAUCCCAUUAAAUCCUCCAACGCAUAUUCUUUGGCCUUCCAUGCUUUCUGAUAGCUCAUGACCACUCCGUACUCUCGACGGACGUCGUUAAUGAUGUUUGAAGGUCUGUAGAUCGUUCGUGGAUCCUGAUACUUGUACAUUAUCUGUCGACCAAUAAACCAUGCUCGAGCUUGCCUGUGAUCGUUUCAAAAAAUUCCCACUUCGCAAGUAUGUUCCCGUAAAUACUUGCGAAUUACGAAGCACUCAUUCGUGUCCAUCUUAGUUGCUCUCAAGCGCCAAUUGCAACUGUCUUCGACGCAAGCAACUGUCAACAAUGACUUGUUUGAUUUCUUUACCUUGAACUCAAAGUUAUAUUUUAAUGCCAGCCGGUGCACAGCUUCCUGCAAAUCUUUCUUGGUUUCAAACAGUUUCUCGACCUGCAAGUCCUCAUCAUUGGGAGCUACACGGGAAGAAUUCGAGGAUGGUCCACUUGUUCCAACCUGUGAGCUCCCACCAAGCUCGUGUCUCUGUCAGGAUAAAGCAAUCAAAUUCUCAUUUGUAAAGUCGUUUAUGUUCUCAUUGUCUUCAACUGUUGACGGAAUUCUGCGCGUAACAGCGACAUCACGAUCAGAAGCAACUGUCUCAGGAAUAUCCACAUCAUCCGCAGGAACUAUCUCCACUGUCUCCCAAAAACCUCGAUCACUGUUAUCCGCCCUAUCCGAAUCUUCGCGUUCACUUUCGAUAACAUCCUUCGUAAUUAAAGUCACACCAAGAACAGUCGGAGUCCGAUGCAUUUUAUUCAAUUCUAAUAGAUAAUUCAAUUCAGCAUCAUUAGUAACGAAUACCGAUGGCAUCGGAAUGGAUAAAUCCCCAUAAUCGUUGAAUAGAUAUCUCAAUUGCAUAUCGCAUUGAGAUUGAUCGACAUUCAGCUUAUUUUGCAAAUCGUGGUACAUUUCUAAGUAUGGUGUACUCUCUGUUACGGGAAUUGCAAUACAACCACGUAUGUCACUCGUCCAUCUCCAUUCCCACCGAUUAUUUUCAUUCAAUUCGAAAUCACCGAAAUAACACACGGGGAUUAUCGUAUCUGCAUGAGGAAAUGGUUUUAAUCAACUUCAAAUAUUAAUUAUAAGAAAGAAAAAGGCAAAAAAUCAGCUGCAGCCAAGGCUGUUUAACAGCCGGCUAUUAGGCUGUUUAACAGCCAACAGCCGGACUGUUUCAGACUGUUUUCACUGUUUGUUAAGUUAAACCAGUUUGCCGUAGGAGAAUACCGUUCUAAAAACGAAAUUAAGCAUGCGUAAUUUAAACGUAAAUUAUACAUCCGUUUAAUUUUUUUUUGAUAGGUUCUGUUAAAAACAAUCUAUGUCGACAUAAAAUUUCUCUAUUUAAACGUAUACUAAUUUACUUAAAACGAAAUUAAAUAUGCGUAAAUGUACUUACCGAUUUGAAAUAAUUGAUGUGAAAAAAAUUUCCAGCUUCAACGUUCCAAAGUUCUUCUAGAUUUUGAGGUUCAAGCAGAUGAAAAGAUGAGAGUUUUUUCUGUGUUGGAAGCUCGUUUUGAAGUUUUUAUAAGUGGAGAAAUGUUUGGUUUUCAAUUAUUAAGUAAAAGUGUAGUAUAGUCCUUUCAAUAAUAUAUUGUUUUGUAAUUGUACAAAAUAUUUAAGGACAUCUUUGUCUUUUACCAUACAAGAGGCCAAUGUCAUAAUAUUCAUGAUUUUGGAAAUCAAACUGAAAUUUUGCUCUUUUGCCUGGGUCAAAAUUAAAAGUACCCCGUCCAAUGCAAUACAAACCAAAAACACGCGUCACUGAAUGAGAAUUCAUUAGAGGUUCAAACAUAUUUAAUUUAUGAAAACUUAUCUCUUGUCCACAGUGGUAGGACAUCAAAUGCCUUGCUAUCGGACAAUAACAAAACAGCACAAUCAUGGCUGCAAAUCAUUGGUUGCACGAGCAAUAGAGACAAAAUGUCUCCUAGUGCCAGGUUACCACCCCAAGAUACAAGUCAACAUUUAUAGUAAUCCAAAUAAAAAUUUCACAAAAUCAUCAUCAUACUCUUUUCAUUUACAUAGCAUACCAAAAAAAUGAUUUGCACAGCAAUGUUCAAAUUAGAAUUUCAUGAAAUCAUCACCACAUCAUGUUUAUUUUCCACUAGCAGAUUAAAAAAAAAAUGACUUGCACAGCCAUGAUUUAGUCCCCCGCCCAUCCCUUUUCCCUUUCAUCCAUUUCUCCCAAUCACUGACUUUGGAAAACACGCCUUUUUAAAAUUUGUUUACUUUUCUUGUAUAAAUUUUGAAAAAAUCAUGGCAGUAGCCCUUACCUAUCCCCACCCAGUACAACAUCAUCAACCCAACACUAUUAACCAAAAAUUUUAAAGAUCCAUAUCUUAAAUCUUAGAAAAACCACAGCAAAAUCAUAUGAUACAAUAAUGACCAAUAGAUACAUAUGGUGAAAAACAUUAAAAUAGUAAAUAUUGUUAGUGAUAGAGAGUUUGGCGACAGCAACAAUGAUGAUGGAUACAGGGUUAAAGGAAAAUAGGAAGGGGAGAGGGAAAAGGUUCUAUGGAAGCUCGCUCCAAGAUUUUCGAAACGAUGAUUUUCGUGCUUAGUUUCACAUUACCUUUCUUUACCAGAUAAUCAAUCCAAAAUUUUUUGACCCACUGUUAAUUACUUGUGGGCUGCCUCACAUGAUUCUUGGCUUCGUGGGCCUCUGCUAUUGGCCAAAUGCUCCACCAGGUUGCUGUGGCUAUUUCAAGUUUGAUAAAAUCGUGUUUUGAUAAAAACACCUCUUCAAGAAUUAAUAUUAGCCGUAUCGUGGCUAAAUCUCUGCCCUCUGAUUGUUUGGAUUAAUACGGAUACUUACACUGGGUCUUGGCCUUUUCAUUUGCUAUUCUAGAGAAUUCUUUUGGGGAAUCUCUUCGUCUUACUCUCUGUCGUUCUCUUUGUCCUUCGUUUUCUGAGUGAAAAUAAGGGUUUGGCCAUGUUAGAUGAAAUCGAUCUUUGUGAUUGAUAAUAUUCUGUUCUUUGUGUAGAGAAAUGGUUAUUUUGUGCAAUCUGUGAAAGUGAUAGCAGUGUUGUGUUGUUGUGUCAAGAGGCAAGAUAAACUCGAAGAAAUUUCCAAUUUCUUCGUACAUUUAUACACUGUUCUUGUUCGUUAUUAGUGGAUCUAGAGCUUAAUCUCGUGAGAAAUGCUCAACGGGUGAUUAGGUUGCAAAAUCGAACAUCCAGGCCCUUUUAAAAGGGCAAAACAUAUCUUGUUUUAAUUUUCUUUAAUUUCUGCAGUUCUUUAAUGGUUUUCUAAAGAUCGAUCCCAAUGUUUUAAGUUUUAAAAUAUAACACCCACAACUAAUAAAUUUACCUCGGUUGCUUCUCAAUCUUACCUACAAAUGAUAAGAUAAUGGUGUUGAAGUUUGCAAGCCACAAAGGCACAAGAAAAAAUGAUGGAAAAAAAAAAGCACAAGAUAGAGGUCAAAGCCACAUAUAUAGUAAUCGAUUUUUCUCUCAAGCAAGUUGUCCGAUUUUUCACAACAAGAGGGCAACCACGGUUUUUUCUCUUCACAUGCAAAUUAUACACUCCACAACGGCUAAGUUAAGCAACAUAUAUAUAGGAAUAGGUUAUUCUUUAGCUGGAACAAUAAAUGGGUUAAAUGGGUCAAGAUCAAGAGUCGUCUAAUAGGUAAAUAUAUGGAUUAUGAGCAACAUUAAUUUCUUAAGCUACUUGCAACGGUCCAUAUUGUUUUCGUGUCUAGCCUUUAAACUUGAUUGUUGGUAAUCAAUUCACCAUAAGUCCAGGCCCGUGAAAAUAUAUUCCGACAUUUUACAUCAUCACUCGGGAUUUAUUGGGUAUCAAAACCCAACAAAAGGGGUUGGGGAGAGAAAAAUGGACGAUUUAGUAAUAUUACUGUGUGCAAUGCAGAUUUCGAUGACGACGAGGGCGAAGGCGAAGUCUAACGAUGGAGGAAGCCCAAAAUGAUCAGAGAGAAUGAAUGAAAGGAAAAAUGUAGCUAGAAAAUAAUGGGAAGGGUGGGUGAGUGGGUUUUUGGGAAGGGUGGGUGAGUGGGUUUUUGUACCAUUGAUGUGGCAACUAAUAUCUUGCACGCUAAGGGAAAGGAUUAGUUCCGUUAUUUUAAAUACAAAGAAAGAAAAAAAAUGGAGGGAGAUGUAGUUUGUUAACGUUCUUUCAAAUUUUCAACAUGGAGAACAAUUCUAAUGGUAUAAAUGUCCCUUUGUAAACAUAUAAGGGACACUUUUAGCCUCUGCUGUCUUCAUUUGAAAUAAAACCUUUUAAUUUUCAUAUUCAUUUUCUACCACACAUUUACAGAAUAAAAUAUUUUUCACGAAAAUCCAAAAAUUGUCUCUAUUUUAUAACCAAACAUUCUUUAAAAAAAUUACUAUUCAAAAUAUCAUUUUUUUCCCUACCAUCAAACAUGGACUUAAAAUAUAAGGGUAUUUCUGAUUUUUUAACAUAUAAUGGGCCUUAAGAACUUAUUUUGAGUAAGCUACACUCCUAAUCACAUUUGAUAGUUUGACAACAUUUUCUAGAAAAUAGCCACAUCAGUUCUAUUUUAUCUGUUCAACAAGUUUGUGGAUGGAAUUUCUGAAGAAGAGUUAGAAUGGAAUUUUCUGGGAGGCUAGUAGUCCUUAUAUAGCACACAUGGAUUACUUACUGUCCUGUUUCGCCAUUUAAUUGGGGACUUCAACGUAAUACGUUGUGUUGGAAAAAUAAUAGAGUGAAGACUUUAAAAACCAAAAACAAACUUACCGACCUUACCAAAAUUGGACAAAAUAUUAGCAAGGAAACAAGGAAAUAAUAACGUCAAAUGAAAUGGAUGUAAAAUCGAGACAAGAGUUGAACUCUUCGUCCUUAAGUCAACUUUGCCCCAUAACGGUGCCUACGAGAUGGCAAUCGAUUCCCAAGAUACAAUAACUAUCCUAUUAUGUUAGAAGCACUCUAAAACACAAGAUCAUUGAACCAAAACCGAAUUUUGUACACCUUUUGAAUGAACAAAAGAAAACCAGAAUUUAUAUAGAAUUUUGGUAAAAAAAAGAAGAAGAGGAAAUAGUGUUAUGCUAUGAUUGCAUAUCAUUAGGAUGAAGAAAUGGAUGUCCCAAGGGUUCUAUUUAUUGAGGGAGAGAGGUUGCGAGUGAAGAGACACGAUCCAAACUCAGCAACCUUUGCCAAGAGUCAUAGCUUUUUCUGUCGCUUGUUUUUCGCUUUUGCCUCACUCAAGUGUCAAAAAUAGUGGGCCCAUUGCUCGCCUGCCAUUGGCCUAUCGCUCGAGCGAUAGCCUCACCGCUUGAGCACCAAGCGAGUGGCAAAGUUGGUCGAACUCCAACCAUUUUUCCUCUCUUUUUUCACUUUGGACUGCAAUUUUUCAUUCAUUCGGAACUGAUUUCGACAUUCCAAAUAUACAACAACAAUCUACUUGAUGAGUAGAACAAGAUAUUCUAUUUGUAUUAGUAAUUUAACUAUCGAAUCAAGUCCGAAUAUUUGGUGGAAAUUGACACGAAAGUCACUUUUUCCAUUUUUAUACUUAACCAAUUUCAACAACUUCCCACAUGAACGAAAAUUCACAAUAUUCAAUGCACAAUGCAAAUGAUAUGCAUACUCUAACAAAAGGAGUACAUAUGACAAGUUAUUACAUCAACAUAGGUGGCUUAUGGCUUGAACCUUCCUUAGUUGUGCAUAAUUGAAUUUACUAAGCUAAUUGUUGAAUUUGACAUCUUGAACCAUUUAGCUAUUCGUGUAAAUCAAAAUAACUGUACCAAUACCAUAACUUAUCUUACCAGUUCAAUUCUCAUGGUUGUGUUUAUUUUCGCCCUAAACAACUCUUGUUUCAUAAGUGUUUUAGGAGAAUUUAAGCCUUAAAUUAGUUAGAAGCAGUCCCACUUCACACUUAUAUAGGUGAUCUUCUACCUUUCUGCCAAGGUAUAGGAAUCAUUAAUGUAUACACUUAUCCUUAUACAAAGUUUUACUCUAGCACAUAAGGUUUGUAGGAAUGGGAGUAAGUACUUUACUCUGAAUCUUUUAUAAUUUAGUUGUCCCAUUGAACCAAGAUCUUGAGAUCACCAAUGGAAUUUCGUUAUGGUGAUUCUAUUUGAUAGGCUAUAGGUUCAUACCUCCUCGAAAGAUGGUAUACUUGAUCUCUUGUAAGUCCUUUUGUCAAAGGAUCCACUACGUUGUCUUUUGGUUCAACAUAAUGGAUCGAGAUUAUACCAUUUGAUAUCAACUAUUUAAUGGUGUUAUAUCUCCAACAUAUAUGUCAAGAUUUACUAUUAUACAUACUAUUUUAUACCCUUGCAAUUGCCAAUUGAUUAUCACAAUGGAUAUUAAUCGCAGGUACGAACUUAUCCCAACAUGGAAUAUCUUUGAGAAAAUUAUGAGGUCAUUCCGCUUCUUCUCCUGUUUUAUCCAAAGCAAUAAACUCAUUUUCUAUUGUGGAUCGACCUAUAAAAGUUUUGCUUAGAUGAUUUUCAGGACACAUCUCCACCUCCAAAAUAGACUUUGGAAUCUUUUGCGUCAAAUAUCUAAUUUGCAUCGGUAUAUCCUUUUAGUACAACAGGAUAUCUUGAGUAGUGUAAUCCAUACCCAACCGUGUGUCUUAAGUAUUUAAGUACUCGGGUCAAUAGCUUCCAAUGAUCAAUACUUGGAUUACUUGUAAACAUACUUAACUUGUUGACUACAUAUGCUAUAUCUGGACGUGUGCAGUUGGUAAUGUACAUCAAAUUGCCUAUAACACACGAAUAUUCCAAUUGAGAUACGGGAUCACUCGUGUGUUUUGGCUUAAGUGUAAACUAAAGUCUACCAGUGUCUUAACCGGUUUAUCAUCAUACGCCUUAAAUUUCUUAAAUAUAGCCUCAAUAUAGUGUGAUUGAGACAAUGAUAAACCAUCAAGUGUCUUAGAGAUCUUAAUCCCUAAUAUUAUGUCUACAGUUCCCAUAUCUUUCACGUCAAAAUGUUUUAUCAACAUUUUUUUAGUUUAGAAAAUAUUGUUCGCGCUAUUUCCCAUGAUUAACAUAUCAUCAACAGGCAUACAAUCACGUAUUUGUUAGGUGUGUUUUUGAUGUAGACACACUUGUCUCAUUCAUUGAUUUUGAAGCCAUUUGGUAACAUAAUUUUGUCAAACUUUUCAUCCCAUUGCUUCGAUGCUUGUUUUAAACUAUAUGACGAUUUCACAAGCUUAAACACCUUCUUCUCAUUUUUCGAAGCAACAAAUCCUUCAGAUUGUCCAUAUAUAUUUCUUUUUUUAAUUCACCAUUUAGGCAUGUAAUUUUAACAUCCAUUUGAUGUAUUUCAAGAUUAUGCAAUGCCACGAUUGCAACCAAUACACAUAUAGAAGUGAUCUUAGUAACAGGUGAAUAGGUAACGAAGAAAUCUAGUCAUUCCUUUUGUCUAUACCUUUUAGCUGCUAAUCUAGAUUUAUAUUUGUCUAUUGAUCCAUACGAUUUCAAUUUUCUUCUGAAGAUCCACUUGCAACCUAAAGCUUUGCUUUCCGGAGGGAGUUCAACCAAUUCCCAAGUAUGUUUAUUCAUGAUGGAUUCAAUUUCAUUAUUAACCGCUUCUUUCCAAAAAAGAGCUUUAGGAGAGGAAAUUGUUUCAUCAAAUGUCAUUGGAUCAUUUUGUAGCAGAUGUGUUAGAAAUUUUGGACCAAAUGUCUUAUGAAUCAUUUGUCGUUUACUGGGCCUUGGUUCUUCAUCUUCUUGAUUAUUAUCACCUUCUAGAUGGUUUCUGCUUGUACCAUUAUAAAUUCAUUUGUGUGAAUUUAUUUCUUUUCCUUACACGAAAAAAUAUCUUCAAAGAAAGCAAUAUUCCUUGAUUCAAUGAUCGUUCCUUCAUGUACAUCAAGUAUUUUCGAUCUAUGAACCAAAAAUCAAUAUGUAUUACUAUUAUUUGCAUAUUCACUAAAGAUACAAUCUAUUUUCUUUGAUCCAAUCUUUACUUGUUUAUGUUUAUGUAUUUGUACCUUUGCUAAAUUUUCCCACACUUUAAGUAGUUGUAGGAAGGUUUUCGACCUUUCCAUAACUUAUAAGUUAAUUCAAUCUUACUUUUGUAUGAUAGUUUAUUAAGGAUAUAAUUUGUAGAAAGAAUUGCCUCUCCCUCAUAAGUUUUAAGGUAAGCUUGAACUAAUGAACAAUGCAUUCAUCAUUUCCUUAAUGGUUCAUCUUUUGUGUUCAGUAACCCCAUUUAACUGAGGUGAGUAUGGUGUUAUAGUUUGAUGAAUAAUUCCAAAUUCUAAACAAAAUUCUUCAAAUGGAGUGGUAUAUUCUCCAUCUCGAUCAAUACAAAUAAUUUUUAUUCGUUUUCCAAGUUGAUUUUUAACUUCAAUUUUAUAGUGCUUAAACAUUUCUAAAGCUUCAUCUUUACUUUUCAACAAAUAUACAUAGCAGUAUCUUGUACAAUCAUUUAUGAAUGUGAUGAGACCUUUUACCACCUCUCGUUUGUACAAACUUUAAAUCACAUAUAUCAAUGUAAAUAAGUUCUAAAGGUGUUGUGCUUCGUUAACUGAGUAAAACGGUGUUUUGGCUAACUUAAGCUCUACACAUAUUUCGCUUUUCCCAUUAUUAAAAUGUAUACUAGGUAAUAAACUUAAAUUCGUUAACUUGCGUAUAAAAUUGAAGUUUACAUGUCCUAAUCUAUGAUGCUAUAAAUUAGACAACUCAAGAAUAUAGGCAAAAGAAGAUAUUUUAUUCCUUGGGUUAUUUAGUAUAAUAGUAAGGGCAUUCAUCUUGAAUAGUCCAUCUUUUACAUAGCCUUUGCCUACACACAUAUUAUUUUUUGUAAAUAUACUUAUCAUAUACAAAGACCAGCUUAAAGCCAUUCUUGCUUAAUAGAGAACUUGAUACUGAAUUCUUGCGAAUAUCCGGCACAUGAAGAACAUUGUUGAGGUUAAAUUCCUUGACUGAUGUCAUCUUUAAGAUUACUUUGCCUUGUCCUUCUACUUUUGAACUUGAUGGAUUUUUCUUUGACAACUUCUCACCCUCGGCUGGAGUAUAGAAAGAGAACAUUCAUUUAUCGGCACAUAUGUGAUGGGUAGCUCCCUAUCCACCCACUACUCCAUGGGAUUUUUAACAUUGUUGCAUUAUGAAAUAAUGGCUGACAAAUUAUAUUUGAUAUACCAUCAGAUAUAGCAUCAGAUUCAGUGAUAUUUUUCUUGGUUCGCUUCUUAGGUUUGCAACAAUCGAUAGAGCGAGUUCGGCCUUUCCAUAGUUAUAGCAACUGUCCUUGAAUUUCUUUGCAUUCUUUUCAGAAGUUUCUAUGGAAUGUUUUCUUUCCUUGCUCUUGUUAUUUGACUCCACCCCAUUGGCCUUAGGCAUAUGGCAUCCAACACAUUUGUUCGGAGUUCUAUUAUCUUCUUCAAUUCUCAAUUGAAUGAUGAGAUCUCAUUUAUUCAUCUCAUUGCGCUUGUGUUUGAGAUAAUUCUUGAGGUCCUUUCAUAUGGAUAAAAGUUUCUUGAUAAUUAUAGUCACUUGAAAUUAUUUAUUUAGAGACAUAUUCUCUACGUGAAUGUUUUUGAGAAUCCCAAGUAAUUCUUGUACUUGACUGAUGACCGUCUUUGAAUCUACCAUUUUGUAGUCCAAAAAUUUAUCCAUGUUGAACUUUUCGCUUCAACGUCUUCAGUUUUGUAUUUCUUUUCUAAAGAUUUCCAUAGUUCUUUGGCAGAUUUCUUGGAGCUGUAUGUGUUAUAUAGCGCAUUAUCCAACCCAUUCAAUAUGUAGCUCUCACAUAAGAAAUUUGAAUGUUUUCAAGCAUCCAAUGCUAUUAGUGUGCCCUGUUAUUUUCCCUUCUUGCACAACGGGAUCAUCUUCAUUUUAGAAUAUUGCCAGGUUUAAGUCGUGAGAUAGAACAACAGUUUCUGCUGCCAUCACUUAAACUCAACUCCAAUAAAUUUAUCCGAUUUCUCUCCAUGUGGAAUGGAGUUUGUAUGAAUGGUGGGAGGGGCAACCGCAACACAAGGGAUCGUACCGGUAGGAACAAUUCCUUUUGAAGUUCCCAUAUUCAAUGUAUCAUUGGAAGUAGAAUUGGUAUUGAAAACCGUAUUCAUUUUUGUUUAAAUAAAGUAGAAGAUUAACCACAAAUCAAAUCCUAGAUGGAUAGAAUAUCUUAAAUCGAAGUGAAAUCAGCUUAACCGAGUAGGAUAAAGUAAUCACUCUAAAAAUUGACUAAAGAUGUUUGGAAAAAUAAUAGAGAGAUGACUUCAAAAACUGAAAACAAACUUACUUACCUUACCAAAAUUGAAUAGAAUACUGGCAAGGGAAGAAGGAAAAAAUAACGCCAGAUGAAAUAGAUGUAAAGUCGAGGCAAAAGUUGAACUCUUUAUCCUUAAGUCAAUUUUGUCCCACAAUUGUGCCUAGGAUGAUGGAAAUCAGCUCUCAAGAUACAACGACUAUCCUCUUGUGUUAGUAGCACUCCAAAACACAAGAUCAACGAACCAAAAUCGGAUUUUGUACUCCUUUUUGAAUGAAUAAAAGAAAACCAGAAUUUAUGCUGAAUUUUGGUAGAGAAAGAGGAAAUUAAUGUUAUGCUAUGAUUGCAUAUCGUCAGGAUGAAGAAAUGGACGUCCCUAAGGUCCUGCUUAUAAAGGGGAGAGGUUGUAAGUGAAGAGACUCAACCCAAACUCAGCAACCUUUGCUAUGAGUUGCGGCUUUUGCUGUCGCUCGCUAAUUACCUUUGCCUAUCUCGAGCGUUAAAAAUAGUGAGGAGGUCGUUUGCCUGUUGCUAGCUUGUCACUCUAGCGAUAGCCUCACAGUCACUGCUCGAGCGCCAAGCUAUCACUAGGCGAGCGGUGGAGUUGGUUGAAUUCUAGCCAAUUGUUUCUCUCUUUCUUUCCAACUUUGGAUUGGAAUUUCUCAUUCAUCCCAAAUUGGUUUUGAGAUUUCAAAUAUACCAUGACGAUUUACUCUACAAGUAGAAUAAGUUAGUCUAUUUACAUUAAUAAUUUGACUAUCCGAUCAAGUCUAAAUAUCUGGCCGAAAUUGACACGAAAGUCACUUUUUCAUGUUUAUACUUAACCAAUUCCAAAACAAUGGUCAUUGGUUUCAUUUCACAUCCAAGUUUCCAACAUAAACUGAAAUUCUGUCAAGUUAAUUGCGUUACACUCUUCACUAUGUAUCAGAAAUCACAGCUAACUUGAUUGUCAAAGUGAAACAUUUUUUCAACUUGUGACACAAACUAAUGCUUGCAGCUUGCAUUUGAGAAAAUGUUUCUUAGCCAUAUUAUUGCUUCCAUCAAAAAAAAUAUUAGUUUGUUUGGUGUGACUCCAAAUGAAACUCAUAUCUAAUGGAUUGAAAAGAGAAGAAUGCUAUAACUUAGCAAGAUAGCAUAAAAAAGAUUAGCUAACAGAAGAUGCUAUUUAUGAAGCAUAACUCAGUGAAGGCUAAGGCAGAAAUAUAAAAAAGAAGCAAGCUAUACUAGAUAAUUUGCACUAGACUUCUACGAUAUUUGGAGCUUCGGGAUAUGGGAAAUAUGAUCCAAUAUUGGUCUUCAGUUUCCUUCUUGUAUUUCUGCUGCAUGAUUGGACAAUUCUGGAUACCCAACUUCCUUAUUGGUGUCAUUUUAAAGAGAGGAUCCGGUAGUGCCUUCAGAUUGCUGCAAUUGUAAAGUUUCAAAAAGUGGAGUUUAGGCAUGACCUUGAUGUCUGCAGUUCUGAUCAUGUUCCAUUCUUCCCAACUUCCCAUGUCUGAAAUUUUCAGUUUCUUCAACUUUGGGAAUGCAAUAUAUUCUUCUGAUGAUAAUGCCAAUGAUCUGUCUUUGCUGUCUGCUGUGAUUUGAUCGUUCACAUUGUCUGUUGCACCCAAAAAUUCGAGCCCAGGAGAUUUAAUGCAGACCAUCUAUGUGGAGAGUUACCAGGGACGGAAGCCUUGCAAGAGGAGACAAAAUUGUGCAAUUUUGGCACUCUUGAAGCGAAAGAUCUUUCAGAUUGGUUAAACUUACCAUCCAAUUUGGGAAUCGAGUGCCUUCAUAUGAACUUACUACUAAAGAUUGCAACCCGGGAUGCAACUGAAGAGCUUAAAUCACUUCGUCUUGGUUGCUUGCUUGAGCCUUAGAGUUGAAGUCGAGGUGCAAGUCAGAAAUAUGUUUCUUUUCACUCAACUCUGCUAUCCGGGCCUCAUUAGCAUUUGUCACGCAACUCAAUCCUUCAAUUUUAAGACAUCCUCGGAGAUUCUUCAUUAUUUCAAAUCCUCUAGUCCACAUGUCGCUGCUUCACCACCAAUACCACGAACACUGACCAAUUUGCUCAAAGUCUGAAGUGAGCUCAAGUUGCCAAUCCCUUUUGGUAAUGUCUUAAGACUAUCAGUGCAAUUUAUCUAAAGGUACCUCAAAUUUACUAAUUUUCCCAUUUCUUGAGGCAACUUUCUGAGAUUGUCACAGGCAGAAAGGUUCAAGGUUUGUAAUUUUGGAAGUUCACGCAACCUGUUACGACUUAAAUCUAACGCCUUGAGACAUGCCAAGCGAUUGCAUAAAUCUGGCUCAAUCUUGUCCAAUUCACUUAUAAUUGGAGGCGUAUCAAAGAAAGAUUGAACCCAAAACUGUUGGGCGCGAAAGCUCCAAUAACACACGUUGAUUCCAAACUGGAUUGUAGAGAACGAAAUUUUAAAGACAAUAUUGAAGUAAACAAGAUCACACGACGAAACAAGGUUUAAAUUGUAAAGAAGAACAAAUGAAUUAACACAGAGGAACGAUGUUUAUUGAAUCAAUAAUAUGGAGAAUACAAAGCAUUCUUGCGAUUGGCUUCUAUCUGUUACCUCUAAUAAAACUGACAAAGAAGCCUUGUAUUUAUAGGUCAACCCUAAAAGAGUCCUAAAAGAAAGAAAAUAUAUUACAAUUAGGAGGCCCAAUUUCUAAAGGAUUUUGUUUCCUUUUGUUGGAUGCCAUUAGAUUCUCUUUCCAAGCAAAAGUCUAACACGCAUCUUCAAAAGACUCCUAACCAAUUUUCAGGAUUUCACUUAAUCAAAUUCUAAAUCAACAAUAAUCCUAACACAUUUGAGUUACCAAACCUAACAAAAACGAAUGUAGUUUUCCUGCAUUAGCAAUGGAAGUAGGAAAGCGGACGUCUUUUGCACGUACCAGGGUCAAAUGACGAGUCGUUUUAUAAGACGAUCCCAAAUUUACUGCAAACUCCCCAUCAACCUCCACCACAGAACAUUCUCUCUUCGUAAGAUAUUGCGCAAAAUCAUGAACCAUGCCGUGCAUCUUAAAUUUUAGAAUCCUUUUACAGUCCUUGUCCUUUUCUAUGUCUUGGAAGAAAGACCCCAUAGCCAAAUUUUGCAAGUAUUCCUCACCUAAUACUUCCAUUUCUACAUUUUUCACAGGGCAGAGAUAGCCUUGCGCCAUCCAGAGUUUGAUCAAAUUGUUUGCAUUGAUGACGUGAUCUCUUGGAAAAAAAGCACAAAAAGAAAAGCACCUUUUCAAAAGCACAAAAAGAAAAGCACCUUUUCAUUGUCUAGGGAAAAUCGAAGUCGCUCAACAUCGAAGGACGAAAGAGAACUUUCUCUGCUCCUUCAAAUUCCCAGAAUUCACUAUUCAGAACAUUCUGCCAAUCUUGUAAAGAAUUCUUGAACCGCAUAUGAGUGCCAAUAGUCUUUACAUUAAGAGGUAUGCCCCGGCACUUGUCAGCUAUUUUCCUACCAAUUCCUUCCAAUCCUUCGCAAUCCUCUUUACUUCU
rnacentral:lncRNA from 1 species